rnacentral:lncRNA from 1 species
AAAAAACGGAUCUGAAUAAUACCGAUUAGUCAUUUAAGUAUGAAUUUGCGAAAACUUCUCAUUUGCGAAAACUUCUCAUUUAAAAACAUGAAGCGGUGGAUUUUGAAUCAACCAGCUGUGUGCAUAUGUACAUUAUUGUGCCUCCUCCAAUGACGGUAAGAAUAGUUUUUUUUUUUUUUUUUGAAAAAGGCUUGCAAUUUAAAUAAUAAUGCCCAAUGGGCUUACAUAUUUCCGGAAUAAGCCCAUACAAUAACCCCAUAGGGCCCAAUCUGACAUCUAACCAAACUAAACCAAACUAAAACAAAACCGAUCCGGUUUCGGAGUACCAAAAUUAACCGGUACCCACAGAAACCCUAAUCUACAACGCAAAACGCGUCGCAGCCGCCAUCCACAACUGCGGAUGCACACCGACCGGACCUCCGGUGUACCUGGACGACGCGGAUCGAACGGAGGAGGUGAUCCAAGAUCCGUUUGCCUCUCCGCCACCGUAGAGAAACUUUGAGGAAGAGGAAGAAACCGAGCUGUUGGUGUCGAGAAAGCUUCAAGCUCCGACGUGAGAUUGAAAGGCGGUAGGGAGUAGAUCUAGGAACCGUCAACAGUGGCUUAGCUCCACCCGACCGGAGUCAACCUCCCCCAUCAAGCGGCGGCCUAAUGAAGCCUCCAGGAUCUCCGGUUCCAGACCUAACCGUCUUCUCUCUCAUGCUUCGCCGUGAAAACUUCCUCUUCCAUUCUGCGGCGCUACACCCCCGGUGGAGUCAUCGACGGUGUCUCGCAGAAGCUAUCCCUCUUCGCUUCUCCCUUGAUUUUGAUUCGUUUGUGAAGCUUAGAAGAUGCAGCAGAUUGCGUAGUUGAAGAACCAUGAGCCAUAGAGUCCUCAUCGUCGCCGGAAUCGACGGAGGACCCAUCGGAAAAGCAAGAAGUUGUGCUCAGAAGAAGAAAGAGAAGGGAGAAAGAAAUCGCCGCGAGUGGAUCUCACGCGCACGAUUUCUUCCUUUUACUGGUUUCGGUAAGAAUAGUUUACACUCCCAUUCUCUGAAAAUAACUUUUUUUGGGGUCUUGGUAUAUCUUCCCAACAAAUGUUUAGUAUUGUUUCAUUAUGAUUUACAUUGCAGGAAAUAAAGACGGGUCAAAAAUUGCAUAAAUAGUAAAACAUUUCUGUGGUGACUCCUCGGUCCUCAGUGUUACAUGUCAUAACUCAUUAGUCAUCCCUAUAUUAGUAAAAAAGAAGUACAAAAAGUGCUUUCGGGUCGGGUCAAUUUCAAAAAAUUACCCAAAAUCUGUAAUUGGAUCUUUUAAAGUUGGAUAGAUUAAUGGGUUUGGAUACAUACACCGGAUACUUUCCAAAUCUAAUUUUAGGAUUAUAUUAUUUCCAUAACUAAUUAUAGGAUUUACUAAUAUUUCUCUAACUAAUUUAAUACAAUCUAUUUAAAAUAUUAUUCUUCUUUCACUUUUAUUUGAUAUUAUUUUUAAUUUAUGAUAUUAUACUAUAUAAGAUAAAUAUUUAAUAAAAGUUUCACUUUUUUUGGAAUAUGUUGCAAUUUGAAUUUUUCAAAACGGACAUAUAAUACUCAACUACACUCGGUUAAAUAUUUUGGACAAUGGUUUAAAAUCAUUAUAAGUAUGACCAAUAUUAAAACAGUGGUUUCAAAAUAUUAUAAAUAAAAGGUUCAAAUAUAUAAAACUUUUAGAGUUUAAAAUAUUGAAAUAUUUUUUUAAAACAUAAAUGUAAUUUUGGAGACAUAAUUUUUAUUGAUAAAAUAUAUUAUAUAUCAAACUACGUAAAUUUUAGAUAAUUCACGGGAAAUUUGUUAAAAUCACAAUUAUAAUGAUAAAGCGAGUUACGAAUAAUUUUUUUCACGAAAUGAAUUCUGUUACGGAUUGGGCUUUCAAAAAAUAUAUUGUAAAUAUGUAAUUUUUACGUAUAUUCCUACUUUUACUACAAAAAUUGUCAAAAUGAAUAAUUUAUCGACAAAUAUUAUUUCGUGCUGUUAAAUUUUCACCGUGUUUUUCAUUGUAUCAAAACUCAGUUUAUGAUUAUUUACUCGCUUUUUCCUUUAUUAUUUUAUUUAAACUUAUUAUACAAAUAUAUGAUUUAUUGUAAUCGAUUGCACUCUAACAAAAUUAAAAUGUAACAUAUUCUAAUCCGUUAAAAAUUAUAUAUAUGUAAUUAUUUCCCCCGCGCUGUAGCGCGGGUCCGAAUCUAGUUAAGCUUUGUAUAAAUGGUUCUAUUUGUUUCUCCUUUUUGUGUAACUCAUAUGCUUUGUAUGGACGAUUAAUUAUUUAAUUUGUAUGUCAAUACGUAUUCCACUUCGAUUUAUUAUAUCUACUACAUAUACAUCAUAUAUAUAAAAUUUAAUUAACCCGGAACUGGAUCUUUAUGAAAUGGUAUGCCCGAUUACAAAUGGAUAUACUCGAUUAUAAUAAAAAUUGUCAAAAAAACACUGACUUAGCUAAUGAAAAAAGGAAACAAGCAAUAACAAGUAUAUGACCAUAAUAAUGUGAAUAUUAUAGUAUCCAUAAUACAUUUGAUUAAUAUGCAAAUAUUCUCUACACACCUUAUUCAAAUAUGUGGGAUACUAUAAAAAUUUUAAUAUAGUAAAACGAUCCUAUAAAAAUUUAAAUAUAGAACAGUUUAAUAUUAUUUACUUCAAAAAACCUUCUAAACACAUAAUUUUAUAACUCCUACAAUAUAGGUUUUUUUAUAAUUCAAUAUUAAUAUAGAAAAUCAAUCCUAUAAAUAUUUAAAUAUAGAACAGCUUAAAAUAGUAUUUACUUGAAAAAAAACUUCCAAACACAUAAUUUCAUAACUUUUACAUAAAUAGUCUUUGUUAUAAUGCAAUAUUAAUUCUAAAUACUAGAAACAAAAAUGUACUCAUUAAUAGACAUAAUUAGCAUUACAAUUAUUCUAAAUUUUUUUGCGAGGUCUCAAUACAUUACAAUUUACCACACAAAAAUAAAAUAUUUUUGAAUCGUACAAAUUUUUCGACAUAUAUAUGAUUCCCCAUUAUCAACUACAUUUAUUUUAAAAAACAAAGACACAAACCAUAUUCGCUACUGUCUUCGGGUACUUUUCAAUACAAUCUUAUUAGAAAAAAUGGUGUUACAAAUAGCAAAAUCAAUAUUUGCCAAAAAAAAAACAUAUUCUUAAAAUGUAUUUGUACUAAUUAGUAAAAUCAAAUCACUUUAAUAAUAUCUGAAAAAUUUUCUCCGCGCUGUAGCGCGCGUCCGACUGUAGAUAUGUUAUUAUUUGUAAAGAUUGAGAGUUUAGUUAAUUAUUUUGAAAAAUCGUUUAAUAUUGUUUUCCGUAAAUAGAUUUGUUAGCAAUAACAAAGUAUCCUAAGUUAGUGGGAUAGUAAAUAUGGCAUCGACGAGGCAAUCUGGAAACUUAUUGAUGGCCAACACUUUUAUGAAAUGUCAAUUUAUUAACGGGUCAUAUCCAUAUCCUAAUUGUGAUUCGUUUUCUAAGUAUCCAUUUAAUCUAAUCGGGUAAUAUUUUUAAAAAUUUCUGAAAUAACACGACCCACGAAAUUUUUGUACUUCUCUUUUACUAAUAUAGGGAUAUUAUAUCAAGUUUAAAAUUAAAAUUUCAAGAUUAAAAUAAAAAUUAUAAUUUGUAUAUCAUUUUUUUGUAAUUGGUAAACUGAAAAUAAAAAUGUGGAGAAGUUAUUAAAAAAAAACCUAAAACUAAGAAUAAAAGAGAAAUAAACUCUACCCUCUACAGCUCUACUAGACCACAGAUACAAUCAUACACUUGUCAUCAUCAACAUUUUUCAUCACAAUGGAUACGAGUCACGACAAAACAUUUGGAUAUAUAUUUUUAUUUUUUUCCUUCUCCGUUUAGAAAAAUCCAGUCCAGAGAAAAAUGUUGUAUUCAUGAUCAUCCAAUCCAACUCACGAAACAAGGAUUGUAGCAAUGGCGUCUCUUUCUCUCACCUCUGCUCAUUUCUCUUCAUCUCGCUCCUCUGUUUCCACUUCAUCGCUUCCUCCUUCGUCUCCUUCCUUCCCUCUCUUACGCUCACCGAUCCGCCGUCGUCACCAUAGCCUCCGCCGUCGUCUCUCCUUCUCCGUCGUUCCUCACCGGACUUCUCACUCCUCCUCCACUUCCAAUUCUCAGGUAUUUCUUCUAAUUACUGAUUCAAUCCAGUUUACUCAAAUGUGUAAUCAUAUAAUUUGGUCAAUUUGGAGAAUUAAUGUGAUUUGGAGUGUAGAUUAGGUGUUCGACAAAUGAGCCAUUGAAGGUGAUGAUUUCGGGAGCACCUGCUUCGGGUAAAGGUACUCAAUGUGAGCUCAUUGUGAACAAGGUAAUCUAUUUCACUUCUCUGUUUCUUGUUUAGUGAUUCUCUGUAUGACAACACAAAUGAUACAUUGCAUUAGUUUGUAUAACCAUGAUAACUAAUAAACACCAAAUCUUAUGGUGUACAUGAAUCUUUUUCGAUAUGUUAACAUGUAUAUAUGUUUUGGAUAUCUUUCAAUGAAACUCUGCUGGAUAGAGAGCUUUUAUUAGUGCAUCUGUGAGUUUAACAUGUGACUACUGUUAUCAGUCCAUCUUGAAUCUUUUGUGAUAACAAUGGUGUAAUUUGGAUGUCAUGAUGCAGUGUAGUUAAUUAGAUGAGUUAACGAGUAGUCAAGAAUGGUGUUCUGACUAAGUAUAGUAUAUACAAAAAGUUGUCUAUUUCCGUGAAUUCUGUGAAACCAAGAAUCCAGAAUAUGCAUUUUAUAGUAACAAAACAAUGUAUAUGAUCUUCUCUCUGUGUUUAAACACGAUGUCGAACUAGAAUCUGUGAAACCGUUAAGUAAUACGAUAUGGAUGUUGUGUCGUAUGAAAAGGAGAACGAGCAGAGCUUGUAAACAACAUAGGAAAUAUCUGCUCUUGUUUUAGUUUUGUAACCCUAUUCUUUUUUCUUUUUUUUACCUUCAGCAUCUUCACUAUGUUUAAGAUUAUGCUGUUGAUGUUUGCAUGUUUAGUUGUAGAUCAUGUCAGGUUUUUCUUUCUUGCCCAUGCAGUUUGGUUUGGUGCACAUAUCAACGGGAGAUCUCUUGAGGGCAGAAGUUUCAGCCGGGACAGAUAUUGGAAAGAGAGCAAAAGAGUUCAUGAAUUCUGGUAGUUUGGUUCCAGAUGAGAUUGUUAUCGCGGUACUGAUUUCACUUACCUUCUUCAUAUAUAUAUUAUUUCUAUCAUUCUUCCUCUGAUAUCUACUACUUUUCUAGAUGGUGGCUGGAAGAUUAUCACGUGAAGAUGCUAAAGAGAAAGGAUGGCUUCUUGAUGGAUUUCCUCGAAGUUUUGCUCAGGCACAAAGUCUGGACAAACUGAACGUCAAACCUGACAUUUUUCUUUUAUUAGAUGUACGUGCAAAUUGCUCUUAUUGCGUAUGGUAUCCAUUUUCUCAAUAGGUGUUAAAGGCAAUAUUAUAUGUGUCUAUGGUUCUUUGCUUAUUUUCCGUUCUUAAUAACAGGUUCCUGAUGAAAUUCUAAUCGACAGAUGUGUUGGUAGGAGGUUGGAUCCAGUGACUGGAAAAAUUUAUCACAUUAAAAAUUACCCUCCAGAAUCAGAUGAAAUUAAAGCAAGACUGGUUACACGCCCUGAUGAUACAGAGGAGAAGGUAAGACUUAGGACUUAUUACUCGCUUCCUCAAUCUUUAACUAUCUUUAACUGUAAUCUCAUUUGUUUAGUUUGGUGAAGGUAAAAGCACGUCUGCAGAUAUACAAACAAAAUUCUGAAGCGAUUAUUUCUGCAUACUCGGAUGUUAUGGUCAAGGUAUUAGGCAAUUUUUUUCCUUUCUUGCUUUAGUUCUUAAAAGUAUUGGGAUACCAUCAUUUAUAACUUUGGUUUGGUACCAUCCCAUUCAAACACAGAUUGAUGCAAACAGGCCAAAAGAAGUGGUUUUCGAGGAGACGCAGACUCUAUUGUCUCAGAUACAGUUAAACAGAAUGAUAAAGACUGGCAAGUAGUCACACAUUUGUAUAUGAUUAUUUUUCGUGGUGCCAUUCUUGAUAGCAGGGUCAGUGUUUUCCAGUUCAAGAUGAGUUUUCCCAAUCUUAACUUUUGUCAAGUCUCUACUUUAGGUUAUUUAGAAAAUGCUUUCUUCAGUAAUCCGUCUCUUUGUGUCCAUUAGAAAAAAAAACCCAUCUUUAUGGUGUUCUUAUAGUUUUGAUACCAUCAUUCUUAACUUCCCUUAGUAUGUUUGAAGAUUUUAUGGUCAAUCAUUCUUUUGUAGGACUAAAUUAUUCCUUUUACUCCUUGUUUAACUUUGAUUUGAUUCCCACUGUAUGCAUGCGACGCUAAUUCUGAAACAGGUCCUUGCAGAUAAAGCAUCUCCUGUUCAGGUUCGUAAAUAAUACUUCUCUUUGAAGCUACCAAGUAGCAAGUAGAAGGAAGUAAAUUUGGAGUUUUUCUUAUCUAUGUCAUGUAACAUUUCUUCCAGGAUAAAUGGAGAGGAAUACCGACGAGACUGAAUAACAUUCCACAUUCGAGGGAUAUCAGGGCUUAUUUUUACGAAGAUGUCCUGCAAGCCACAAUUAGAUCUAUCAAGGACGGGAACUCACGUCUUCGGGUGAGCUGAUCCCCACAAAUCUAUUUGCAGUGUAGCAUGUUAGGUUUGACUUGACUGAUACUGUUACAAAUGAUUAGGUGGACAUAAAUAUCCCAGAGCUAAAUCCGGAAAUGGUCAGUUAUUCAUUUCACUAGUUAUUUUCUAUUAUUUCUAAUGCUUCACAAGUUUUAUCAAAACUCACAAGCUAUUGUGAUAUAUAUAGGAUGUUUACCGGAUAGGAACCUUGAUGGAACUUGUCCGAACUCUAGCGUUAUCAUUUGCUGACGAUGGAAAACGAGUGAAGGUAUACAUUGGUUUGGUAGACUCAGUGAUGUCUCACUUGGAUAUUCUCUUUCAGUCAGCUUCUUUCCCCUUUCCAGGUUUGUGUUCAGGGUUCAAUGGGGGAAGGUGCACUCGCUGGGAUGCCACUGCAGUUGGCAGGCACUAGAAAGAUUUUAGAAUAUAUGGACUGGGGUGAUGAUGAAACUUUGGGAACUUUCGUCAAGCUUGGUGCAAUUGGUAACAUACGAAACUCAGUACUUUACAAAAUAUAUCGGCAAAACACUAAAAAAUACCUCUCGACAUUAUCAUAGUCCAUUUUGUCUGAGUUUAGUAACAAGAGAAUCUUACAAGAACUGCACCAUCUCAGAAUAUUGUUGUGUGUACACAAUCAAACUUGUGAUGCAUAAGAAGUUAGAUAUAUUUGUCUGGAUACAAUUAAAAACACAUUAUCCUGCUCUUUGAUUCUUUUGAGGCAUAUAUGAACAAAGCUGUGUCCGCGAUGACAGGAGGUAAAGAAGUUGAUGAAGACGACGAUAUAUUUAUUUUAGUGGCUCCACAAAAUGCGGUUGGGAACUGUAUUAUAGAUGUAAGGUGCUUUGAAAUGCUAGAAGUAGUCAUUCACUUGAACAGAGUCAUCUCAUCUUAUAAUAAAAUAUACUGAAUUCUUUUGUUAGGAUCUACAAGCGAUGACUACUGCUGCUGGGAAAAGGCCAGUUGUACUUAUUAAUCCUCGCCUCAAGGUACAUUUUUGUGUGUAUUUUCUAUACAAAGAUUAUGUGGUAAAAUUGUUAUCUUUUGUGUGUUACAUGUUUGAUAAAACUUUAUUACAUUCAGGACUUACCCGCUUCAAGUGGAAUAAUGCAAGUAAGCACACACAAUGAUUUCCUAACCAUCUGAUAGAAAGGUUACAUUGCUUAUAAUUUCCUUGGUGUCUCAGACAAUGGGCAGGGAGCAAAGGCUUGAAUAUGCCUUAACGUUUGACAACUGCUAUGUAUUCCGGCUCCUCUAUUAUUUGGGAACACAAUACCCGAUUAUGGGUGCUCUAAGGUACAGUUGUUAGGUUGUGAGGUAUUGUUAUCAAUGUCAAUUCAUUCUGAAUCUUUGACCUGAAUUUGGUCAGGAUGUCUUAUCCUUACCGGUAUGAGCUUUACAAGAGGGUGAACGAGGAAGACGGAAAGGAGAAAUAUGUCUUGCUAGCAACGUUCUCUGAAAGGCCAACCCCUGAGCAAAUCGAUGAUGCCUUCUCUGGAAAAUCGCGGUAAAAUUGUUUCCAAUAGUGCUUCUUAAAACACUGGCUUUAUAAUCAUUUUGAACAAUAACUGAGAAUGUUUUUUCCACAUUCAGGGAUCAAAGCAAGAAGCCGUCAGGAAUCUGGUAAUGAACACGACUUAGUUAUACAAAUGAGGAUGGAUAUGUGCAUGUGUGUAAAGCUAAAUGUUAGGGAUACUUGCAGGGGGUUCUUGAGCAGCGUGUUUUCGUAAAGCAAGGAAGCUAAUGUUGUUGCUCAUCUACGAAACCUAGAGUGAUGCUGCUACUUUUUGUCCAUAGUUUCUCUACUUUGAUUAUGUCUCAAAGUGUUGAUAAUCUGAAUUUGGGGCAAACGAAAUUGUGAUUAUUGUAUUAAAUAGUGACACAUAACCAAAAGAGUAACCUCACUUUGAUACAUAUAUAUGAAAGCCAAAUCACGUACAUCCAAGAACAUUCUCGUCUACUACGACGGCUUUGAUUUCUAGUUGGUCAUCAGUCUCCUAAUGGCAGCUAACUUUGAUUUCUAGUUGGUAAUGCUAUGAGCUUUUCUCUAUUUUGAGCUUAGGAAACUUCUUCUUCUGAUUGGUAGACGAAUGGUCUCUAUCCGUAUUUCCCACAUGCAAGGAAAAUUGGUACCACUUGUGGCGUUGGAUGAUAAAUCUUUAACCAUAUUAUAAAGUAAUUAGAUAUUAUGGCAAAAGCUUGAACUAGUCCUAGCCAUAUUAUAAAGUAACUGGAUAUUAUGGCAAAAUCUUAAACUAGUCCUCGGCAUUUGGAUUUUCGGUUCGAUCUCGGUUCAGUAUUUUUGGUUUUUGGAUCGGAUAUUGAAAUUCAAAUUAUUAUCCAUUUGUUUUUUUAAAAGUUUUUUUGUUUGGUCUCGGUUUGCUUCCUUUCCAUUUUGGUUUGGUUCGGGAAUUUAAAUAAGAAACCGAUCUAACACCAAAAUUAUUUUUGAGUUUUUUUUUUUGUUUUGGUUCUAACCAAAAACUUCCGAUAUUUUGAGUUAAUUCAGGUAUAUUUCGGAUAUUUUUAGUGUUUUCAAAAAAUUUUAAAUACUUUUGGUUUGGUUUUGAUUCAAGUAUUUAGAUAAUUUGGUUUUUUCGUUUGAUUAUUUAGUUAUCUUUAUAUUUUUGGAAACUUUUUAGUUUUUCAGUCUAAAAUAACUAAUACUUUCAGGUAAAGAAUUGUAUUUCAGAUAUUUCAUAUAUCUCUUCGGUUCUCGAUUUGGUUUUGCUUUGGUACGAUUCAGUUUCAGAUACUUUUGGAUCAUAGUUUCAGAGUGUAAAAUCUAUUCGAUUUUUAGUUAAUUUUGGUUACACUAAUUUCGGUUCGGUUUCCAUUCGGCACAUUUGGUUUUGUUUUUUUUUUUCACACAAGAAUGCAAUAUCUGUCAACUAUUUUGUUUUGGGUAAGUUUUUUUCAACCUUAUUAACUGAAAGCGUAAUAAUGAAUUUAACUUUAACUUUAUCCAACAUGUCCACAAUCUCACCUAAUUUUUUGUUUUAAUGCAGCAAAGUAAGAAAAUAGCAAAAACACAAACAUACAUUAGCAUUUACGUGACGUGGAAUGUUUAUAUUGGAUAACAUAAAUUUGUCGUAGAGUAGUAGGCUCAGAAUCAAUGAACCCAAACCCAACCUCCAUAAUUGAAGAGGACGAACAAAAAAAAAAAAAAAGUGGAUUCUAAAAUUGAAAAUUGAAUGAAGCAACGAACGAUUCGAAUCUGUGUGUUUCGCGUUUGAUUGAUCCGGUGGAAGGAGGCGAUGACGUCGCCUGGAUCGAAGAAAGUUGUUACCGGCGAAGGAUCGGAGAAGAAUGUUUCCGGGAACCUCGGAAGAGUUAGUUUCACCGGAGAUGUUAAUGAUAGUGGAAGUAGUAGUCGUAGCAGCGGCGGCGGAGAAGGAGGAGGAGGAACCUUUGAGUGUUUUGGAUGGGUGUAUCAUUUGGGUGUGAAUAAGAUCGGUCAUGAGUACUGUAAUCUCCGUUUCCUUUUCAUUAGAGGCAAAUACGUUGAGAUGUAUAAAAGAGAUCCUCACGAGAACCCUGACAUUGUAAUUCCCUUUCCCUUGAUUUUGGUGUUUUCUGGAUUUUUUUUUUGGGAAUUUUGCUUGAAUCUUUAGUAUAUUUAGUGUUUGAGAAUCUGGGUGUUACAAGAAACAACCGUGGCUGUUGAAAAUUUUGCUUGGUUGCUUGGAAAUUUCAUAGGGAACUGUUUCUUUGCUUAGUUUAUGAAAAUGGUAAGUAUAUGGUAUCUAUCAGUAAGAACUGUGUAGGUGUGUUAUUGGGUCGUGAUCUUUGUUUAUCAAGGUUUUUCAUGGUUUUGAAUCCAUUGUUGCAUUACUGAAGGAUAUAGUGCUGUACUUAGAUGUUGGUUGGUUGUUUUUUUUUGAUGUGUUUUGAAAUUCUAUUAUAUCCGUUUGAUUUUUUUUUUUUGUUUCUAUAGAAACCUAUAAGGCGUGGUGUUAUAGGGCCGACAAUGAUGGUUGAAGAGCUAGGACGUCGAAAAGUUAAUCAGGGGGUAAUUCAUUUCAGUCUCAGCUUCUAUAACUGCAAUCUGCGUAAAUUAUAGAUCUGUUUUUCCCUGUUUUGCAUAUUAGUUGUAUGCUCUUAUAAAUGAGAGUUUGAGUCUAAAUGAAACAAGUACACUUACUAGUUUAUUUCUAUUGUAUUUUGUAGGAUGUGUACGUGAUAAGGUUCUAUAACCGGUUGGACGAGUCUAAAAAAGGAGAAGUAAGUUCAAUUUCCAUCUUUGCAAUAUACUUGUGACAAAUGCUUGUGCCAAAUGCUCACUAUACUUAAAGCUUGCCACUGUGAACAUGAUGAGUUUGCUCUGUGGAAGGCCUACGAUUUGUUUUGUGUAAUUGCACACUUGGAUGAACCAAUUAGUUAACUUUUUGAGCAAAUGCCUUGAAGUUCGUUUGUAAACAGUUUUGUUACCAUGAAAGUACAUAUCAGAAUCUAGAAUUAUAUUGUUUCUAGAUUAACCCAGGUGCAUUAAAUAACUUUUUUUUCUUUCUGGAAACUGUAUUUUAGAUUGCUUGUGCUACUGCUGGAGAAGCCUUGAAAUGGGUGGAGGCUUUUGAGGAAGCAAAACAGCAGGUACUACGGAGACUGUGUCCAAGUUGUAUAGCAUCAUGUAAUGUAUUGAAGUUUUCCUUGCAUAUGAUUGGCUACUUUUACAGUUCAUUUUGCUAUUGUUGGAGCAUUAAUAUAAUGCUUAUUGGGAUGAGGUAUUAGCUAUAACUUUCAAAAUAAAUUCCGAUUACUGCUUUAUCCUGUUUUGGAAGGCGGAAUAUGCACUAUCGAGAGGCGGAAGCACAAGAACGAAGUUAAGCGUGGAGGCCAAGUAUGAUCUAAUUAUCAUAUUAUUAGUGCCUUAGAUGAUAUUUACUAGUAGCUACUUAAUUCCUGUUUUGGGGGACUAACUGUUCAAUUACGGAGAAGAUGAGGCUCUUCCAACAGAAAAUGCAUAACAUUCUGAUGUUAUAGUCUCUGUUCUUAACCAGAUGAGAUUGUCUCCAAUAGUAAAAGUCCACUACGUACUGCUGAAUCACACUCUUGUAUUUUUUGUUUUUUGAAGCAUCGAUCUGGAAGGACAUCGACCUAGAGUAAGGCGUUAUGCUUAUGGGUUAAAAAAGCUUAUCCGAAUUGGGCAAGGUAAUAUGCUUUAUCUCAAGUUUAUGGACUUGUUUAGCUCCAGAAUCUUCCACAAGUAUGCCUAAACGUUCAGACAUGGUUUUUCAAAAGAGGAAGUGAAAAUGCUGUCAUGUUAUUUAGUCAACUUUCUCAUAUAUAUAGUGUAUAAUUUGUGUAGUAGCUUAUAAAGGAAUCGUCAAAUCUUACAUUUUAAAAAAGUUACUCUAGAAUUCUUUGCUAUUUCCUAAUCCCCCCUAUCUUUGUGUUGGGCACAUGCAAAAUGAUAUACUGGGGUAAUGUGUGUGCUAAAGAUUCUGAUUAUUUCUCAUAAAACUAGAUCGAUACCAUAUUCAAAUAUAUAUUAUCCUCAUCUCCUCUAUAUAUUAUUGAAACAAUAGUUAUAAUCCUUCAAUUCUUGAGUUUAUUAUGCAUUGAUAGGUCUGGUUCCUUAGUUAAAUUGAUUUCUUAAUAUCUUUAUCAAGUGGUUAUUCAUGAACAAGACUAGGGUUCACCUGAUAGUUACUUUUCGUCCAAAACAAAGAUGUGUGAUUAUGUUCUUAAACUGACAGGUCCAGAGACUCUUUUGAGGCAAUCCUCUACCUUGGUUAAUGAGGUCAGAGGUGAUGGUUUCUACGAGGGUGGUGACAAUGGAGAUGCAAUCGAGGCACAUAUGUGGAAAUGUGUACGUACAAUCAAUGGUAUGUUUGGCAGUACACAGUCGAGUUUUGAUAUCAGACAACCUACUCAUAACAGUUUUUCAUCUACUGAACCAAUAGUGGGGUCAAUUAGAAUGUCCCAUUUAUUUACGCGAUAACCAUGCUUUAAAAUGCAUUUAAUGUGGUGUCUCCUUUUUAUUAUGUAUACUUCUCUAUCAUUUAUAAUUGUAGUAGACUCAUAAAAACUGAAAGAAUGCAGACAUACUUGUCCAGUUUAUUUAGGUGGCUGUUUUUAAUCACUAAUCUGAAGGUUGUAUGGUAAUAUAGUAGUCCUUAUUGUUCAGAAUUUCGAGACUAUAAUGCCUAAACAUGUUGAUCUUUUUCUUUGCUUGCUCUUUAUACAUAACAUUCAAUUAUAUAUUUUUCUGUAUAUUGUUUGCAGGUGUUAGGAUUUUUGAAGAUGUGGCUAACUUCAAGGUAUAUUUACUUUUAUUCAGAGAAUACAUUUCCAACUAUAGCAGAACUGCUUGGAUUAUAAAUUCGGACCAAUGAGAAGAGAUUGGUCUACGGGUUGAAAAAGCCAUUAGUACAUUGGUGUGGGAGACGAUUGGGUCUUUUGUCCUUCUGAAUUGCGUUAAAUUAUUCCCAGAGGAAUGGAAACUGAACCAUCUUAUUUUAUUCUUCCAUUAUAAUAUUUGCUAUCUUGUGAUUUGCAUCUUACUAAUUCUUAUUGGCAAGGUAACAAUUUUAAAUUAGAUCCUAUAACUAAGUUUUCUCAUCUCCAGAACUUAUGCAUUUAUAAUAAUAGCGAUAAUUUAUGUCAAGCUAAGGUGAAAAUUAAUAUUUGUACUUGGUUGUUUUGCAACUGGUAGUUCACUGGGAAGACCUGUAAUUGGCUGUAUUCAAUUAUUUGUUGAAUGCUUAGAAGGCCCCUCAGGUAGUCAGGUUCUGAUCAAUUCUUCUUUAGGCUGGUCGAGGAGUUCUUGUGAAAGCAGUUGCUGUAGUUGAAGCUAGUGCAGAUUCUGUGUUCGAAGUGCUUUUGAAUAUUGACAAACAACAAAGAUACGAGUAAGCUCAUUUCUUUGAAUAUAUAGAUAGAUGUCUUUUGGUACUUGGACCUUUCUAACUAUCCACACAGGUGGGAUGCAGUAACAGGUGAUUCAGAAAAGAUAGACUCAUACGAGGGCCACUAUGAUGUUAUUUACUGUGUAUACGAUCCUAAAUAUCUUUCACGGUAUGUUGUUUAGGCAUGUUGUAUAUUUUUUUGCAUCUAUCACUUCAUUCAGUGAAUAGCUUUACACUUACAGUUUUUUCAUUAAACUGAUUGGUUAAAUAGUAUCUUCUGCAGAUGGCAAUCGAAGAGAGACUUUAUCUUCUCUAGACAGUGGGUUCGUGGGCAAGACGGAACAUAUAGUAAGUAGAGAACAAUCUAUUCUAGAUAUUUUUUUCUUUACCAAUCUGGUGUCUGGUUUGUCUAUGCAUAAUGGUAGAGAUUAAUAUAAGCCAUGUCACUAGGUGGUUAGUGAAGUGUUUGGGCUGUAGUUGUAUUUAAUUGAAUAUCUCAAGCUAUUCAUUUUCUCAUGCUGUAUUUUUGUAUGCAGCAAUCUUACAAUUUCCAGCAGUACAUAAGAAACGGCCUCCAAAGUCUGGAUAUCGACGAACAGAUAUUACACGUAAGAUAUUUUCUUUUAACCUUUCUUUUCGUAGUGUUUGCCUUUUUCACUAUGCUGCAUGUCUGGUGGCAAUACAGUCUCCUUGUUACUAUGCAAGUGUUUCCAACACUAAUCUGUUCUGAAUUGGUACUUCUAUAGCCAGAGGUUCUGUGUAUACUUAGUUGCUUGUGCUUACUUGCCCAUCUGUCUCUGCAAUUGUGUUGUGUUCUGCAGCUAGCUUACAAAAUCUAGAACUGAAUUUUAGGCUUGGGGAAAUUUUAUUGGCUUGUAAACCAUAUCAUAUGGGAUGCUGGUCUAGUGUUUUAUUCUACUGUCUUUCCAUUUUUACUUACUUUAUUGUAUAUGUUGCCUUUCUUCUUACUCACUGAAUCUGUAGUGCUCUUGCUUACUGUGGACUUACACAAUGCCUAUCAAGGUAUAUACCCCAUUCUUCUAAAACUUCCAUUUCUUUUUUGUUCUUGUUGAUUUUAGCAUCCACUUGGGAAAUCAGAAGCUUAAAAAAGCGCAGCGAUGCAGAGACUGCAAGUUGUCUUGUCACACAUAUGCUAGAAAUCCACUCUAAACGUUGGUGCAAAUGGAAGAGAACUAGCUACUCAAAGUUUGAAAAGACUAUUCCAUAUGCAUUACUUCUCCAAGUAGCAGGUUAGAUGCAUGACUAUCUCCUUCCAGAUCUUAUUUUAGAGUAUGAACACAAAAAAUGAGUAAGAAGUCGAGAUGUUAUCUUUGUGGUAUAUAUAACAUCUAUUGAGAAAUGGAGACUCUUGUGAGCACAUCUGAAGAUUUAUUUGUCUUGUGAUAUAGAUUAGCGUUCACUAUCCACACUUGUUUGGGAUAAGUAUACAUGUAUUAUGCUUCGUGUUUGCAACAAUUGGAAGUUUCUUUUUUGGGCAUAGAAACUAAUAAGCUUUAGCUGGCAUGCUAUUAAAAGUAUAUGCCUGAACUCUGACUACAUUAGAUGUCACAAGUUCCACACGGGUUUUGUUUCAAGUUCUACAUGGUUUUUGUUUCAAGUUCUUGUUAAUGGUAUAUCAGGUCUGAAGGAGUACAUUGGAGCAAACCCAGCCUUCAAGUAUGAAACUUCUGCAACGGUUAUAGAGUCCAAGUUACCAGAUGUCUCCAAUGGUGAAUAUGUAGAUGAGGAAAUGGAGGAGCAGUUUUAUGAUGCCACAGACUCAUCAUCUGAUGAAGAGGAAAGCGAUGAAGAUGAUGACGAGCAGGACAAUAAGGUAACUACUUGGUUUUGAUAUCUUCUUGUCAAUAUAGAAAUUUUUUUCAUAUUUACAAAAUAAAGAAUCAUGGAGAGAAAUAAAACACUCAGAAGAUCUUCUUAAUCUAAUCCUUAACCAGAAGGAUUAAAAUAAAACACCCAAAAACACAGAAAGCGUUUCUCUUGGUAUAAACAGGUAACUCCUUGGGAAAACUGAUAAACCUCCUAAUCACUGCCUAUACUUCAGCCCUAGAUAUACUAAAAUGAAAAGGCAAAAAGCUGUUCUAAGAUGUUCAAAGUUCCUAAGAAAUAUUUGUGCCCAUGAGGUGAGAAAGUUGUAUUGAAAUUAUUAAAAUAAUAUUGAAUUCUGUUGUUUCAAUGUUAAAAACAGGAGAUAAAAGUAAAACUGAAGAAUGUUUCAUGGGCAAUUGCUAGUUUAUCUUUGAAGCGGCCUAAAGGUUUUCUCUUUACUUUUUUUGCUAGUCCAUUAAGUUUUCCAACGACUAAGUAUACCAAUGACUCACAUAGGUAGUAUAAUGGAAUCAAUAUAUGUAUGAUUUAUAUCUAUAAUAAGUAACUUGAGGACCUCUUAUCAGUAUUUGUUCCCAAAGUUAAUCAAAAGUUUCAGAGUGUAUGGCUUGAUAUGUAUAUGCAAGCAUUUUGUUUACAAAGAACUACUUUAUUUAGAUGAGAAUGAAAAAAUCUAUAUAGGUGUUGUAGUUACCAUUUUGUAACUAGUCCAUUCUUGAGUUCUAUGUCAGGAAAAAGGGAACAACUUGUAAAUAUACAAACAUUUAAAACAAAUUAGAAUUAAAAAGCAUUUUUCUAUAUUGUUUUACAAUCUCAGUGUGCAUUAAUAUAGCAGCUCUAUUUUGACAUUAGCUCCAGGCGCAAGUAAUGUAUUAGACGCUAGUGUUGGUCCUGUGACUAUCGACCCAAGUCAGUUCCAAGGAUCCCUGCGCAAAGGAAAUGGUGAUAAGGACUCAAAUUGCUGGAACUCUCCUAGUGGCAUGGGGUUUAUGAUUAGGGGAAAGACCUACCUAAAAGAUAAUGCAAAGGUAACUUUGAAAUUCUUGCACCUACGUUAAUAUUCUAUAGUUGAUUUCAGACAUUGUUUGAAAUGGAAUAGAAAACAAUGAGGGGCAUGUUUUGUAGAAAUAUUCUCCUUGACUUAACGAUAUUACUCAACUUCUUCUGAUAUACUGAUUUCAGUUUCUUUAUAUCUCUCAACUUAGGGUACAACUGUGCGUAUUAGUUUUCCAGAUUGAUUUUCUGAUUCUCGAGUUGGAUUAUCUAACAAAGUCUCUUCAACAAUUGUUUCCUCAUGUUAAACUGUGCAAAUUUAAUCUAUGGUGUAAUUUAAGGUGAUGGGCGGGGAGCCCCUUCUGACACUUGUAUCCGUGGACUGGUUUAAAGUUGAUAAAGCUGUAGACAACAUCGCCCUGCAUCCGAAAUGUCUUGUCCAGGUACUCCCUUGAACCGUCUUUAACUAGCACUUGCGGCCCCCUUUCCUAUUAAAAACCAUUGUUAAGUGCGACUUGUCAUCGGACCUCAAUUUAUCAUCCAGCAUUGUAUGCCAUUUUCGCAUUGUGGCUAAGUCUGGUGAUACUCUUUAAGUUAUCAAUGAGUUGAAGCGUGUAUUAUAUAGUCUCCCCGUGGUUGAAUGUGCCUGAUUUGAAAGUUUUCUCUAUUGUAGUCAGACGCUGGGAAAAAGCUGCCAUUCAUUCUAGUCAUCAAUCUUCAGGUUUGAAUACUAUCUGCAACAUAAACUCUAUAUGUAUAUGUCAGUCUUUUUAUUAAAAGUUUGUUUGAAUAGGGAAGCGCUAAUGUCUAGUUGGAAAAUACCUCAACCUAAAUGAUUAAGCUUUUAAUGAAUAUUGUGUCGCUAAACCAUUCAUUCGUCUUUGAUUAUCUGUAAAAAUGUGUCACACAUAUUUUCUCGUAUUUUGGAAUUGUGAUUGUGAUUGUGAUAGUAAAAUCACAAUUUAUAACCAAUCAUUUUUCCCUACUUAAAGGCUAUCUAACUCUUAUGGGUCAAGUUAGUAUCUGAAAGAAGUCAAAACGUUUUUUUUCCCCCUUUUCAGGUACCAGCAAAGCCUAACUAUUGUCUGGUACUCUACUAUGCUGCGGAUCGACCUGUAAACAAGUCUUCAUCCCUGGGAAAAUUUGUGGACGGGAGUGACAGUUACCGUGACGCAAGAUUUAAGCUAAUUCCAAGUAUUGUUCAGGUAAGUAAACUCUUCUCUUCACGUCCCCUCUGAAAUAUAGUAAUCUUAAUUACAUUGUAACAGCCAUGGUGAAUCACAGGGAUAUUGGAUGGUCAAGCGUGCUGUUGGAACAAAAGCCUGCUUGCUCGGUAAAGCUGUAACCUGCAAGUACCUGAGGCAGGAUAAUUUUUUGGAGGUAUAAUAGUUUCUAGUUUUCUCGUUCUUUCAUUGCAAUAGAUAUGUCCAAAAAAACACAGUACAUGUCCUAUAUAAAGACGCAUGAUCAUGUAGACAAUUAUUACACACAUAGUUGCUGAGUUCUUAUGAAAUCGUGGUGCUGCAGAUUGAUGUAGAUAUUGGAUCAUCGGCUGUCGCGAGGAGCGUUAUUGGUCUGGUCCUUGGUUAUGUCACAAGCCUCAUUGUUGAUCUUGCCAUCUUGAUCGAGGUUCGUUUAGAGUCUCACUGCUGGAGUUAUCAUAUCUUUAUACAGGAGUGCUUAAACUUUUAGUUUGAAUGCAAUCAUCGGUUAGAUAGUUACAUGUUCAACUCCAAAUGCAAAUGCAGGGAAAGGAGGAAACCGAUCUGCCAGAGUAUAUCCUUGGGACAGUUCGACUUAACCGAAUAGAGCUGGACUCAGCCGUAUCAUUGGAGGGUUGAAAUAUGAUCGAGGAAUAAAGAUUUGUUGGAUUGCGACAAUCACAUUGCCUUUCUUAAACUCAUUGAUUCAAUUACUGCAGGUAUGAGAACAGACAAUGCCAACUAAAAACAUAUGUCUUGUCAUGGAUUGCGACUUGUUUAAAUCGAGACAAAAAGAGAUCAAUAAUGAAAGAUUGAACUUCAAAAAAGUUCUUCUUUUCUUUCAGAGAUGUUCUUUACAUAUAAGUUAUAAUUUAAAGCAUUAACAAAGGAUAUGUGCUUUUGUUGCCACAAAACAUUUAAAGAAGCAUAUGCAUAUGUAAACAACGAGAAAUGAGAAUUAUAGAGUUUUUUAUUCAUAGAACAUUGAAUUUAUGUGUUUAUAUGAUGUUUGCAUAAUCAUCCUUCAGCAAUAAGAAACAUGACCCAAAACUCUUAUGGUAUCAAUCUAAAUAGCAUGUGAAUGUGAUACAUAAAGUAAUACCUUCGUUAUGGCUAAACAAUUUUUCAGUAAACUUGUUCUUUAUGUUCUUAAAACAAGUUAAGUCAAUAUACAUGAAACAGAAUAAUAUGAAAACAUCUUAAGCCUAUUGAAAGUUGCUAGAGAAUCUAAUAAUUAUUCAUACAUCCCACACAUCACUAUUUUCCAACAAAAAACAACUUAGCACGUCCUCUAGAUGUAUUUCAAAGUGCCAUACACGAACCCAAGUUGGGAAGAUACUAUAAUAUUUACCCACACAUAAGAAAAAGACUAUAUAAAGGACUUUCAUUUCCAAGUAAAUCAUAACCAAAACAAAGAAACCAAAAGAGUAGGGAUGAGUAUUAUGAUCUCCUCAAGAAUGGUGGGACGAGUGCAUUGCAUGGUUUAUGUCGUGGUCUUGAGUGCCAUCGCGGCUACAGUGACAGCAUAUCCUUACUCCUCCCCUCAAACACCCCAAUACAGUUCUCCGGUUUACAAACACGAAUCACCUUAUUCAUCACCUAAAAAGUAUUCUCCAUACUAUUCGGCAUCACCUCCAACUCCACUACAAUAUAGAAGACAAGGUCCUAAGCACACCCCACAUUCGAAACCAUAUGUUUACACAUCUCCACCACCACCGACUUACUACUCCCCUUCUCCUAAAGUAGACUACAAGUCGCCACCUCCACCAUACGUCUACAGCUCCCCACCACCACCUUAUUACUCUCCUUCCCCAAAGGUUGAUUACAAGUCUCCACCUCCCCCAUACGUCUACAGCUCCCCACCACCACCUUAUUACUCUCCAUCCCCAAAGGUCGACUACAAGUCUCCACCUCCACCAUACGUCUACAGCUCUCCUCCACCACCUUAUUACUCUCCUUCCCCAAAGGUUGAUUACAAGUCUCCACCUCCACCAUAUGUCUACAGUUCCCCACCGCCACCAUAUUACUCUCCAUCUCCAAAGGUCAACUACAAGUCUCCACCUCCACCAUACGUGUACAGCUCCCCACCACCACCUUAUUACUCUCCAUCCCCAAAGGUCGACUACAAGUCCCCACCUCCACCAUACGUCUAUAGCUCCCCACCACCACCUUAUUACUCUCCUUCUCCUAAGGUCAACUACAAGUCUCUACCUCCCCCAUACGUCUACAGCUCCCCACCACCACCUUAUUACUCUCCUUCUCCUAAGGUCGACUACAAGUCUCCAUCUCCACCAUAUGUCCCAAAGACACCUUACUAUUGAAUUGGUUUAUAACCUUGCAUGGUUGCAAUAAUUAUUUUCUUAUUGAUUUUGUCCCUUGUUACACCCUUUUUCUUAUAUUGUUAUUUGAGUCUUCUGAAUUUAUUUUUUUGUUACACUAUCUCUUGAAGAUUUUAUGUAACCUAUAAAUUUUUAUUUGGCUAUUUUUUAAAAAUACAUUUGUUAUUUAAUAUUUGUGCGAAUUAGCUAGAACUUUGCAAUAUAAAACCUAUGUAUCGUACUUGGUAUUUUACUAUACACUACAAUAUAUAGCUUGUGCCUGGUAUUUGGAGCUGAAUGUAUGUGCAAUUUAUAUGAAUCUUAAAAUCUUUGAAGAAACAUGCUUAAUCACAUGAUAGGGAAACAAAAUUAUUCCUUACACUUAAAAGUAUGCAGUAUUCUGAAUUUUAACUAGCUUUAUCCCUUGAGUUGCUUGUUACAAGUGUCUAGCUUUAUAUCAUAAUAUAUAUUGAUGAUAUUAUCAUUGUCUUACCAAUAGUAUUUCUUGGUCAAGGAUAAAUAGUGAGCUUAGCUAUUCUCUUGGUGUUGAAGCAUAACGUCCUAAUGCUAUUCUCUUACUAACAUAUCAAUGGCAUAAUAACAUCAUGGUGCACACCAAAAUGAUUGUAUCAAAGCCAUCCUCAUACCAUGACUAUUUUUCUUUUUAAUGAGAUUAAAUGAACACCAGAUGGUUGUUGGGAAUCCAGAUUCGAGACAGGUCAGUCGCCUUUGCUAUGAACAAACUCUCUUAGUUCAUGCCUUUUCCUACGUCGCUAUCUUGUUCACGGUUGUUUAAUUAUUGUAAUAAUGUUGGUGUCUAAUAUUAAUGAUCUUAUGUUCUGACCACAAGUCAUAUGAAGAGAGAUUGAUCGUACCAUUUAUCACUUCCUUUGAUUUGUCUAAGUGCAUUGAAUUGACAUCGAAUAUUUGGCUAAUCAAUACACUACUCUGAACACUAAUUACAACAAAAUAGAUUAAGUGGAAUCAAAUGACUAAUGAGAGGAAGACGGAGAAAAACGAAAUAGUAGAUAAUCGAAGCCGUUAGAACUUGCCGAAGACGAUAUAUGGAGACCAUUAAGGUGAGAUCGAUGAUGAUAGAGACGUAGAUCGAUGAUGACAAAGACAUAAAUCUAUGAGAAAGAUAUUACAGAAUUAUCCCGCAAAAUUAUCCCGCAUAAGCAAGGGUUUUAAAAAAGAUUUACAAGUGUUUUAAAGGCAUUUAAAAGGGUUUAAAAGGGGUUUUAAAGGAUUUACACGAGUUUUAAAGCAUUAUAGAUGUUUUCAAAAAUUUUUAUUAAAGGAUUUACAUCGAUUUCUAAUGGGUUUUAGAAGUUUAUAUGAUUUUUAAAGGGUUUAAAGGAGGUUUAAAGGAUUUUUAAGGGUUUUUAAAGAUUUACAAGGUGUUUGGGUUUACAAGGAUUUUCAAAAGGAUGUACAAGGUCUUAUAAAGUUUUAAAUGGUUAUAAAAGGAUUUUCAACGCUUUUUUACAAGGGUUUUAAAAAGUUUACUAGAGUUUUAAAAGGUUUCGAAUGAUUUUUAAAGGAUUUAACACGUAUUUUAAAAGAUUUUUAAGGGUUUUAAAAAUAUUUACAAGGUGUUAUGAAAGAUUUUUUAAAGAAUAGCAGAAAAAUUAUGACAGAAAACUUUUGGUGGAUAUUUGUUUUAGCCAGAAAAUUUUGUUUUGGGAAUUUUUGGCGGGAACAAAAUUUUUCGCGGAAAGAAUUUGUCCAAAAAGUUUUUGACGGAAAAAAUUUGGAAGAAAUAUUUCUAUUUUUGGAAGAAAUAUUAUUUUCUUCAUCAUGAAUUCCACUAAAUGAAGAUAAUUUAGUCAUUUUGUACUUAGCAAGGAGUAUUUUUGAAAAUGAACAACAAGACAUAUAUUUUUGCAAAAGGAUAUGGUAAAAAGGUUGUAUUUGCAAAUCCCCUCAAAUUGAAACAAAACUAUAUGAGAUGUUUAUAGGGGGUAGAGCCGAUUGUUAAGAAGAAAGUGAGGAAAUAGGAUUGUUGGAAUCCUGGAGACAAAUGAACACGUCAUGCUCGAAAUCCACGGAGAGUCUUUUUCGAUAUUUUUCAAUCGAAAUGUUUUUUUUAUCUUCUACAUCUACUAUUUUUUCUUAUUCUAGUGCGUGGUAACCGCGUUAAACUAUAUAAACGAGUGAACUUAUAAGUUUGAAAAUUCAGAUUUUUGUCCUCAACUUAUAAACAAUAUAGCAUGUUACGUGAACAUCACCUUCAUCUCUGAAGCUUGCUGGAAAAUCACGUUAUAACGGUUCUAACACGGAGGGCUCUAAUUUUCUUUAGAACUACCGUGGGAUUGAUUUUUUUUGUUAAACCAAAGUGAACCUUUAUGUUUGCAAAUUUCAGAAUUUCAUUUUUUCAAUUUAUAAACAAUAAAAAAAUAUUAAUGGUAUGAAUUUUUGUUUCCAAAAAAAUAAAUUGGCAGCCUAAUUUUUUACAAGUUGUUUUGUUUUACGCAAUCACUUAUUAGAAUAAUGAAUAGUUUUUUUGUGUUUUUAUUUUUGCAAAAAAUGUUGGAAAUAUAACAUUUAUAAAAUAUGGAACUAUUGAAAGGAGAAUCUAAGCGAAUUUAAAGUACUAGUGACCUAUCUUGCUUUCAAUUGUCUCUCAUCAGUGUAACACCGGAGUUCAGAAAUGGGUGGUUUCGAUUGACACCAACAAAUUUUGGUUUGAUCAGUUUUUUCAAAAUCGCAAAAUUGAUUUGAGAGGAUUGGUUUAACCCUAGGGCUCGACUUUUAAAAGAAGAAGAAGUUGACUUUGGAGUGUUUAGCCGCUUUUGUCUUCUUCCUUUAAGAGAAUAGUUUCUAAACAUUCCUAGUAAAAAUUUUGUGAUUUCAUGAGAGAUUUAGGGCUUUUCUUGAGAGUUUUGGUUAAAGGGAAGGGAUAUAUUGUGGGCCCCAUGUUCACCACCAGUCCAUGGGCCCACCUCUCUUAAUGGGCAUCAUGUCCUUUCACUAGGCCCAUAAGCCCAUUAAUAUCCGACGGUCGGUUUGCUACGUCCGAGAGGCUUAAAUACUUGUUUACCGACCUUACAAAUCACCACAUGAUAUUUCCCUCUGUUUUGGCCUCACUCACACAGUUCCGACAACCACUUCCUAGAAUGUCACCCAUCCUAUGACUACUCCUGCAUAAGCACGCUUAACUGUGGAAUUCUCUCAGGACCCUUGACCAAAAAGAUAAGUGCACUUUAGUGACAUAGGUAGCCAAAUCAAUUCAUUUAAACCUCCCCGCAACCGGGGUCUCACAAUUCUCCACCAUUAACUGACUGCAACGUCCUCGUUGCACACAACGAUUGUCACCCCCUGACAGUGUGAGCCCACCACCCACACUUGUCUGGCUUCGGCUCUGAUACCACUUGUAACGCCCCGACCGCCACCUCUCUAGUGAACCCCACGUUCACCACCAGUUCAUGGGUCCACCUCUCUUAAUAGACCUCACGUCCUCUCACUAGGCCCAUGAGCACAUCAAUAUCCGACGGUCAGUUUGAUAUGGCCGGGAGGCUUAAAUACUUGUUUACCAAUCCUAGAAUUCACCACAUGAUUUUCCCUGUGAUUUGGCCUCACUCACAAAGUUCCGAUAACCAGUUCCCAGAAGGUCACUCAUCCUUUGACUAGUCCAGCAUAAAAAUGCUUAAUUGUGGAGUUCUCUCAGGACCCUUGACCGAAAAGAUAAGUGCACUUUGGUGACAUAGGUGGCCAAAUCAAUUCAUUUAAACCUCUCCACAAUCGGGGUCUCAUAAUUCUCUCCCUUUAACAGAUCGCAACGUCCUCGUUGCGCACAACGAUCGUCACCCCCUGAUAGUGUGAGCCCACCACUCCACGCUUGUCUGGCUUCGGCUCUGAUACCACUUGUAAUGCCUCGACCGCCAUCUUUCUAGUGGGCCCUACGUUCACCACCAUCCCAUGGGCCCACCUCUCUUAAUGGACCUCACGUCCUCUCACUAGGCUUGUGAUCUGAUUAAUAACUGACGGUCGGUUUGCUACGUCUGGGAGGCUUAAAUACUUGUUUACCAAUCCUACAAAUCACCACAUGAUCUUUCCCUGUGUUUUGGCCUCACUCACACAGUUCCGACAACCACUUCUUGGAAGGUCACCCAUCCUUAGACUACUCCAGAAUAAGCGCGCUUAACUGUAGAGUUCUCUCAGGACCCUUGACCGAAAAGAAAAAUUCACUUUGGUGACAUAGGUGGCCAAAUCAAUUCAUUUAAACCUCUCCGCAAACUGGGGUCUCACACAUACCGACGCGUAGCGCGGGUUUAUAGCCUAGUAUUAUUUAAAAGUUGAAUCUAUAAACUAAAUCUGUCCACAUGAGAUUUUAAACGACCAAUCACGGUUAACCAUUUAAUUGAUUAACAUUUUUUGAAAUUAUAAAAUAUAUAAACUAUGAGAAAAUAUAGAUAAUGUAUAUAUUCAAUUUUUAACACCCUUAUCUAAUUUAAUCAAUUACGGUUAAUCAGAUUUUAAAAUAAAAGGAAUAAUUCUAAAAAAUAAGAAUUUUUGUUUUAUUUGAUGUAUUGUAUUGGAUAUAAAUGUUGAUUAUCGAUUAGUAAUAUUUUUUACAUAUUUGUUCACGCAAAAUAAAGAUAUUUUUCAGAUAUUAGUUGUGAAAAUGGCGAGUCGAUUUAAAAAACUAAUAUCAACCUUCUUCUUCUAUGUGUUUCUAGUACGAGGUGGUGCAAGUGGAGGAGAUGGUGGUCGUGGUAGCGUAGGAACCGACGACACUAAAUCGGAAACUACAGUGACCGUUGAAAAUAUAGCAAGCGAAAAAGAAAAACAUAAUAUAUAUAUAUAUAUAUAGCAAGCAGUCACGUGUUGCCUGCAUGCAUGGUUUGUUCACUGCAUGGUUUGUUCACUAGUAUAAAUGGGUUCAAUUGGUAACAUAGUCAAAACUAUAAAAAGAAAGCUGUAAGCUAAAGCGGUAAAUUUUUUUUGAAAAACAGUGUGAAGUUGUAAAGAAGAGUGGUACAUCACAACUGUACAAAAAAAACAGAGAGUCAAAAUUUAAUAAAAUUUUGGGUGAAUUAGGUGAAUAUUCAUUUUGGAUUUCAAAAUAAAUAAUAUAGCACAUUGUUUGAAAAAAAAUAGAAAACUAGGAUUAGGCGUUGAUAAAAUUACUCUUUUGGUGUUGUGAGGGUGAUAAAGAUGGGUAGUGGUCGGAGGCGGGUAGCGGUGGCCAACGGCCGGAGGUGGCGGUGGUUGAUGGCCGGCGGCCGGAGAUAGUGGUGGCCGGCGGCUAGAGGUGGCGGUGGGCGACGGCCAAAGGUGGUGGUAUUCGGUGGCUAGCGGUGGCCGCGACUGGAGGUGGUCGUGGCCGGAGGUGGCGGUGGCCAGCGGCUGGAGGUGGUGGUUGCCGGCGGCCGGAGGUGGUGGUGGCUGUAGAUUAUGACGGUUGCUGGAGGAGGUGGUGGUGGUGGUAAGGAGGUGGGGAGUGGUGGUAAGGAGGUGGGGAGUGGUGGUUGUAGGAGGUGGUGGUGUAAAUGUUUAAGAAAUAUGGAAUGGUGAUGAUAAGGUUAAAAUAGUAUAUAUUAUAGAUUAUACAUAGUAUAUCAUCUUUUAGUGGUUAGAGUAGUUAGUUAGUGAAAUAUAGUUUUUUGUAGGUUAGUUUUGCUAAAAUCUCUAAAAAUUUUGUUUAAUGCUUUUGUGAUUGGUAAAAAUUAGUAGGUACAACUAUGUACGGCUUUCUUUACUCCACCAAUCAAACUCAAUAUGAAGACAAAGUUUAUGUCGUAUAUAUUUCUUAUAUAAAAUUUAGUUUCUUGUAUAUUAUAUACUAGGGUAAUAAUCUGCGUUUCGCCACGGUUCACGGGAACCGUAAAUACUGUUUGUGUUACUACUAAUAAUUAAUCCUAAGUAUAAAUACCAAAAUUUUAAUCUUACAAUUACAUGAAUAUUUAGGUUAGGUGUUUAAGUUUGUAUUUUGAAGAUGAAUCGAUUUUGAGCAUUGAUAUUUAUUAAAUUUUCAGUUUUAUUUUUUGUGUUUUGAAAACCGAUUAGAUUACGAAUAUUCAAUACAGAUUAUAAUUUUCUCUAGAUUGCUUUUAUUUCAUUUUCUGUUUUGGUAAUAAGUAAAUUUGCAGUUUACCUAUCUAAUUAAGGUUACCCGUAUACACAAAAUUGUAUAAUUUACAUAUCUUCCAUAAUCAACCUUUGCUAUUUAGACUUGCACUUAAGAUAUUUUUUAUUUUGUUCAGAGUAAUUGUAGUAACUAUUAAUUAAUUUCAAGAAUGAUAUUUUCAACCAUGUUGUUUUAAAGCCAUGCGACGAUAAAAUCGUAUUUGUUUAAGUGAUCAGAAGAUAAGUAUUCGCAAAUGCGCAGGUCAAAUCUUAUAUUAAAAGAAAUAUAUUCUUUAAACAUUGAAAUAUUUUACUUUUGUUACUAAAAGGAUUGUUCAUAUGACAUACCAAAAGUAUUGUUAAUAUAAUAAAUAAAAAAAUUUCUUUUAUAUUUAGAUGGAUAUCUAUGUAGAAUAUAUAUUAACCUUAAUUAAACAUUUUUUAUACAAAUAUAUAUAUAUAUAUAUAUAUAUCUUAUAUAAUAAAGCACAGUUCCUCCAAACUCAUGCUCUAAAGAGCUGACACGUGUCGUCUCUACUUGUUACAUUCAUAAUAUGUCCAUUCAAUUUGUAUAUAUAUAUAUAUAUAUUUAUACAUAAUUUAGUUGUCUUAUUUUCUAUUAUUUUAGUUUUUAUAGGAUUAUUACAUUAUUAGAAAUGAUUAUAUACUAUUUUGAUUUCACAAUUUCAGUAUGUGAAGAGUUUUAUAAAAACAAUUAUAUAAUUGAAUGGAGUUUGUUAUAUGGUUUCAAUAUAAAAAUUUAUAACAUUCAAUACUAAGGUUUUUUAGUUUAGAAAUGAGUUAACUAAAUUUCAGUACAAUAUAUAUUAUUAUGUCAAAUUUGAAUUUCAUUUUUUAUGUUUUCUAGGCCACUACACAUCUUCCUAAUUAAAAUCUUAAUCUUAUUUACAUAUUUAUUUAAUGCAAGAAUUCUAUAGUGGAAAUAGUGAAGCAUUUCAAAUUAUCAACACUUAUAAUCAGCUAAAUUAAAUGAUUUAAUUAUAUGUAUGUUUUUUUAGUGAAUUUAGCUAUGUUAGAGCAUUUUAAUAAAUGUGAGUGGUCGAGCAUAUCAAAGUAUUAUUAUGGUUAUGAAAUGAUAUUAACCUAGGUUAGUAAGAUAUUUUUAUAUAAUUAUUUUCGUGAUGGAGAAUUAAGAUAUUAUAAUAUUUGUGUGGUGGAGAGCAUCAACUAUAUAGUGUUAUUUGAAAAUUUAUUUGUAAGUGUCUUCCUUCCUAUUUGUUUUUUUUUACAAAGGAUAUUUCAUUCAUUUGUUUUAUAUAAAAGUAAAUUUAUUCAACAACCCAUUUGCAUAAUAUAUAUAGGAAUUUAACUCUCCUUUGAUUGGUCCAAUUGGCAUCUUUUCUUUUAACAAAAUUUAAAUUGUAUUAAAGGAUAACAAUAAAAAUUCACAACUUGUGUGUCAUGAAUUUAACAUUUAGACUUUAUAUUCCUUACUAUUCAGUUUUGGUUUAUAAUAUGUCAAACAUUUCCAAUUUAAAUUUAUCUUCAAUAUAAAUGACUUUCUACUUCUUCCAUUCAACUUUGUUUUGUAACAUUUCUUCCAACUUAUACAAUAUUAAUUGUCUUAGAAUUAAGAAAAAGUAAGAAAGUUGUCUUAUAUUGUCUUAGAAUUAGCCACUAUGCUUAUAACACAAAAGAAAAUGACAUAGUUAUAAGGAAUUUCAAAAAUGCCCCAAUGCAAGUACCACUUUUCAAAAAUACUCCUUCUUUCAAACUUUAUCAAAAAGCCACCAAAAUAUUCAAAUAUAUCCAAAUAUGUGUAUAAUCUUAUAAAUAUAUACACGAAUAACCUUUAUAUGAGUGUAAUAUUUUUGUAUAUUUCAUAAAUACCUUAUAAAAACAUUUUAAUAUCCUUAUAAAACCUUUUAAAAACCCUGCAAACCCUUAAAAAAUUUUGUAAAAACGAUUUAAAACCUUAUAAAUUAUUUGGAUAGAAUCUCUCAAUAGUAGUUAUUAUCUAAAAGUACCUUAUAAACCAUAUAACUCUUCAUAAUUUUCAUAUUUAAAAAUGGUAUUUUUGAAAAUGUAUAGACAAAUAAUAUUUUCGAAAAGGAGUAUACCAAAAAGGGUAUUUAUCAAAAAAUUUCUAAUUAUAAAUACAUAUCACUAAAAAGAAAAAACAAAAACAAAAAAAAAAGCUCUCUCUCUUCUCUCUCCCUUCUCUCUAGAAAACCCUAAUUUGUGGCUGCCGUUUGCCUCUCCGGCUUGCCCUUCCGGCGCCGGGGAGGGUUUCUCGUUUCCCUUUAGUUGCUGAGCAGCCUCUCUUCGGCGUUUCUCUUCCCAGCUGUUGCAGCAGUCCUCCUUCCGUUUCUGGGACUAGGUAGGUGGUUUCGGAGUAGAUCUGGCGCGUGGAGAAAGCGAGAUGUUUGUGGUGGUCGUUGGAGUCUCCCAUGGUUUGCGAGAUUGGGGAUAUCUCCGUUCUGUGUUCUCUCUCCGGCGGAUCUGGGUUGAAUGUCUUGUUUUGCGUCGUUUCUCUCCGAGGGUUGUUGGGUUUGCAGAGUGUCGGGGAUCUAAGCUCUCGUCCUUAGGAUGAGUCUUAGGGAUCGGUUUCUGGUGUUUCUUCUGCUGGAUUCGCGGAUCUCCCUUUCUCCAGUCGGUAAGCUUGCUUGCUUCAAUGGGGUGUGGUUUCGUCAGGUGAGUUGGUUAUGGGAUGUGCUUAAUUGUGGGUCUUGGUGCAAUUGGAGGGUUGAGCUGAGUAAGGACUCUCUCUCCAGCAGCGGUGGUGUGGAUUUUCCUUCAUGUGAUGCUUGGCGGUGUGGGUUCAUUUGGAUGGUUGAGGAGACCUUGUGCUAAGCGAUCUCUGUUUUGAAGACGGCAGAUGAUUCCCUGUGGUGUCCCUUCGCUGCUCAUGCAUCCAAAUGGCCGCUAUGGUUUGCAGCGAAAGUCGGUGGAGGGAAUGGAGAGUUCGCUGUCGUCCAGGAGGUUAACUGUAGAUCCCUCGGGAUCUUAGAAGGCGGAUCCGGGUCACGGUUUCAUGAAUGUGGCUUGAGCAAUUACAAUCAAUGAGACCGCCGUGUAUUCUGUUUCCUCCGGACCGGAUGGAUUGAUUCCUUACUUGGAGUUAACGAAGUUCACCGGAUCUAGAAGUGGGGGUUAGCUCUGAGUGUGUUUUUGGUUGCUAGGCACGGGACCAGCACCGUAGAGCCUGCUGUCGGCGGUUAGAACAGACCGGGAGAUUUGUUCCGGGCCAGGUGAGUCGAUGUUUUGGAACCAGAGUCGGAGUCCGGUUGCUUCUGGUAACAGUUCCACUUCAAAGUCUCUGCCGCAAAGGAAUGAGUCUCGCAUCCGCCGGAAUUACUGUUCCGACCGCUGCUUCAGGUCUUUCAGCAGGAGAAGAUCUCAUUUUGGGAUUUGGGCUGUAAUUUUGUUUUCUCCCCUUUAGCCCAAUAAUUGUAUGUUCAAGGCCUUGCCCAUUUAAAAAAAAAAAAUAUACAUAUCACUAUUCAAAUAUCUUUUGUCUAUCUCUUAUAAUCAUCAUUUUUUACAAAAACUUGGUCUUAGGUAACAUUUUACAUUUAUUUUAAAAGUAGUUUGUCAUUUUUAAUGUAUAUCUAAUCAUAAAAGAUUGCAUAAUUUAUAAUCUUAAAUUUCACCCACGCAUCGCGUGGAACUCUCCCUAGUAUAUAGAUAUACACAUAAAAGUUACUAUCGCGACAACAUACUUUACAUUUUAGAAGGGUGAAAAUGUAAUCCGGAAUUUAGAGCAUACGUGAGCUCUUCGGACUACGCCAUUAAUAUAUUAGAUACUACAAAAAUUUGAAAAAAUUAAAUAUAUUAUAUAUAAAAAUGUGAAAAUAAGAUAUGUGAUAAUGUAAAGAAAAUUAAUGAUUGAAAUUAGUAUAUCUACAAAAGAGUGAUUUAAAAACUAAUUUAAACUUUAAAAUUGAUAAUUUAUUUUUGUAAAAUAAAUAAAAAUAAGUUUUAAUUUUAUUUUUAAAUAUAGGCCCGCAAGCUGGCUCGCUCAUUGGACUCAGGAAACGCGCUUGAACACAACGUUAUUUCCCACCUCCAGCUGGGCAUGUCCUAAGAGGCAUUAUUUUUCAUACAAUGUAAUGGGCCAGCCCGUUUUGACUUAUCAAAUUAUACUAAAAAUAUUUUGCAAAAUAUAAACCUUAAUAAAAUCGUAUAAUUGCUUUUAGUUAUAAAAUCAAAACCCCUAAUUCUUCUUAAAACUCAAAUUGAUAUAAAAAUUUGUUUAAUUGUAAAAUAUAAACCUCAACCACUCGUUUACAAAUCUAUACUAACAAAUAAUUUUGUUUAAUUAUAGAAUCUAAACCUAAGUCCUCGUUUAUAAACCCAAACCGCACAUAAAUUCGUUUGAUUAUAAAAUAUAAACCCUAAUCACUCUUUUAUAAACCCAAACUGACAAAUAGUUUCUUUUAGUUAUAAAAUAUAAAAUCCUAACCACUAUUUUAUAAACCCAAACCAACAUUUUUUUUUAAUUGUAAAAUCUUUACCCUAACCACUCUUUUAUAAACUCAAAGUGACAUUAAAUUUUUUAUAAUUGUAAAAUCUAAACCCUAGUCAUUAUUUAUAAAAAGACACCGGCAUAUAAUUUUUAAUUGUAAAUCGAAAUCCUAAUCUUCUUAAUCAUAAAUUCAAACCGACAUAUCACCUCGUUUAAUUGUAAAAGCUAAACUCAAAUGCUUAAUUUAUAACUCAAACUGUUAUCUUGUUUAAUCAAUAAUUAUACAUAUUUUAUUUCCUUUUUUUCUGAUUUUAAUUUUAAUUUACUUUUAAAAUAUACUAUUUCCAGUAAAGGUGUCAAGCGGCUGCUAGCCCGCUGAACUUAUGGGGCAUGCUUGGACAUAACGUUUUUCCCCGCGUCAAGUUGGGCAUGUUUGCACGGUUUUUAUUUAUUCAGGACCAUGCUGGACCAGCUCAUUUGACACCUCUAAUUAGUAGCAUAUUGUUAUAUUUUAAUUGGCUAAUAAAGAGAGAUGGCUAAGAAAGUGCCUGAUUUGAAAAUUUUCUCUAUUGUAGUCAGACCCUGGGAAAAAGCUGCCAUUCAUUCUAGUCAUCAAUCUUCAGGUUUGAAUGCUAUCUGCAACAUGAACUCUAUAUGUAUAUGUCAGUCUUUUUAUUAAAAGUUUGUUUGAAUAGGGAACUCGCUAAUGACUAAUUGGACUCAACCUAUAUGAUUAAGCUUUUAAUGUAUAUUUUGUCGCUAAUCGUCUUUGAUUAUCUGUAAAAAUGUGCCGCACAUAUAUCACUAAAAGUUUCUAGUAUUUUGGAAUUGUGAUUGUGAUAGUACAAUCAUUUUAUAACCAAACAUUUUCCCUACUUAAAGUCUAUCUAACUCUUAUAUUGUCUGGUACUCUACUAUGCUGCGGAUAGACCUGUAAACAAGACUACAUCCCUGGGAAAAUUUGUGGAUGGGAGUGACAGUUACCGCGACGCAAGAUUUAAGCUAAUUCCAAGUAUUGUUCAGGAUCAUCGGCUGUUGCGAGGAGCGUUAUUGGUCUGGUCCUUGGUUAUGUCACAAGCCUCAUUGUUGAUCUUGCCAUCUUGAUCGAGGUUCGUUUAGAGUCUCACUGCUGGAGUUAUCAUAUCUUUAUAUAAGAGGGCUUAAACUUUUUGUUAAACAUCUGUUUGAAUGCAAUCAUCGGUCAAAUAGUUAAAUGUUCAACUUCCAAAUGCAAAUGCAGGGAAAGAAGGAAACCGAUCUGCCAGAGUAUAUCCUUGGGACAGUUCGGCUUAACCGAAUAGAGAAAAUAAAGAUUUGUUGGAUUGCGACAAUCACAUUACCUUUCGUAAACUCAUUGAUAUUAGAGAACAAACAAUGCCUAAUCGAGACCAAAAAAGAAAAAGACAAAUGAACAAUAAAAGAUUGAACAAUAAAAGAUUGAACUUCAAAAGAUUUCUUCUUUUGUUUCAGAGAUGUUCUUUACGAUAUGUGCUUUUGUUGCCACAAAACAUUUAAAGAAGCAUAUGCAUAUGUAAACAACCAGAAAUGAGAAUUAUAGAUUUUCUUUAUUCAUAGAACAUUGAAUUUUAUGUGUUUAUAUAAUGUUUGCAUAAUCAUCCUUCAGCAAUAAGAAACAUGACCCAAAGCUCUAUGGUAUCAAUCUAAAUAGCAUGUGAAUGUGAUACAUAAUUUAAUAUCUUCGUAAUGGCUAAACAAUUUUACAGUAAACUUGUUCUUUAUGUUCUUAAAACAAGUUAAGUCAAUAUACAUGAAACAGAAUAAUAUGAAAACUUCUUAAACCUAUUGAAAGUUCCUAGAGAAUCUAAUAAUUUUUCAUACAUCCCACACAUCACUAUUUUCCAAAACAAAAAACAACUUAGCACGUCCUCUACAUGUAUUUCAAAGUGCCAUACACGAACCCAAGUUGGGAAGAUACUAUAAUAUUUACGGACACAAAAGAAAAAGACUAUAUAAAGGACUUUCAUUUCCAAGUAAAUCAUAACCAAAACAAAGAAACCAAAAGAGUAGCGACGAGUAUUAUGAUCUCCUCAAGAAUGGUGGGACGAGUGCAUUGCAUGGUUUAUGUCGUGGUCUUGAGUGCCAUCGCGGCUACAGUGAGAGCAUAUCCUUACUCCUCCCCUCAAACACCCCAAUACAGUUCUCCGGUUUACAAACACGAAUCACCUUAUUCAUCACCUAAAAAGUAUUCUCCAUACUAUUCGGCAUCACCUCCAACUCCACUACAAUAUAGAAGACAAGGUCCUAAGCACACCCCACAUUCGAAACCAUAUGUUUACACAUCUCCACCACCACCGACUUACUACUCCCCUUCUCCUAAAGUAGACUACAAGUCGCCACCUCCACCAUACGUCUACAGCUCCCCACCACCACCUUAUUACUCUCCUUCUCCUAAGGUCGACUACAAGUCUCCACCUCCCCCAUACGUCUACAGCUCCCCACCACCACCUUAUUAUUCUCCAUCCCCAAAGGUCGACUACAAGUCUCCACCACCACCAUACGUCUACAGCUCCCCACCACCACCUUAUUACUCUCCUUCCCCAAAGGUUGAUUACAAGUCUCCACCUCCACCAUAUGUCUACAGCUCCCCACCGCCACCAUAUUACUCUCCUUCCCCAAUGGUCAACUACAAGUCUCCACCUCCACCAUACGUGUACAGCUCCCCACCACCACCUUAUUACUCUCCUUCCCCAAAGGUCGACUACAAGUCUCCACCUCCACCAUACGUCUACAGCUCCCCACCACCACCUUAUUACUCUCCUUCUCCUAAGGUUGACUACAAGUCUCCACCUCCCCCAUACGUCUACAGCUCCCCACCACCACCUUAUUAUUCUCCAUCCCCAAAGGUCGACUACAAGUCUCCACCACCACCAUACGUCUACAGCUCCCCACCAGCACCUUAUUACUCUCCUUCUCCUAAGGUCGACUACAAGUCUCCACCUCCCCCAUACGUCUACAGCUCCCCACCACCACCUUAUUAUUCUCCAUCCCCAAAGAUCGACUACAAGUCUCCACCACCACCAUACGUCUACAGCUCCCCACCACCAACUUAUUACUCUCCUUCCCCAAAGGUUGAUUACAAGUCUCCACCUCCACCAUAUGUCUACAGCUCCCCACCGCCACCAUAUUACUCUCCUUCCCCAAAGGUCAACUACAAGUCUCCACCUCCACCAUACGUGUACAGCUCCCCACCACCACCUUAUUACUCUCCUUCCCCAAAGGUCGACUACAAGUCUCCACCUCCACCAUACGUCUACAGCUCCCCACCACCACCUUAUUACUCUACUUCCCCAAAGGUCAACUACAAGUCUCCACCUCCACCAUACGUGUACAGCUCCCCACCACCACCUUAUUACUCUCCUUCCCCAAAGGUCGACUACAAGUCUCCACCUCCCCCAUACGUCUACAGCUCCCCACCACCACCUUAUUACUCUCCUUCUCCUAAGGUUGACUACAAGUCUCUACCUCCACCAUAUGUCCCGAAGACACCUUACUAUUGAAUUGGUUUGUAACCUUGCAUGGUUGCAAUAAUUAUUUUCUUAUGGAUUUUGUCCCUUGUUACACCCUUUUUCUUAUAUUGUGAUUUGAGUCUUCUGAAUUUAUUUUUUGUUACACUAUCUCUUGAAGAUUUUAUGUAACCAAUAAAUUUUUAUUUGGCUAUUUUUAAAAAAUUUAUUUGUUAUUUAAUAUUUGUGCGAAUUGGCUAGAACUUUGCAAUAUAAAACCUAUGUAUUGUACUUCAUAUUUUACUAUACACUACAAUAUAUAGCUUGUGCAUGGUAUUUGGAGCUUAAUGUAUGUGCAAUUUAUAUGAACCUUAAAAUCUUUUGAGAAACAUGAUUAAUUACAUGAUAGGGAAAAUAAAUUAUUCCUUACAAUAGUAUUCUAUAAGUUGCUUUAUCCCUUGAGUUGCUUGUUACCAGUGUCUAGCUUUAUAUCAUAGUAUAUAUUGAUGAUAUUAUCAUUGUCUUACCAAUAGUAUUUCUAAGCUAAUUCAGCAGUUUGUUAGUCUUCUUAAUGCCCUAUAUCUUGGUCAAGGAUAAAUGUUGAGCUUAGCUAUUAUUUUUGCCCGCACAGCAGUGGUCCAGUGGUAAGGGAGAAUUGGGGAAAGGUUGGAAAGAACUAACCCAUGUUCGAUCCACCCUGGAAACAAAAAUCAUUGUUGUGUGGGAAGUCUGUCAGUUGGGCCUUGGCCCAAUUGGUUUACCUGGUAGUCAGAAAUGAAAGCGGCCUGACUAUGGACUGGAAGGGGUAUUUACCCAUCCCCAACCUGCAAUAGACAGUGUGGAGGUCAUUGGGGAGAAGUCCACUCUGAAGCACUUCGGUGCGUUUCUACCGGGGCUGACCGGAUCAGCCGAUAGGGUUUAUCAAAAAAAAAAAUGGCAUAAUAACAUCAUACCAUGACCAUAAUAAGAUGGUUGUUGGGAAUCCAGUUUCAAGACAGUUCAAUCGCCUUUGCUAUGAACAAACUCUCUUAGUUCAUGCCUUUUUCUACAUCGUCAUCUUGUUCACAGUUGUUUAGUUAGUGUAAUAAUGUUGGUAUCUAAUAUUAUUGAUCUUAUGUCCUGACCACAAGUCAUUCGAAGAGAGAUUGAUUAUACCAUUUAUCACUUCCUUUGAUUUAUUUAAGUGCAUUGAAUUGACAACGAAUAUUUGGCUAAUCGAUACACUACUCUGAAGACUAAUUACAAAAAAAAAUAGAUUAAGUAGAAUCAAAUGACUAAUGAGAGGAAGACGGAGACAAAUGAAAUAGUAGAUAAUCGAAGCCGUUAGAACUUGUCGAAGACGAUAUUAGAGACUACAAAAUUUUGAUAAAAUUAAAUAUCUAUAUAUAUAUAAAGUUAAAUUUUCUCUCUUCUCCUUAAGCCAUCUCAUCAUCCUAAUCAUCAUCCAAAUCAUUUUAUUAUUUAAUAUUAAUAAUUUAUUUAUAUCAUUUUAUUCUUUAAUCUAAAUAUUUAUACACAUGUAAACAAGUUUUUCAAAAAGAAAUAUGAAAAGUCCUUUCAAACAUCAUCCACAUCAUUUUACUAUUUAAAUUUAAUAAUUUAUUUAUACCAUUUUAUCAUUUAAGUUAAAGAUUUAUACACAUGUAAACAAGUUUUUUCAAAAAAAAAAAAUGAAAAGUCCUUUCAAAUAAUAAUUAUAAUAAAAUAAAUAUGUUAAAUUAGUAUAAAGUAGGUUAUACUAAUAUGUAUGUUAAAUAACAAUAACAAAUAACAAAUAUAACAAAAAAAUAACAAAUAAAAAUAACAAACCAAAAUAAAUAGAUAAUAAACAACAGAUCGCCAAAUCAAUAAAUACAAAAUACAACAAUCCGCGCGAAAUCCACAAAUGAUUCUCAACUUUUGGACCAAAAUAUUAAAAGGACCCACAAUAUUAACAUCAUCUAGAUCUAUAUUUGGUGGGAGCCUUAAUAACACAUUUUUUCUACAACUCUCCAUAACACUUCUGUUUAUGCUUAAACAUCGAUUUAUACUAUAGACACUUAAUUUCUCAAAUACUAUCGAAACUAAAAUAAAAUAGAUUUUUUAUACAAACACAACAUGAGAUAGAAAAUAAAAAUAUUCUGUAGUGGAGAAAAUAAGUACGAAAUAAAACACAAAUCAAUUGCUCAUAAACAAAGUAAUAAAAUUCCCGCGCAUAGCGCGAGCAACUGACUAGUAUUAUAUAUAAAAAUGUGAAAAUAAGAUAUGUGAUAAUGUAAAGAAAAUAGUGAUUAAAAUUAGUAUAUCUACAAAAGAGUGAUUUAAAAAUUAAUUUAAACUUUAAAAUUGAUAAUUUAUUUUGUAAAAUAAAACAAACUUUUAAUUUUAUUAUUAAAUAUAGGCCCGCUAGCUGGCUUGCGCAUUGGACUUAGUAAACUGAUAUAAGAUUGGAAUCCAACAAGUCAUAUUGAUCAAAAGAUGUCAAGAGUUGACAAGCUUUGUUGCGGAAGAUGGACAAAGGUAGAGAUGGAGAUGGGGUUUUCGAUUGAUUCCACAAUCACACACAAACAAGAAGACUUGAUUCCACAAGCAAACUGAUCCGCAAAUCAAUAGAAAACAAGUGAUUCCACAUUUAGAUUCUAAAGACAAGAACAAUAACACAAAGACACAACUUUCUAAGAAAAACGAUCGUUUAUUAAAUCAAUGAUAAUGGGUGCUUUACAAUGAAAACGAAGCUGAGCUAAAUAGGCUCAUAAACCACGGUCCUAAUAAGCUAAAACAAGAAAAGAAUCGCAAACUUUAAAGCAUAGAGCCGUUUGUGACUUUAUGAGAAAAUCGGCCAAAUAAGGAAGGUCUCGUAGAUUGUAUCUUGAGAGCUUGGGAAGAUAGGUGCGACAUAUUGGGACUAUCUGGAAUGUUUUAGUGUCUUUAAAAUGCAGCAGCCUUGAUAGAUAAAAAUCCGUUGUAGAUUUAAAGCUCCAAGUGUGAAUGCUUCUAGAAUAGGAAAGUAGAGAUGCAAGAGGAUUCGCGUAAUCCUGUGGAUGCUGGUGCAAGGUAUGGCAUAAUGGAUUGUCUCUAGAUGAUAAAGAAUUUCUCCAGGUCGCCAAACAUAAGCCUCGAAGGAACCAAAGAAGGAAAGUUCCAUUUUUGGUAACAUAUGGCCCUCGGGUAAGGCCGAAUGAGCAAGUACUAAACCAACUCGAACCAUGGGUGUUUUGGCUCGAUAAAUAUGCUCCAAAUAGUUGAUUUGGUGGUGAAUAAUGAAGCCGAGAUCAAAUGGACGAGUGAAUUCUCCAAACUGCGGCUUAGCUCGCCAAUGAACAUGUCCGAGGAUGCUCUCAUGGCCAUCUCUCAAAAUACCUCGAAGGGGGACUAAUGAUGCUCGUUCAUUCCUUUUAAAAUACCCAUAUUGUGGACGUAUUUCAAACCCCAACUUUAAUGGACGUGUAGUUGGGCUGGUGGUUCCAUAUGCUUGCUCGUGGUAUGGUGGAAACAGGUCUUCAUGAUCGAUUCUUCUUUCCGAUCGUUCUUCUUCAAUUCUGGAUCGAUAGAUCUUCAUAAAAUGUGUACUUUUCGAGUGAAUACUCAAUAUUGGUCGAGCAAAUUCUUCAUUUGGUCGAUCAACUUGGAUUCGGCAUGAUCCGUGUGGUACGUCAUGCACGUUGGAUGAAAUGGAUCGUUUGUAUCUGAUUCCGGCUCGAUGGAUCUCCUUAAAAUCAUCAAUAUAUUGAUGAAUAUUCAAUAUUGGUCGAGGAAAGUCUUCAUAUGGUCGAUGGGAUUGAACAUGGUAAUGUCCGGAUGGGUUGUCGUGGAGAGUCUUCAAUCUGGUCAGUUGAUUUCUGAUUUCUCCUGAACCAUUAGUCUUCUUAGGGGUAAUUUUAUGUUGAAUAAUCAACCCUAGGCCUUGCGCUUGAUCAGAACUCCAUAUUCGCCAAAAUUCUCCAUUUUUGUCCGGUACGGUUUGGUUGAUGCUUGAACCGGCUGGUCUGGUCAACUCCGGGUCUUGUUUGAUACUGAUGACCGCAUCAGAAACGCGCUUGAACACAACGUUAUUACCCACCUCCAGCUGGGCAUGUCCUAAUAGGCAUUAUUUUUCAGACAAUGUGAUGGGUCAGCCCGUUUUGACUUACCAUAUUAUACCCAAAAUAUUUUGCAAAAUAUAAACCCUAAUAAAAUCGUAUAAUUCCUUUUAGUUAUAAAAUCAAAACCCCUAAUUUUUUUUAAAACUCAAAUUGACAUAUAAUUUUUUUAGUUGUAAAAUCUACACCUUAACCACUCUUUUAUUAAUCAAAACUGACAAAUAAUUUUGUUUAAUUAUAAAUAUCUAAACCUUAGUCCUCGUUUAUAAACCCAAACCGCACAUAAAUUCGUUUGAUUAUAAACUAUAAACCCCAAUCACUCUUUUAUAAACCCAAACUGACAUAUAAUUUCUUUAAAUUAUAAAAUAUAAAAUCCUAAUCACUAUUUUAUAAACCUAAACCGACAUAUAAUGUUGUUUAACUGUAAAAUCUAUACCCUAACCAUUCUUUUAUAAACUCAAAACGACAUUAAAUUUUGUUUAAUUGUAAAAUCUAAACCCUAGUCUUCAUUUAUAAACCGACACCGGCAUAUAAUUUUUAAUUGUAAAUCGAAAUCCUAAUCUUCUUACUCAUACAUUCAACCCGACAUAUAACCUGGUUUAAUUGUAAAAGCUAAACUCAAAUGCUUAAAUUAUAAACCCAAACUGUUAUCUUGUUUAAUUAAUAACUAUACAUAUUUUAUUUCCUUAAAAAUGUUCUGUUUUCUGAUUUUAAUUUACUUUUAAAAUAUACUAUUACCAUUAAAGGUGUCAAGCGGCUGCUAGCCCGUUGGACUUAUGGGGCAUGGUUGGCCAUAACGUUUUUCCCCGCAUCAAGUUGGGCAUGCUCGCACCGGCUUUAUUUAUUCAGGACCAUGAUAGACCAGCACUAUUUCCAUAUCGAGUGUAUAUGGUCCAUCGAAAGUCAUUUAUAUUUUUGGUAAAAUUUUAUCAUGUUCCCAUUUUAAUCUCACUCAUGUUAUCACAUUUUUAAUCUCAUUCAUGUUAUCACGUUCAUAAUCAUUGUUGACUCAUUCGUAAUCAGUCAUCAUCAAAUUUACAUUACUUUCGUACAUCAUGAUUAAUUUUCUCUAGUGUUUUUAAAUUUAGUCGUAUGCCUUAUGCCAAUGCCAUAUUCUAUGGUGAGCUGUUGGCUAACGAUGGUAUAUGUCUAAUAAUGUACAUAAAUUAGUAAUAUAUAUUUACAUAUAAUUUAUGUUAUUUUUCUUUUUAAAACAAAAAUUAGUCAUUUCCAUCUUUGUUGUUUUAAAAUUGUAACAUAUAUAGCUUACAGGUUUUUUUUAGGGAUUCAAAAUGUUAAUUGGUAAGUAUCACAGAUAAUUUCGGUUUACCAUCAUCCAAUUUCCUUCAAACAUGUAAAUAUCUUAUUAUUUCAAUCUUUAUAUUUAUAAAAUUGUAACAUUUAUAUAAUUUUUGCAUGACGACCAAAAAAAAUUAUAUAAUUCUUGGAUAUUAUAAUGUAACGUAUACUUAUCUCCAACCAUAUUAUAUAUAACACAACAACCCUUAUUUCCAUCUUUAUUUUUUUCAAUUUUAAAUAUUUAUAUAAAUAAAGUUAUAAAUUUUAUUUAGAUCAAUGAUAUGUAAUCAUGAUGAUAUUUUCUUCAAUAAAUAUCUUUGUAUUACUAAAAUAUAAAUUUGUGAAUAUGACAGACGAUGAUAUAAAGUUAUGGAGAAUUCAUACAAAUUCUUGUAUUUAUAGAAGUAAACAUUAUAAUAUUAUAUCUCCGUUUUUCUUAUAAAAAAGAUGGAAACAGUUUUGCAUGUUUGUUAAUAAUAAAGAAUAUUAAAUACAUAUCAGUAGUUGGAUAAUACAUAUCAUAAACAUACAAAAAGAUAUCAAACUUCUAAAUGUUUUAUAUUCAAUAAUUAUUAUGAAAUUCUGAAGGUUUAUAAUAUUUAAGGUUUAGAUAAUUUAAAGUUUGAUAUUUAUCUAUAUAAAAAGCGAUAAGUCAUGGGUUUACUCGACAUGAUUUUUUAAAUUUAAUUAUGCUUUAAUUUGCUCGUGAUUGACAUGCUUUAGAUUAAGAGAAUUUUUGAGAAAUGCUGUACCCUUUUCCAAAAAUACAUUUCUUUUCUAUCUAUUUUCAAAAUUACCCUUUUUCAAAUAUAAAAAUUAUAAACUUUUAUCUGGUUGAUAAUGUACAUCAAGAUCAUCAUUACUACUAGCAGACUAAAUCCAAAUAUUUAUAAGGUUUUAAAAGGUUCUAAACGGUAUUUAUAAUGUUUAUAUAAGGUUUUUAAAAAGUUUAUAAAGUUUUCAUAAGGUUUUUAAAGGUUUUUAAUAGGUAUUUAUAUUAUAUUUAUGAAAUAUAUAUGUAAAUUUACACACAUAUAAAGAUAAUUUGUGUCUAGAAAUAUAAGAUUACACAUAUUUUGUUGAUAAAUUUCAAAAUUUCUAGUGACUUUUUGAAAAAAUUAGAAAGAGGGGUAUUUUUAAAAAGUGGUAUUGGAAAAUUGGUAUUUUUCAAAUUCUCCCUAGAUUCAAGAGAAAUUUCUACCAAUACCCUUCUUAUGAUACCCUCUUUUAAAUAUACCCUUUUUGUCAUUUUCAUUUUUGCCAUCUCUUAAAUUUUAAUGGCCAUUUUACCCCUAGUUGAAAGAAUAUUCUUUCCAAAAAAUUUCCCCCAAAAGAUUUCCCGCCAAAAACUUUCUCGCCAAAAUUUUCCCGUCAAAAAAAAUUCCGAGAAAAAAUUUCCUGCCAAAACAAUUUCCGCAAAAAUUUUCCCGCAAAAAACAAAAUUUUCCCGCCAAAUUUUUUUAAAGUUUUUACAAGAUUUUUUAAAGGGUUUACAAGAGUUUUUAAAAGAGUUUACAAAGGUUUUUAAAGGGAUUUACAAGAGUUUUUAAAUGGUUUUAAAAAGAUUUGUAAUGUUUUUUAAAAAGGUUUAGAAGCUUACAAAGGUUUUUGAAUGGUUUUUAAAUGAUUUACAAUGGUUUUUAAAAGUUUUUAUAAGUUUAUAACAGUUUUUAAAGGAUUUCAAGGAUUUUUAAAAGAUUUUAAAAAUUUACAAGGAUUUUUAAAGGUUUUUUAAAAGGAUUUACAAGUGUUUUUAAAGGCAUAAAAGGAUUUAAAAAUGAUUUUAAAAGGAUUUACAAGGAUUUUGAAAGAUAUUUACAAAGAUUUAAAAAUAGUUUUAAGGAUUUACAAGAUAUUUUAAAGGGUUUUAGAAGUAUAAAAAGGAUUUUAAAGGGUUUACAAAAGUUUUUAAAGGUAUUACAAGUUCUUUAAAAUGGUUUUAAAUGAUUUAUCACAGUUAUAAGGGGUUUAAAGAGAUUUACAAGUGUUUGUAAAUGUUAUAAAAUGAUUUACAAUGGUUUUAAAAAGUUUACUCAAGUUUUGAAAGGUUUUUGAUGACUUUUAAAAGAUUUACAAGGGUUUUUAAAGGAUUUUUUAAGGGAUUUAAAAAUAUUUACAAAGUUUCUUAAAAGGUUUUUUAAGGAAUUGCGGAAAAAUUUUGAAUGAAAUUUUUGGCGGGAAAUUUUAGUCAGAAAGUUUUGGCGGGAAAUUUUUCGGAAGAAAUUCCUUUCUUCAUCAUGGGUUAUAAUAAAGGAGGGUAAUUUAGUCAUUUUGUACAUUGAAAAGGGCAUUUUUGAAAAUGGACACCUAGAGAAGGUAUUUGUAGAAAAGGGUAUCAUAAAAAGGUUAGUUGUGCAAAUCCCCCUAGAUUUAAUAGCUUUAAUUUGCUCGUGAUCGAGAUGCUUUAGAUUUAAUAAUUAAUUAAUAUAUCAAAGUAGCCAUAGGUAAAACUCUUAUUAAAACAGUAAAACUAAAUCCUAAAAAUUGUUAUAUCAAUCCAAAAAAAAAUUCAAGAAAACAGUGAUCAUAAUUUUUUGAAGUACUUUUCAAAAUCUUCUAUAUUGGUUUCCUUUUCUUGGACCUUGGCUUCCACAUCUUUUAUUUUAAACCAAACAAAUCCGUUUGGAAAAUUUUCAUAUGUCAAUUUUCUUGCUUGAUGAUCUAAGAUAUUGCAUUCCAUCCAACCUAAGAAUUUUGUUUUUUUCUUCGUAGAGAGCGAGUUUACAUCUUCUUUGGAGUUCAUCUUUAAUAGCUAACAAAAAUAAUAAUUCAAAUUAAAGCUUAUCAAAAUUAAACAAAUAGAAGUUAAAACACACAAACCGAGAUAAUAUACUUGUUUCAAAAGUUGAUGUAAGCAAAGGCAAAGGUGUAAGAUUCUUUGAUGUUGCUUUCCAAACAACAACUACACGAAGAGGAAAAGAAAAAAUAGAUUAUGAUGAGUAACACGAAUCACAAAUAUUAGCAUGCAAAUAUAAAUUUGUGAACAUUAUAGAAGCCUUAGGAACAAUUUUAAAAAAAAUUUGAGUUAUGGAGAGAGCACACAAAUUAUUAUGGUAUUUUAGAAGUAAAAUACAAUUUUUUCUAGGGUUUCAAAUAAGGAGGUGUAUUUUUUACGGACAUUUUUACGUAAGCCCAUUCGCUUAAAAACCCUAAUUUUAAAAUUCUUAAAAAAUCACUUUAAACCAAUUUCGGUUUAGGUUUUAAAAAUUUCAGUUUUAGUAAUAUAAAUUAUGAUUUUGGUUUAUAUAUUUUCGUUUUUUUGGGUUUUAUUUUAACUAAUUAAAGACUUAACAAAAAAAAUAUAAGCCAGCAGUAUUUUCAUUAAAAGCAAAACGGUAAUCCGUUUCUCGGAACGAAUGUGAGCUCUUUUGACUACUUCUUUAAUGAUAUAGAUGAUACGCUUACAAGUUAUUUGAUAAAAUAAUAAUUAUCGUGUGUAACUUUAAGUAUUUUAUGUGUGUACAUAUUCUUGCAUAAUCAUCCUUCGGAAAUAAGAAACAUCACCCAAAAUUGUAUAUGAUAUCAAUUAAAUAGCUAAACAAUCUUUCAGCAAACCAGUUUCCUCAUGGUCUGAAAACAAGUUAAGUCAAUAUACAUGAAGCAGAAUAAUAUGAAACGUUGCUAGAGAAUCUAAUAAUUUAUCAUACAUCCCACACAUCACUAUUUUCCAAACAAACAACUUAGCACGUCCUCUACAUGUAUUUGAAACUGCCAAACACGAACCCAAUUUGGGAAGAUACUAUAAUAUUUACCCACACGGAAGAAAAAUACUAUAUAAAGGACAUUCAUUUCCAUGUAAAUCAUAACCAAAACAAAGAAACGAAAAGAGCAGAAACGAGUAUUAUGAUCUCCUCAAGAAUGAUGGGACGAGUGCAUUGCAUGGUUUAUGUCGUGUUCUUGUGUGCCAUCGCGGCUACAGUGACAGCAUAUCCUUACUCCUUACCUCAAACACCCCAAUACAGUUCUCCGGUUCACAAACACGAAUCACCUUAUUACUCUCCUUCCCCAAAGGUCGACUACAAAUCUCCACCUCCCCCAUAUGUUUACAGCUCCCCACCACCACCUUAUUAUUCUCCAUCCCCAAAGGUCGACUACAAGUCUCCACCACCACCAUACGUCUACAGCUCCCCACCACCAACUUAUUACUCUCCUUCCCCAAAGGUUGAUUACAAGUCUCCACCUCCACCAUAUGUCUACAGCUCCCCACCGCCACCAUAUUACUCUCCUUCCCCAAAGGUCAACUACAAGUCUCCACCUCCACCAUACGUGUACAGCUCCCCACCACCACCUUAUUACUCUCCUUCCCCAAAGGUCGACUACAAGUCUCCAUCUCCACCAUAUGUCCCGAAGACACCUUACUAUUGAAUUGGUUUAUAACCUUGCAUGGUUGCAAUAAUUUUUUUCUUAUGGAUUUUGUCCCUUGUUACACCCUUUUUCUUAUAUUGUGAUUUGAGUCUUCUGAAUUAUUUUUUGUUACACUAUCUCUCGAAGAUUUUAUGUAACCAAUAAAUUUUUAUUUGGCUAUUUUUAAAAAAUAUAUUUGUUAUUUAAUAUUUGUGCGAAUUGGCUAGAACUUUGCAAUAUAAAACCUAUGUAUCGUACUUCAUAUUUUACUAUACACUACAAUAUAUAGCUUGUGCAUGGUAUUUGGAGCUUAAUGUAUGUGCAAUUUUUAUGAACCUUAAAAUCUUUUGAGAAACAUGAUUAAUCACAUGAUAGGGAAAAUAAAUUAUUCCUUACAAUAGUAUUCCUUGAGUUGCUUGUUACCAGUGUCUAGCUUUAUAUCAUAGUAUAUAUUGAUGAUAUUAUCAUUGUCUUACCAAUAGUAUUUCUAAGCUAAUUCAGCAGUUUGUUAAUCUUCUUAAUGCCCUAUUUCUUGGUCAAGGAUAAAUGUUGAGCUUAGCUAUUCUUUUUGCCCGCACAGCAGUGGUCCAGUGGUAAGGGAGAAUUGGGGAAAGGUUGGAAAGAACUAACCCAGGUUCGAUCCACCCUGGAAACAAAAAUCAUUGUUGUGUGGGAAGUCUGUCAGUUGGGCCUUGGCCCAAUUGGUUUACCUGUUAGUCAGAAAUGCAGGCGGCCUGACUACCCUCUGGCAUUAGUCGGAAAGCAUUCCAAACUCGGGAUAGACAAUGUGGUGGCCCUUUGGGGAGAAGUACACUAUGUAGCAUUUCGGUGUGUUUUUACCGGGACUAACUGGAUCAGCCGAUAGGGUUUAUCAAAAAAAAAAAAAAUGGCAUAAUAACAUCAUACCAUGACCAUAAUAAGAUGGUUGUUGGGAAUCCAGUUUCAAGACAGGUCAAUCGCCUUUGCUAUGAACAAACUCUCUUAGUUCAUGCCUUUUUCUACAUCGUCAUCUUGUUCACAGUUGUUUAGUUAGUGUAAUAAUGUUGGUAUCUAAUAUUAUUGAUCUUAUGUCCUCACCACAAGUCAAACGAAGAGAGAUUGAGUAUACCAUUUAUCACUUCCUUUGAUUUAUUUAAGUGCAUUGAAUUGACAACGAAUAUUUGGCUAAUCGAUACACUACUCUGAAGACUAAUUACAAAAAAAAAAUAGAUUAAGUAGAAUCAAAUGACUAAUGCGAGGAAGACGGAGACAAAUGAAAUAGUAGAUAAUCGAAGCCGUUAGAACUUGUCGAAGACGAUAUAUGGAGACCAUUAAGGGUAGAUCGAUGAUGACAGAGUCGUAGAUUGAUGAUGAAAAAGACAUAGAUUGAUGAGAAAGAUAGUGCAAAAUGAGAGUUGAUAACACAUGGGUACGAUGGUCCUUAUGUUCGAUAAAUAUGUAACUGUAGUAGUGAAAAAUAAGUAGUCAAUGGUAAACUAUAAACUAAAAUUAGGUUUAAUAAUAUUCAAUUGGAUUUCUCAAAAAACGAUGAUAUAAUUUAGGCCUGGCCAUUUGGAUAUCGGAUCGGAUUUUUUGGAUUUUGGAUUUUUUGGAUAUUGAUUCUAACAUUCAAUCGGGUAUUUUUAAAAUUAUUAAUCUUACAGUUCCAUACGGGUAAUUUAACUUACUAUUUUUUUAACUACACCGAUAUAAAUAUGUAUAAUUAAACUGAUUUAAUAAAGAUUGAAAUUAUUCAAUCUUAAUAAUUAUUAUAUAAACUCUACCAAAAUCUAUAAAGUUGUAAAAACAUGAAUUAAAAAGAAAAUAUUUAUCCCGCGGUGUACCGCGAGUUAAAAUCUAGUAAGAAACAUAACCCAAAAUUGUAUGUGGUAUCUCAAUCUAAAUAGCAUGUAAAUAUGAUACAUAAAUUAAUAUCUUCGUAAUGGCUAAACAAUCUUUAAGUAACCAUGUUUCUUUACGUUCUUAAAACAAGUUAAGUCAAUAUACAUGAAACCGAUUAAUAUGAAAACAUCUUAAACCUAUUGAAAGUUGCUAGAGAAUCUAAUAUUUUUUCAUACAUCCCACACAUCACUAUUUUGCAAAGAAACAACUUAGCACGUGAUAAUCAGUGCUUCGCCGUGGUUCACCGGAACCGUAAAUACUGUUUGCGUUACUACUAUAAUAAAUCUAAGUAUUAGUACCAAAUUUUUAAUCUUACAAUUACAUGGAUAUUUAGGUUAGGUGUUUAAGUUUGUAUUUUGAAGAUGAAUCGAUUUUGAGUAUUAAUAUUUAUUAAAGUUUCAAUUUAUUUUUUGUUUUUGGAAACCGAUUAGAUUGCGAUUAUUAAACCAUCACGACUAAAUAGCCGAGAAGUACGAGCUUUCUGACUUUUUUCUUUGGCUUCCGGUGUCAUCCAAUAAUCUGACAUAAUUUUCCAAUGUUCAAAGAGAAUCCAAUCAGGCUUUUCUCCUUUGGACUUUGCAAGGCUAACCAUUCCUUUAAGCCGAGUAGCGGCAAGAUGAUCAAAGUUGGCUUUAACUAAGUGCUCAAUUGAGGCAUUCCACUCAUACCUUGUCUACAAUAGAAAUAUAGCAAAUAUGAAUAAACAAAAUAAUAAAAGUAUUAUUCAAGCUUAUAACUAAAGCAAACCUUAAAUGUUGAAAACCAUGUAUCUCUGUAAAAACCAGGCACUUUUCUCCAGCUGUACCAUGGUCCUUUAAAACAUCCUUCAAUGAUCUUUCUCACAUGUGUUGAUACUUCAGUGUUAUUUUUGAACCUGUCACAUAUGUGAUUAAAGGAGUAUAUUCCUUAUUUUUACAUUAAGUAUGUAUUUUUAAAAAGAAAACAAUACCAUUUUAGCUCCCUUCCCUUCUUUGAUGGAUGGAGGAACUCGAAUAUCGACGAAUUCAUGGGGGAGAAUUUGGUUCCUCUUUUCUCCNNNNNNNNNNNNNNNNNNNNNNNNNNNNNNNNNNNNNNNNNNNNNNNNNNNNNNNNNNNNNNNNNNNNNNNNNNNNNNNNNNNNNNNNNNNNNNNNNNNNNNNNNNNNNNNNNNNNNNNNNNNNNNNNNNNNNNNNNNNNNNNNNNNNNNNNNNNNNNNNNNNNNNNNNNNNNNNNNNNNNNNNNNNNNNNNNNNNNNNNNNNNNNNNNNNNNNNNNNNNNNNNNNNNNNNNNNNNNNNNNNNNNNNNNNNNNNNNNNNNNNNNNNNNNNNNNNNNNNNNNNNNNNNNNNNNNNNNNNNNNNNNNNNNNNNNNNNNNNNNNNNNNNNNNNNNNNNNNNNNNNNNNNNNNNNNNNNNNNNNNNNNNNNNNNNNNNNNNNNNNNNNNNNNNNNNNNNNNNNNNNNNNNNNNNNNNNNNNNNNNNNNNNNNNNNNNNNNNNNNNNNNNNNNNNNNNNNNNNNNNNNNNNNNNNNNNNNNNNNNNNNNNNNNNNNNNNNNNNNNNNNNNNNNNNNNNNNNNNNNNNNNNNNNNNNNNNNNNNNNNNNNNNNNNNNNNNNNNNNNNNNNNNNNNNNNNNNNNNNNNNNNNNNNNNNNNNNNNNNNNNNNNNNNNNNNNNNNNNNNNNNNNNNNNNNNNNNNNNNNNNNNNNNNNNNNNNNNNNNNNNNNNNNNNNNNNNNNNNNNNNNNNNNNNNNNNNNNNNNNNNNNNNNNNNNNNNNNNNNNNNNNNNNNNNNNNNNNNNNNNNNNNNNNNNNNNNNNNNNNNNNNNNNNNNNNNNNNNNNNNNNNNNNNNNNNNNNNNNNNNNNNNNNNNNNNNNNNNNNNNNNNNNNNNNNNNNNNNNNNNNNNNNNNNNNNNNNNNNNNNNNNNNNNNNNNNNNNNNNNNNNNNNNNNNNNNNNNNNNNNNNNNNNNNNNNNNNNNNNNNNNNNNNNNNNNNNNNNNNNNNNNNNNNNNNNNNNNNNNNNNNNNNNNNNNNNNNNNNNNNNNNNNNNNNNNNNNNNNNNNNNNNNNNNNNNNNNNNNNNNNNNNNNNNNNNNNNNNNNNNNNNNNNNNNNNNNNNNNNNNNNNNNNNNNNNNNNNNNNNNNNNNNNNNNNNNNNNNNNNNNNNNNNNNNNNNNNNNNNNNNNNNNNNNNNNNNNNNNNNNNNNNNNNNNNNNNNNNNNNNNNNNNNNNNNNNNNNNNNNNNNNNNNNNNNNNNNNNNNNNNNNNNNNNNNNNNNNNNNNNNNNNNNNNNNNNNNNNNNNNNNNNNNNNNNNNNNNNNNNNNNNNNNNNNNNNNNNNNNNNNNNNNNNNNNNNNNNNNNNNNNNNNNNNNNNNNNNNNNNNNNNNNNNNNNNNNNNNNNNNNNNNNNNNNNNNNNNNNNNNNNNNNNNNNNNNNNNNNNNNNNNNNNNNNNNNNNNNNNNNNNNNNNNNNNNNNNNNNNNNNNNNNNNNNNNNNNNNNNNNNNNNNNNNNNNNNNNNNNNNNNNNNNNNNNNNNNNNNNNNNNNNNNNNNNNNNNNNNNNNNNNNNNNNNNNNNNNNNNNNNNNNNNNNNNNNNNNNNNNNNNNNNNNNNNNNNNNNNNNNNNNNNNNNNNNNNNNNNNNNNNNNNNNNNNNNNNNNNNNNNNNNNNNNNNNNNNNNNNNNNNNNNNNNNNNNNNNNNNNNNNNNNNNNNNNNNNNNNNNNNNNNNNNNNNNNNNNNNNNNNNNNNNNNNNNNNNNNNNNNNNNNNNNNNNNNNNNNNNNNNNNNNNNNNNNNNNNNNNNNNNNNNNNNNNNNNNNNNNNNNNNNNNNNNNNNNNNNNNNNNNNNNNNNNNNNNNNNNNNNNNNNNNNNNNNNNNNNNNNNNNNNNNNNNNNNNNNNNNNNNNNNNNNNNNNNNNNNNNNNNNNNNNNNNNNNNNNNNNNNNNNNNNNNNNNNNNNNNNNNNNNNNNNNNNNNNNNNNNNNNNNNNNNNNNNNNNNNNNNNNNNNNNNNNNNNNNNNNNNNNNNNNNNNNNNNNNNNNNNNNNNNNNNNNNNNNNNNNNNNNNNNNNNNNNNNNNNNNNNNNNNNNNNNNNNNNNNNNNNNNNNNNNNNNNNNNNNNNNNNNNNNNNNNNNNNNNNNNNNNNNNNNNNNNNNNNNNNNNNNNNNNNNNNNNNNNNNNNNNNNNNNNNNNNNNNNNNNNNNNNNNNNNNNNNNNNNNNNNNNNNNNNNNNNNNNNNNNNNNNNNNNNNNNNNNNNNNNNNNNNNNNNNNNNNNNNNNNNNNNNNNNNNNNNNNNNNNNNNNNNNNNNNNNNNNNNNNNNNNNNNNNGAAGGGUAGGGGAAACAACUCAGCGAUGGAACAUGGCGCUACAGAGAACAUAAAUAUAAAUAAUUGAUUUGAUGUAUAACUACUAAUCUCUUACCUGGCAGGAAGUGAUCGAUCAGAGCAAAAAGAACAAAGCGGCUGGAGAAAAAGUAAUAGAGAUUUAGGGUUAUACUAAGGACUGCGUAUAUUCUUUAUAUACUGGACAAGUUUUAAGGUAUAAUAAGUUUAAGAGGGAAAACUCCAAAAGCUACUAAAUAUUUGGGAAAAUUUUAAGCGCUAAAAAUUUUAAUUAGUACUAAAAAGAAAAUAUAGCUAAACAUAAAAAAAAAUAUACGAUAUCCAAAACUGCUUGUAAUUGUAAGUUUAACUAAAGAAAUAACACGAAGGUUGCAUCUUUCAUAAAAAUAAUAUGAAGAGAAAGACUAACAAAUUGUGAUAAAAUAAUAUUCACUCUUCAUCACUUAGCUCUUGAUCAGAGUUUUCAUCUUCAGCAUCUGAUCCCAAAUCCAGUUCUACUAGAUCAUCUAGAUUUUUUUUUUCUGUUUCUAUUGAUCUUGGUCAAAUAUAUAUAUAGGCACAUAAAUUUCCUAUUCUCACAGUAAUAUAAUAGAAUAAUUAUAAAAUAUUACUAGCUUGACAAAUAAUAUGAUCAUAUUUAUCUAGAAAAAUACUAAAAGGAUAAUUAUCAAAAAACAAUAUGUGACGAAGCAUUCUUUUCCAUAUAAAAUGAAAAUAUUUAACUUUUUUAGAUUUCUAGUCUAUAUUUUGUUAACUAAUUUUAGCCGCCUAAUAUUAUUGUUUCCCACAAAAAAAAAUCUUUCAACCUAAUUUUUGGUUUAGCAAAAAAGUAAAACCUAUUUAAUCGAACUAGUCUUUGCCUCUGUUUGCUGAAUCUUUCUGCUGCAUAAAAUCUGUAUAUCUAAUCUUCCUCUACGUCUCUGUCUACAAGAUAACAUAUAGAAUCGUUGCCUUCACUUCAACAAGGUUAUUUUCAUCUCCAUCUAUGAUAGUUGUUUCUUGAUCAUGUCAAUUGUUUGUCCUUUCAUUACACUACUUUUGUAGAAACGUUGUUUUGGCAAUUUGGAAUUAGAAUUGUGGGUCCAAAUAUUGAGAUGUCUAUAUGCUCUUAUACAAUAGUUUAAAGCUCGUAAGUUUCUAAAUUAUUUGACUAAUAUUUCACGUUGAUGCUUUUACACAGAUUUCACCUCUGUUAUUCUUAACAACAACAAUAUGAAAGAGGUAACAUAAUAUCUAACUAUUUCAUAUUUUGAGUUAUUGAUUUGUUAGAACCAUUUUUUAUUGUUUGAUUACUACUUGUGUAGAUUUCAGAUGAUAGUCUUGAUGAUUCAUUGAUCUAUGGUAAAUAUUAUUUCACUUAUCAUCUUGUAAACCUUAUUUGCGUAUUCUAUUUAUUUUGGGAACCUAAUCUACUUUGAUAUAAUUCAUUUUUCAUUAGAACCUCCUCACUUAGGUAACUGGUUUCCGGACUAUGUCUAUGAAUCGCCGAUGCUAGAUACAAGUGAUGGAUUUGAAUCUCUUAUUCCCGGAGAAAGUGAAUGUAUAUAUGAGACAGAAAUAAAGAAAGAAAUCACAAAAUCUGAAAGUACAAUCGAUGUUUGUCAUACACAGGUGUUGCUACUUACUUUUGAACCAUUUUUAAUCUCUAUCUAGAUAAUGAAUUAUUUUUAAUUUCUAUCAAAAUGAUGAAUUAUUUUCCUUAUAGGUUAGAGAAAUUGAUCAUCUAAUCAUUGAUGAAAGUGACAUAGAGGAAGAUUACAAAAAUACGUCUAGCCUUUUUCGAAAACCGGCAAACAACCAAAGUUAUACAAAAAGAAGAUCUAACCAGAAUCGCACUACAACAACAACCACUGAAGAAGAGAUAAUUUCUUUGAAAAGCCGAGUCAAUUACCUAGAAGACGAAUUAAAGAAAUUGCAUGAUCUUAUUAACUCUUUUGUUAGUUCUAAUACCAACAAUCGAAGGUAAAAUAUAUAUAUUUGUCAAUUAUGUAUUUUGCUUUUACUAAAAAAAAAUUAAGUGUUUAUAUUCAUGUUGUUUAAGCAGGGACUAAGUGGUAGUUAUGAGUUGGAUACACACANNNNNNNNNNNNNNNNNNNNNNNNNNNNNNNNNNNNNNNNNNNNNNNNNNNNNNNNNNNNNNNNNNNNNNNNNNNNNNNNNNNNNNNNNNNNNNNNNNNNCAAAUUUUUAUUUACUUUAUAAACAAUGGAAGCAUUUUUAGCUUUUAAGAAUAAUUAUUUUUCCUAUAUUAUUUUUAUAGAUUUAUUGUUAUUAUUUUAUAAACAAUGAAAUUAUGCUCACAAUUUUGUCAAUGAUUGAGAAAACUUUUACAUGAGUUAAUUAAUCUGUAACAAUCUUAUGACAAAAUAAUUACGAAUUUGUUACAAAAUAUUUUGGUCUUAAUUUAGUAUUUAAAAAGUCACAAAUGUGUGACAAAUUUUGAGUAUCAAAUUAAAGUCACGAUUUACAAGUACAUAUUGGUAAUAAAAUCGUCACAGUUGUUACAAUAGUUUUUAUCGACACAAUUUCGUCACGACUUGAGACAAAAAUUCGGGACGACUUUAUUCGUUAUAAUAUUGUGACGAAACAAUUACGAAUUUAUGACAAAAAAAUACGUUACAAAAUUGUAUCUACGUAAGUCACAAAUUUGUGACUAUAUAUUUUAGUCUCUAACAAAAGUCACAAUGAUUCACUUUUCUUGUAGUGUAUUCAAUAUAGAUUAUAAUUCUCUAGAUUGCUUUUAUUUCAUUUUCUGUUUUGGUAAUAAGUAAAUUUCAUUUUACCUAUCUAAUUAAGGUUACCCGUAUACUCAAAAUUGUAUAAUUUACAUAUCUUCCAUAAUCAAUCUUUGCUAUUUGGACUUGUACUUAAGACAUUUUUAUUUUGUUUAGAGUAAUUGUAGUAACUAAUAAUUAAUUUCAAGAAUGAUAUUUUCAACCAUGUUGUUUUAAAGCCAUGCGACGGUAAAAUCGUAUUUGUUUUAAGGGAUCAAAAGAUAAGUAUACGCAAAUGUGCGGGUCAAAUCUUAUAUUAAAACAAAUAUUAUUUAAACAUUGAAAUAUUUUAUUAAGUAUUGUUAAUAUAACAUACCAAAAGUAUUGUUAAUAUAACAUAUAACAAUUUUCUUUUAUAUUUAGAUGGAUAUCUAUGUAGAAUAUAUAUUAACCUUAAUUAAACAUUCAUAUACAAAAUAUAUAUAUAUAUAUAUAUAUAUACAUAAAAGUUACUAUCAAGACAACAUACUUUACAUUUUAGAAGGGUGAAAAGGUAAUCCGGAAUUUAGAGCGAACGUGAGCUCUUCGGACUACGCCAUUAAUAUAUUAGAGACUACAAAAUUUUGAUAUAAUUAAAUAUAUUAUAUAUAAAAAUGUGAAAAUAAGAUAUGUGAUAAUGUAAAGAAAAUAAUGAUUAAAAUUAGUAUAUCUACAAAAGAGUGAUUUAAAAAUUAAUUUAAACUUUAAAAUUGAUAAUUUAUUUUGUAAAAUAAAACAAAUUUUUAAUUUUAUUUUUAAAUAUAGGCCCGCUAGCUGGCUUGCGCAUUGGACUUAGGAAACUGAUAUAAGAUUGGAAUCCACCAAGUCUUAUUGAUCAAAAGAUGUCAAGAGUUGACAAGCUUUGUUGCGGAAGAUGGACAAAGGUAGAGAUGGAGAUGGGGUUGGCGAUUGAUUCCACAAUCAAACACGAACAAGAAGGCUUGAUUCCACAAGCAAACUGAUCCGCAAAUCAAUAGAAAACUAGAUUCUAAAGACAAGAACAAUAACACAAAAACACAACUUUCUAAGAAAAACGAUCGUUUAUUAAAUCAAUGAUAAUGGGUGCUUUACAAUGAAAACGAAGCUGAGCUUUAUAGGCUCAUAAACAACGGUCCUAAUAAGCUAAAACAAGAAAAGAAUCGCAAACUUUAAAGCAUAGAGCCGUUUGUGACUUUAUGAGAAAAUCGGCCAAAUAAGGAAGCUCUCGUAGCUUGUAUCUUGAGAGCUUGGGAAGAUAGGUGCGACAUAUUGGGACUCUCUGGAAUGUUUUUAGUGUCUUUAAAAUGCAGCAGCCUUGAUAGAUAAAAAGUCGUUGUAGAUUUAAAGCUCCAAGUGUGAAUGCUUCUAGAAUAGGAAAGUAGAGGUGCAAGAGGAUUCGCGUAAUCCUGUGGAUGCUGGUGCAAGGUAUGUCAUAUUGGAUUGUCUCUAGAUGGUAAAUAAUUUCGCCAGGUCGCCAAACAUAAGCCUCGAAGGAACCAAAGAAGGAAAGUUCCAUUUUUGGUAACAUAUGGCCCUCGGGUAAGGCCGAAUGAGCAAGUACUAAACCAACUCGAACCAUGGGUGUUUUGGCUCGAUAAAUAUGCUCCAAAUAGUUGAUUUGGUGGUGAAUAAUGAAGCCGAGAUCAAAUGGACGAGUGAAUUCUCCAAACUGCGGCUUAGCUCGCCAAUGAACAUGUCCGAGGAUGCUCUCAUGGCCAUCUCUCAAAAUACCUCGAAGGGGGACUAAUGAUGCUCGUUCAUUCCUUUUAAAAUACCCAUAUUGUGGACGUAUUUCAAACCCCAACUUUAAUGGACGUGUAGUUGGGCUGGUGGUUCCAUAUGCUUGCUCGUGGUAUGGUGGAAACAGGUCUUCAUGAUCGAUUCUUCUUUCCGAUCGUUCUUCUUCAAUUCUGGAUCGAUAGAUCUUCAUAAAAUGUGUACUUUUCGAGUGAAUACUCAAUAUUGGUCGAGCAAAUUCUUCAUUUGGUCGAUCAACUUGGAUUCGGCAUGAUCCGUGUGGUACGUCAUGCACGUUGGAUGAAAUGGAUCGUUUGUAUCUGAUUCCGGCUCGAUGGAUCUNNNNNNNNNNNNNNNNNNNNNNNNNNNNNNNNNNNNNNNNNNNNNNNNNNNNNNNNNNNNNNNNNNNNNNNNNNNNNNNNNNNNNNNNNNNNNNNNNNNNAAUAUUGGUCGAGGAAAGUCUUCAUAUGGUCGAUGGGAUUGAACAUGGUAAUGUCCGGAUGGGUUGUCGUGGAGAGUCUUCAAUCUGGUCAGUUGAUUUCUGAUUUCUCCUGAACCAUUAGUCUUCUUAGGGGUAAUUUUAUGUUGAAUAAUCAACCCUAGGCCUUGCGCUUGAUCAGAACUCCAUAUUCGCCAAAAUUCUCCAUUUUUGUCCGGUACGGUUUGGUUGAUGCUUGAACCGGCUGGUCUGGUCAACUCCGGGUCUUGUUUGAUACUGAUGACCGCAUCAGAAACGCGCUUGAACACAACGUUAUUACCCACCUCCAGCUGGGCAUGUCCUAAUAGGCAUUAUUUUUCAGACAAUGUGAUGGGUCAGCCCGUUUUGACUUACCAUAUUAUACCCAAAAUAUUUUGCAAAAUAUAAACCCUAAUAAAAUCGUAUAAUUCCUUUUAGUUAUAAAAUCAAAACCCCUAAUUUUUUUUAAAACUCAAAUUGACAUAUAAUUUUUUUAGUUGUAAAAUCUACACCUUAACCACUCUUUUAUUAAUCAAAACUGACAAAUAAUUUUGUUUAAUUAUAAAUAUCUAAACCUUAGUCCUCGUUUAUAAACCCAAACCGCACAUAAAUUCGUUUGAUUAUAAACUAUAAACCCCAAUCACUCUUUUAUAAACCCAAACUGACAUAUAAUUUCUUUAAAUUAUAAAAUAUAAAAUCCUAAUCACUAUUUUAUAAACCUAAACCGACAUAUAAUGUUGUUUAACUGUAAAAUCUAUACCCUAACCAUUCUUUUAUAAACUCAAAACGACAUUAAAUUUUGUUUAAUUGUAAAAUCUAAACCCUAGUCUUCAUUUAUAAACCGACACCGGCAUAUAAUUUUUAAUUGUAAAUCGAAAUCCUAAUCUUCUUACUCAUACAUUCAACCCGACAUAUAACCUGGUUUAAUUGUAAAAGCUAAACUCAAAUGCUUAAAUUAUAAACCCAAACUGUUAUCUUGUUUAAUUAAUAACUAUACAUAUUUUAUUUCCUUAAAAAUGUUCUGUUUUCUGAUUUUAAUUUACUUUUAAAAUAUACUAUUACCAUUAAAGGUGUCAAGCGGCUGCUAGCCCGUUGGACUUAUGGGGCAUGGUUGGCCAUAACGUUUUUCCCCGCAUCAAGUUGGGCAUGCUCGCACCGGCUUUAUUUAUUCAGGACCAUGAUAGACCAGCACUAUUUCCAUAUCGAGUGUAUAUGGUCCAUCGAAAGUCAUUUAUAUUUUUGGUAAAAUUUUAUCAUGUUCCCAUUUUAAUCUCACUCAUGUUAUCACAUUUUUAAUCUCAUUCAUGUUAUCACGUUCAUAAUCAUUGUUGACUCAUUCGUAAUCAGUCAUCAUCAAAUUUACAUUACUUUCGUACAUCAUGAUUAAUUUUCUCUAGUGUUUUUAAAUUUAGUCGUAUGCCUUAUGCCAAUGCCAUAUUCUAUGGUGAGCUGUUGGCUAACGAUGGUAUAUGUCUAAUAAUGUACAUAAAUUAGUAAUAUAUAUUUACAUAUAAUUUAUGUUAUUUUUCUUUUUAAAACAAAAAUUAGUCAUUUCCAUCUUUGUUGUUUUAAAAUUGUAACAUAUAUAGCUNNNNNNNNNNNNNNNNNNNNNNNNNNNNNNNNNNNNNNNNNNNNNNNNNNNNNNNNNNNNNNNNNNNNNNNNNNNNNNNNNNNNNNNNNNNNNNNNNNNNUUUUUUUUAGGGAUUCAAAAUGUUAAUUGGUAAGUAUCACAGAUAAUUUCGGUUUACCAUCAUCCAAUUUCCUUCAAACAUGUAAAUAUCUUAUUAUUUCAAUCUUUAUAUUUAUAAAAUUGUAACAUUUAUAUAAUUUUUGCAUGACGACCUAAAAAAAUUAUAUAAUUCUUGGAUAUUAUAAUGUAACGUAUACUUAUCUCCAACCAUAUUAUAUAUAAGACAACAACCCUUAUUUCCAUCUUUAUUUUUUUCAAUUUUAAAUAUUUAUAUAAAUAAAGUUAUAAAUUUUAUUUAGAUCAAUGAUGUGUAAUCAUGAUGAUAUUUUCUUCAAGAAAUAUCUUUGUAUUACUAAAAUAAUUAUAUAACUUUAUCUUGAUAAUAUUUUUUAGCUAGAUUUCAACAUUAUAAUAUUUAUCUCUUCAUAUUCUAAUUUUUAAAUAUGUAAAUUAUUUUGGGAUACUUAAAAAAAAAAAAUAUGUUAGAUUUGUUAAACACAUGUCGGUAUUUCGAGAAUAUCUAUCAUAUCGAGAAUACCUAUCAUAUAUACAAAAUAUCAAAAACAAAUCAGUUGAUUCAAAAUAAAUAUAAAAAAAUCAGAUGAUUUUUUAUUAAAAACUAUCAUGAAAAUUUGAUUGUUCAAAAAAUUUUCUGUUUUGGAUAUAUUAAAUUCAUAAUUCAAGACCAUAUUACUCGACAUAUUUGAAAAUAAUCAAGACUUUUAUUUUAGUGGAAUACUGAUAGUUUUAUAAGUAAAUAUUUUUAUUCAUGUGUAGAUAUAUUUCAUUUGUAUUAUAGCCAAAAUAAUAAAGUUUUAAGAACCUUAUAAAACUUGUAAAAACGAUUUAGAACCUUUUAAAACAUUAUAAAAUAUUUGUAUCAAAUCUCCCCGUAGUAGUUAUUAUAUAGAAGUAACUUAUAAACCAUAUAAAGAUUUAUAAUUUUUCAUAUUUAAACAGGGAUAUUUUUGACAAUGGAUAGAUAAAAUGGGUAUUUUUGAAAAAGGAUACACCAAAAGGGGUAUUUCUCAAAAAUUCUCAAUAAACUUUUUCAUUUAACUAAAUUUUUUUUUAAAUCACAGGUAAUAUCUAAUAGAAGAAAAUAAAUAUUGUAUAUUCAUCCAGAAUAAUUUCAAGAAAACAACAAUGAUAAGGUUUUAUAAUACUACUAGUGAUGGACCCGCACGUACGUGCGGGGUUAUUUUUACAAAAUUACGAUUUUUUAAGUAGAUGCUUUUUUGGUAAAGUUUUGUUAUAUGAGUUUAUUUGAUAAACUAUAUAUAGACAUACAGUUGUAAAACAACAAAAUGAAUACAUAAUACAAUUUUAAAAUUAUUGAAAUGAAAAUGAUAAGUGAUAUUACGUAUUUAUUUUUUAAACUAAUCAAAACAUUUAUAACUGUUUGCUUAGAGAUGUUAAAUCGGAUUUGGGUUUGACUUUAGUUUGAAUUGUUUUAUGUGUAGUUUAAAAUGGAAAACCCGUCCUGUCCCUUUCCGUUUCGUCAUGACCCGUCCUGUCCCACCCCGCCCCGUCCCGUCCCGUCUUCUAUCUGUCAUAAAAUUUCUGUCCCAUAAUCAUAUCUUUUUAAAACAUAAUCAUUUGCCAUGUUUAUUAUAAGAAACUUGGUAAAAGAUUUAGACGGGAUACCCGUAUUACUUGUUUAAAUAAUUAUUUUUAUCAAACUAACAAAAAUCUAAUUAUCAAUCUAAGUCACAUGCUCCCACCAUUUUCAUUCACAAGGCACUGUCUGUAAUCGUAGCAUACACAAUCCUUGUUCGAUUUUUAAUUUUAUUGAUUCUUCAGUUUCAUCUUUAUUUCUUAUUACUUUCUUCAAUUCAAAGAUUCAUGUUUUAGCCUUUUUGUUUUCUAAAGAUUUAGGUAUUUCUAUUUUUUUUAAUACAUGGAUUUAUUGUAGUUUUGUUAUCCGAAGUAUACGUUAUCUUCUUGUACCCGUCAUUUCAUGUCUAAAUAUUUGAAAUACAUAGGAAAGUGGAAAUUAAAUUUAGCAAUUUAAAUUACAUGUCCCCGUAUCGUACUCGUAGUUUUAUAUUUGAUAGUUGAAAGUGAAUUUAACUUUAUGACCGUGUCUCAUAACAAUUAUAUCUAAUCAUGUUUUGUUUUUUUAUGAGAAAUAAUUCAGAUAAUGUUUGUUUUCGAAUUAUAUGUUCCCAUCUCGUAUUCAUUCCUAUAAGUUUAUAAUUUUUUUAAUAAAUAACACCAUUGACAUGUAUUUUAAUGUAUGUAAAAUUUCAUAUAAUCGUCCAAAAGUAGAUUAUACAAGUCAUGGCAACCACAAACUUUCAUUUAUUUGUUUUCAAUUAGAUUAAAUCAUAAAAAUAUAAUCCAUUUAUUAUUUAAAAAUUGGUAAUAAGUCGUUCAAAUAAUUUAAAUGUGAUAUAUCCACUUGUUAUUUAGUUUUAAUCUUAAUAGAAAUUCUAUAUGUUUAUAAUCUCAAAAUGUAGUUUAUGAUUUGAUAAAACAAUUAUUUAAUAUUUGAUAAUAGUAANNNNNNNNNNNNNNNNNNNNNNNNNNNNNNNNNNNNNNNNNNNNNNNNNNNNNNNNNNNNNNNNNNNNNNNNNNNNNNNNNNNNNNNNNNNNNNNNNNNNNNNNNNNNNNNNNNNNNNNNNNNNNNNNNNNNNNNNNNNNNNNNNNNNNNNNNNNNNNNNNNNNNNNNNNNNNNNNNNNNNNNNNNNNNNNNNNNNNNNNNNNNNNNNNNNNNNNNNNNNNNNNNNNNNNNNNNNNNNNNNNNNNNNNNNNNNNNNNNNNNNNNNNNNNNNNNNNNNNNNNNNNNNNNNNNNNNNNNNNNNNNNNNNNNNNNNNNNNNNNNNNNNNNNNNNNNNNNNNNNNNNNNNNNNNNNNNNNNNNNNNNNNNNNNNNNNNNNNNNNNNNNNNNNNNNNNNNNNNNNNNNNNNNNNNNNNNNNNNNNNNNNNNNNNNNNNNNNNNNNNNNNNNNNNNNNNNNNNNNNNNNNNNNNNNNNNNNNNNNNNNNNNNNNNNNNNNUUAUAUUAAAAUAUUAAAUUAAUAUUAAAUAUGUUUAUGUAUAUUCAAAAUAGAUAUGUUAACAUAUAUUUAAUUUUGAAUUUAAUUGUCCACUUUUUAUGGUAAAAGAUUAUUAUGAUUUCCAUAAAUAUAGAUAGUUUUUGUUUUUUUUUUUUUUUUUUUGCUGUCAUUCAUUCUGUUUGGCAACUGGUUUUAUUUUCAUGAAAUUUUUUAAAAAAAUUGGGGGUGUUUGGCUUCAAGUUGUCCUUCCCAAUUAAUAGUAUAGAUUCCUAAUCUUCAAAAAAAUUUCCUUUUUUGGAACUUGGCUUUACACAAAUCUUUUAUUUAUUAUAUCAAACAAAUCUGAUUGGAAAUUCAUCAUAUGUGACUUUCCAAACAACCACUACAUAAACGGCAAAAGAAAAGAAUAAUUUGAUGAUGAUGAAUAACAUGGAACACAAUGAUUGAUAUACAAAUAUAAAUUUGUGAAUAUGACAGAAGAUGAUAUAAAGUUAUGGAGAAUUCAUACAAAUUCUUGUAUUUAUAGAAGUAAACAUUAUAAUAUUAUAUCUCCGUUUUUCUUAUAAAAAAGAUGGAAACAGUUUUGCAUGUUUGUUAAUAAUAAAGAAUAUUAAAUACAUAUCGGUAGUUGGAUAAUACAUAUCAUAAACAUACAAAAAGAUAUCAAACUUCUAAAUGUUUUAUAUAAAUAAUUAUUAUGAAAUUCUGAAGGUUUAUAAUAUUUAAGGUUUAGAUAAUUUAAAGUUUGAUAUUUAUCUAUAUAAAAAGCGAUAAGUCAUGGGUUUACUCGACAUGAUUUUUUUAAUUUAAUUAUGCUUUAAUUUGCUCGUGAUCGACAUGCUUUACAUUAAGAGAAUUUUUGAGAAAUGCCCCUUUUGGUGUACCCUUUUCCAAAAAUACCUCUCUUUUCUAUCAUUUUUCAAAAAUACCCUUUUUCAAAUAUAAAAAUUAUAAACUUUUAUAUGGUUGAUAAUGUACAUCAAGAUCAUCAUUAUUACUAGCAGACUAAAUCCAAAUAUUUAUAAGGUUUUAAAAGGUUCUAAACGUUAUUUAUAAUGUUUAUAUAAGGUUUUUAAAAGGUUUAUAAAGUUUUCAUAAGGUUUUUAAAUGGUUUUUAAAAGUUUUUAAUAGGUAUUUAUAUGAUAUUUAUGAAAUAUAAAUGUAAAUUUACACACAUAUAAAGAUAAUUUGUGUCUAGAAAUAUAAGCUUACACAUAUUUUGUUGAUAAAUUUCAAAAUUUCUAGUGACUUUUUGAAAAAAUUAGAAAGAGGGGUAUUUUUAAAAAGUAGUAUUGGAAAAUUGGUAUUUUUCAAAUUCUCCCUAGAUUCAAGAGAAAUUGCUACCAAUACCCUUCUUAUGAUACCCUCUUUUAAAAAUACCCUGUUUUUGCCAUUUUCAUUUUUGCCAUCUCUCAAAUUUUAAUGGCCAUUUUACCCCUAGUUGAAAGAAUAUUCUUUCCAAAAAUUUUCCCCAAAACAUUUCCCGCCAAAAACUUUCUCGCCAAAAUUUUCCCGUAAAAAAAAAUUCCGAGAAAAAAUUUCCUGCCAAAAUAAUUUCCGCAAAAAUUUUCCCGCAAAAAAAAAGAAUUUACAAAAUUUUCCCGCCAAAUUUUUUUAAAGUUUUUACAAGAUUUUUUAAAUGGGUUACAAGAGUUUUUUUAAAGAGUUUACAAAGGUUUUUAAAGGGAUUUACAAUAGUUUUUAAAUGGUUUUAAAAAGAUUUGUAAUGUUUUUUAAAAAGGUUUAGAAGCUUACAAUGGUUUUUGAAUGGUUUUUAAAUGAUUUACAAUGGUUUUUAAAAGUUUUUAUAAGUUUAUAACAGUUUUUAAAGGAUUUCAAGGAUUUUUAAAAGAUUUUAAAAAUUUACAAGGAUUUUUAAAGGGUUUUUAAAAGGAUUUACAAGUGUUUUUAAAGGCAUAAAAGGAUUUUAAAAUAAUUUUAAAAGGAUUUACAAGGAUUUUGAAAGAUAUUUACAAAGAUUUAAAAAUAGUUUUAAGGAUUUACAAGAUAUUUUAAAGGGUUUUAGAAGUAUAAAAAGGAUUUUAAAGGGUUUACAAAAGUUUUUAAAGGUAUUACAAGUUCUUUAAAAUGGUUUUUAAAUGAUUUAUCACAGUUAUAAGGGGUUUAAAGAGAUUUACACUGGUUUUAAAAAGUUUACUCAAGUUUUGAAAGGUUUUUGAUGACUUUUAAAAGAUUUAAAAGGGUUUUUAAAGGAUUUUUUAAGGUAUUUAAAAAUAUUUACAAAGUUUCUUAAAAGGUUUUUAAGGAAUUGCGGAACAAUUUUGAAUGAAAUUUUUGGCGGGAAAUUUUUUUUGGCGGGAAAAUUUUAGUCGGAAAUUUUUGCCGGAAACAUUUGGCGGGAAAUUUUUCGGAAGGAAUUCCUUUAUUCAUCAUGGGUUAUAAUAAAGGAGGGUAAUUUAGUCAUUUUGUACAUUGAAAAGGGUAUUUUUGAAAAUGGACACCUAGAGAGGGUAUUUGUAGAAAAGGGUAUCAUAAAAAGGUUAGUUGUGCAAAUCCCCCUAUAUUUAAUAGCUUUAAUUUGCUCGUGAUCGAGAUGCUUUAGAUUUAAUAAUUAAUUAAUAUAUCAAAGUAGCCAUAGGUAAAACUCUUAUUAAAACAGUAAAACUAAAUCCUAAAAAUUGUUAUAUCCAUCCAAAAAAAAAUUCAAGAAAACAGUGAUAAUAAUUUUUUGAAGAACUUUUCAAAAUCUUCUAUAUUGGUUUCCUUUUCUUGGACCUUGGCUUCCACAUCUUUUAUUUUAAACCAAACAAAUCCGUUUGGAAAAUUUUCAUAUGUCAAUUUUCUUGCUUGAUGAUCUAAGAUAUUGCAUUCCAUCCAACCUAAGAAUUUUGUUUUUUUCUUCGUAGAGAGCGAGUUUACAUCUUCUUUGGAGUUCAUCUUUAAUAGCUAACAAAAAUAAUAAUUCGAAUCACAGCUUAUCAAAAUUAAACAAAUAGAAGUUAAAACAUACAAACCGAGAUAAUAUACUUGUUUCAAAAGUUGAUGUAAGCAAAGGCAAAGGUGUAAGAUUCUUUGAUGUUGCUUUCCAAACAACAACUACACGAAGAGGAAAAGAAAAAAUAGAUUAAGAUGAAUAACACGAAUCACAAAUAUUAGCAUGCAAAUAUAAAUUUGUGAACAUUAUAGAAGCCUUAGGAACAAUUUUUAAAAAAAAUUUGAGUUAUGGAGAGAGCACACAAAUUAUUAUGGUAUUUUAGAAGUAAAAUACAAUUUUUUCUAGGGUUUCAAAUAAGGAGGUGUAUUUUUUAUGGACAUUUUUACGUAAGCCCAUUCGCUUGAAAACCCUAAUUCUAAAAUUCUUAAAAAAUCGCUUUAAACCAAUUUCGGUUUAGGUUUUAAAAAUUUCAGUUUUAAUAAUAUAAAUUAUGAUUUUGGUUUAUAUAUUUUCGUUUUUUUGGGUUUUAUUUUAACUAAUUAAAGACUAAACAAAAAAAGUAUAAGCCAGCAGUACUUUCAUUAAAAGCAAAACGGUAAUCCGUUUCUCGGAACGAACGUGAGCUCUUUUGAUUACUCUUUUAAUUAUAUAGAUGAUACGCUUACAAGUUAUUUGAUAAAAUAAUAAUUAUCGUGUGUAACUUUAAGUGUUUUAUGUGUGUACAUAUUCUUGCAUAAUCAACCUUCGGCAAUAAGAAACAUCACCCAAAAUUGUAUAUAAUAUCAAUUAAAUAGCUAAACAAUCUUUCAGCAAACCAGUUUCUUCAUGGUCUCAAAACAAGUUGAGUCAAUAUACAUGAAACAGAAUAAUAUGAAACGUUGCUAGAGAAUCUAAUAAUUUAUCAUACAUCCCACACAUCACUAUUUUCCAAACAAACAACUUAGCACGUCCUCUACAUGUAUUUGAAACUGCCAAACACGAACCCAAUUUGGGAAGAUACUAUAAUAUUUACCCACACGGAAGAAAAAUACUAUAUAAAGGACAUUCAUUUCCAUGUAAAUCAUAACCAAAACAAAGAAACGAAAAGAGCAGAAACGAGUAUUAUGAUCUCCUCAAGAAUGAUGGGACGAGUGCAUUGCAUGGUUUAUGUCGUGUUCUUGAGUGCCAUCGCGGCUACAGUGACAGCAUAUCCUUACUCCUUACCUCAAACACCCCAAUACAGUUCUCCGGUUCACAAACACGAAUCACCUUAUUACUCUACUUCCCCAAAGGUCGACUACAAAUCUCCACCUCCCCCAUAUGUUUACAGCUCCCCACCACCACCUUAUUACUCUCCAUCGCCAAAAGUCGACUACAAGUCUCCACCUCCACCAUACGUCUACAGCUCCCCAUCACCACCUUAUUACUCUCCUUCCCCACAGGUAGACUACAAGUCUCCACCUCCACCAUACGUCUACAGCUCCCCACCACCACCUUAUUACUCUCCUUCCCCGAAGGUCGACUACAAAUAUCCACCUCCCCCAUAUGUUUACAGCUCCCCACCACCACCUUAUUACUCUCCAUCCCCAAAAGUCGACUACAAAUCUCCACCUCCCCCAUACGUCUACAGCUCCCCACCACCACCUUAUUACUCUCCUUCCCCAAAGGUCGACUACAAGUCUCCACCUCCACCAUACGUCUACAGCUCCCCACCACCACCUUAUUACUCUCCUUCCCCAAAGGUUGAUUACAAGUCUCCACCACCACCAUACGUAUACAGCUCCNNNNNNNNNNNNNNNNNNNNNNNNNNNNNNNNNNNNNNNNNNNNNNNNNNNNNNNNNNNNNNNNNNNNNNNNNNNNNNNNNNNNNNNNNNNNNNNNNNNNCCCACCGCCACCAUAUUACUCUCCAUCUCCAAAGGUCAACUACAAGUCUCCACCUCCACCAUACGUGUACAGCUCCCCACCACCACCUUAUUACUCUCCAUCCCCAAAAGUCGACUACAAGUCUCCACCUCCACCAUACGUCUACAGCUCCACACCGCAACCUUAUUACUCUCCUUCUCCUAAGGUCGACUACAAGUCUCCACCUACCCCAUACGUCUACAGCUCCCCACCACCACCUUAUUACUCUCCUUCUCCUAAGGUCGACUACAAGUCCCCACCUCCCCCAUACGUCUACAGCUCCCCAUCACCACCUUAUUACUCUGCUUCUCCGAAAGUCGACUACAAGUCUCCACCUCCCCCAUACGUCUACAGCUCCCCACCACCACCUUAUUACUCUCCUACUCCGAAGGUCGACUACAAAUCUCCACCUCAACCAUACGUCUACAGCUCCCCACCACCACCUUAUUAUUCUCGUUCUCCAAAGGUUGAUUACAAGUCUCCACCACCACCAUAUGUCCCUAAGACACCCUACUAUUGAAUUGUUUCAUAACCUAGCAUGGUUGCAAUGAUUUUUUUUAUGGCUUUUGUCCCUUGUUACACCCUUUUUCUUUUAUUCUUAUUUGAUUCUUCUGAUCUUGUUUCUUGUUACACUAUAUGUUGAAGAUUUUAUGUAACUAAUAAAUCUAAUUUGGUUAUUUUUUUAAAAUACAAUUGUUAUUCAAUAUUUGUGCGAAUUUGCUACAACCUUGCAAUAUAAAAUCUCUAUACCGUACUUGUUAUUUUAGUAUAAACUACAAUAUAUACAUUGUGCGUGGUAUUUGGAGCUCAACUAGCUUUAUUCCUUGAGUUGCUCUUUACACCUAAUGCUGGUUGUGUGUGGCUUUAUAUAGUAGACGUAGUGUAUAUUGAUGAUAUCAUCUUUGUAUUACCAAUAGUGUUAGUCUUCUUAGGGACCUAUUUGUUUAUCAAGGAUUAAUGGUGAGCUUAGCUAUUCUCUUGGUGUUGGAAGCUUCACGCCGUGACGCUAUUCUUUUACUAACAUAGCAAUGGCUUAAUAACAUCAUGGUGUGCACCAAAAUGUUGGGAAUCCAGAUUCGAGACAGGUCAAUCGCCUUUGCUAUGAACAAACUCUCUUAGUUCAUUCCUUGUUCUACGUCACUAUCUUUUUCACGGUUGUUAAAUUAAUGUUGGAGUUCAAUAUUAAUGAUCUUCUAUUUUGACCACAAGUCAAAGAAGAUAUAGUAAUCAUACCAUUCAUCGUUUCCUUUGAUUUGUUUAAGUGCAUUGAUUGACAACAAAUAUUUGGCUACAACAAAAUAGAUUAAGUAGAAUCAAAUGACUACUGAGAGGAAGACAGAAACAAACGACGUAGUAGAGAAUCUAAGUCCUCAAAGAGCCGUUAGAACUGGCCGAAGACGAUAGAGACCAUUAAGGUAAGACCGAUGAUGACGGAGACAUAGAACAAUGAGAAAGAGCUUUGCAAAAUGAGAGUUGAUAACACAUGGGUAUAUUGGUCCUUGUGUCCGAUAAAUAGUUGUACGAGCUACGAGGUAUGAAAUGUCUGAGUGUUAUUCAUUAAAAUGGUUUACAACUUAUAUAUAUAUACAUGACUAGCUUAGGGUUAUUGUCUCUUAUAAUUACAUUUAAGUCCUCUUAUUUACAUUCUCUUUUACACACCCCCUCAAGAUGGAGACAAGUACUUGACUCCAAUCUUGUUUCGAAGAGCCGUGAAGCGAAUGUGAUGCAGCGGUUUUGUAAGUGGGUCCGCCAACUGAUCCAUAGUAGAGAUAUGUGCAACUCGAAGAGCACCCGAUUGUAUGUGACCCCGGACAAAAUGAUAAUCAAUGGCAAUGUGUUUCAUCCGGGAGUGAAACACCGGAUUAGCACACAAAUACGUAGCCCCCAUAUUAUCACAAUAAAGAACCGGUGGUGUGGGAAGAACAAUGCCAAGUUCUGUUAGCAAAGAGCAGAGCCACUGUAGUUCGGAAGCAGCAUUAGCAAUGGCUCGAUAUUCAGCUUCCGUCGAAGAACGAGCCACACUUUUCUGUUUCUUUGACGACCAUGAGAUCGGACUGCCCCCAAAAUAGACAAUAUAUGCAUUUGUCGAGACACGAUCACCAAUAUCACCUCCCCAAUCCGCAUCCGUAAACGCAUGAACUGUAAGCGGCGCAUCGGAGCGUAGAAAAAUACCAUGAGACUUUGUACCCGCAAGAUAGCGUAGGACUCGCUUGGCGGCCUGCCAAUGAAUAUUAGUAGGUUGAUGCAUAUAUUGUGACAAACGAUUUACCGCAAACGCAAUAUCCGGUCUAGUGAAAGAUAAGUAUUGAAGACUUCCUAUCACCAUUCGAUAUUGCUUUGGAUCCGGAAGAGGAGUACCCAGCCGUAAUGUGAGCUUUGGUAACUCUGUCAUCGGUGUCGGAACAGAGUGUGCAUCCUGCAUGUUUGUACGAGCCAGCAAAUCAGUGAUAUACUUGCGUUGCAUCAAGUGUAACCCCCGACGUGUACGUGUGGCUUCAAUGCCCAGAAAAUAACUCAGCGGACCAAGAUCUUUGAGGGAGAACCGAGCAGCGAGAGAGGUAUUGAAGGUUCUGACUAGAGACGGCACACCCGCAAUGAUUAUAUCGUCCACAUAGACAAGAACGUAUAGGUGAUCCUUUCCCUUAGUGUAUGUGAAGAGAGACGUAUCAGCGAGUGAGUUCGUGAAUCCAACUUGAAGUAGAAACGUACGAAGCUCCUGAUACCAAGCUCGUGGAGCUUGUUUUAAGCCAUAGAGUGCCUUAUUCAAACGACACACAUGACUAGGGCGAUCUCGGUCCACAAAUCCCGGCGGCUGAGUAACAUAGACUUCAUCUUUGAGAGUGCCUUGCAAGAAAGCAUUGUUAAUGUUCACUUGAUGUAUGCUCCAGUUGUGUUUGACCGCCACUUCCAAGACAACCCAAACCGUGGUUGACUUAAUAACCGGGCUGAAAGUCUCUGAGUAAUCCAGGCCAUACUGUUGAUUAAAACCUCUCGCCACAAGCCGUGCUUUGUACCUAUCAAUAGAACCGUCAGGCUUGUAUUUAAGAGUGAAAAUCCACUUACAAGAGAUGACGUUCUUUGUAGUAGGAGGAGGAACAACAUCCCAAGUGUGUUCUCUCAUUUGUGCAUCAAUCUCCUCACACAUCGCUUUACGCCAAUUGGAAUCCUUCAGAGCCUGGGCCACAGUCGUCGGAAUCGUUGGAGUGACGGAAGCGAGAAGGUUCAUUUUAGUUUUUGGUUUUGUGAUCCGGUUUUUAGCACGUGUUGUCAUCGGAUGAAGGUUUUGCGGUGGUGGUGAGUGGUCGGAUUGAUUUGACGAGAUGGAGGAAGGUGAGGACGUAUUUGUGGUGGUGGUUGUAUGUGUUUGGCUUUGUGAAGAAGAAGACGAUGACGAGACGGGAGUGGAGGAAGAGGAGGAUGAGAGUGAUGGGCUUUUCGUGUUUGGGCUGGAUGGAGGAGAGGUUGAUAAUGGGCCUGGAUUGAUUGUUGGACUUGAAGAUAUGGGGCCUAUGGUUUGGUCAGGAUGAGAUGACUGAACAGAGGUUGGAGAAGACGACUGUGGCUGUGACGACCGAGGCGUUGGAGAAGAAUGCGAAGACGACAUCGACGGAGAGACCAGAGGAGAUUGAUGCAACGGCGAGACUGGUGGCGUUGAGGUCAUUGGCGGUGGUGAAGGAGGUGCAGAUGGGGGCAGAGACGAAUGAGCUAUAGACGAGGGCAAUCGAGUAACCGGAGGACCCACAACACGAGACGCCAGAGACUCAACACUGAUCGGAGACGACGCAUUUUCUUGGAAGGGAAAACUUGUUUCCGCAAAUUGUACAUGGCGAGACACAUAAAGACGCCCAGUUGCAAUCUCUAGGCAUAAGUAUGCACUUUGAGUGAGUGAAUACCCAACAAAGAGACACUUAGCAGAUCGCUGUUCAAGCUUGUUGUUGCGAUACGGGCGAAGCCAAGGAUAGCAAGCACACCCAAAAACUCUUAACUUCAAGUAGUUCGGUCGCUGUUUGAACAAUUUAACGUACGGAGAGUCUCCGUUCAACACAUCGGUGGGCAUACGAUUGAUCAAGUACACGGCUGUUGCAAAAGCAUAAGGCCAGUAAUGUGUCGGUACAGCAGCAUGGAUGAGAAGAGUGAGUCCCGUUUCGACGAUGUGCCGAUGCUUGCGUUCGGAGAUACCGUUGUGUUCCGGUGUAUGCGGCGGAGACGUGAGAUGAGAUAUGCCAUGAGCUGCUAAGAAAGGUCGUAACACAACGAACUCACCGCCAUUAUCCGAGUAGAGUGUGCGGAUACAACUUUGAAACCUGUUCUCGACCAAGGCCUUGAACGCCACAAAAACCUCCUUAACUUGUGACUUCUGCUUCAAAGGAUACAUCCAUGUAUACCUUGUAAAAUGAUCAACAAUGACAAGGUAAUACUUGAACUGAUCAGUGGACAUAAUUGGGGACGUCCACACAUCAGUAUAUAGGUAUUCAAGCGGUUGAGAAGAGGUGAUUGUGUUUGCAAAAAAUGGCAACUUGUGACUUUUAUUGAGCAAACAGUCGGAACACGACAAAUUGUUUUGCGGAGAAUUUGAAAGAGGUAAUGAAAAGCGUGCAACAAUAGCUUUGAGAGUAGAUAAAUUGGGAUGCCCAAGACGAUGAUGCCAACACGAGAAGUCGGUCUUUGGUGAUGGAGAAGCGGAAAAUGCGGUUGCAGAGUUGAGAUUAACCGGCCACUCGUAUAGCUCAUUCUUAGUCUUGCCUUGGAGUAAUCGGACCCCCGUGCUGAGAUCCUUCACCUGAAAAUGAGCGGGGAAAAAUUCCACCGAGACUUUAUUAGCAUUGCAAAGUCUAUAAACCGAAAUCAAGUUCUUGCACACAUUCGGAACAUAUAAAACAUCUUUAAGAUGAAGAUAGCAAGACGGGGUAGGAAGUAAAACAGAACCCGUAUGUGUAAUCUUUAAACCUGAACCAUCCGCAAUUGUGACUUCUUCACCGCCAUUGUAUGGUUGGUGAAGUGACAAGUUGGCAAGAUCAGAAGUGAGGUGAUGCGUUGCUCCAGUAUCACACACCCAUGGAGCGGCAUUGUAUGGAGCCAUCAUAGCCAUGUUCGCUCGUGGCUGCCAUGGUGGAACCGAGGCCGGCGAGUAACCACCCCCUGGAGCCGAGUAGCCACCUCCUUGAGGUGAGUGACCACGACCCGAAGCUUGUAGCUGGUAGCACCAUCAAGCACUGUGGCCUUGCACACCACAGAUUUGGCAUCGCCCUUGGUAGCCUCUCCCAUUGGAACGAGGCUGUGAAUUCUGUUGUUGUUGCCACGUUUGGUUUCCACGGUUGUUGCGGUUGUUGUUGUUACGAUUAUUGUGGUUGUUGUUGUUGUUGUUGGAAUGCUUGUGAGUAGCCACGUUUGCAGAGACAGGAACAGAGGAGGAAGCAGCAUCAAGUAGAGUCUGAAGCUUCAGCUCAUGAUUAAUAAGAUUUUCAUGAAGGACCGUAAGCGAUGGCGGACUGUCACGACCUUCAACUUGAUCACGAACCUGCUUGUACUCCUCCGGGAGACCACCGAGGAUGUAAUCGAUCUGAUCCUCAUGAGGAAUCGGGCUUUCAAGCAACACCAACUGGUCAAACCGAGUGGUAAAACCUUGGAAAUAUUCAUCAAUCGUUUUCGUACCCUUUUUCCAAUGCUUGAGUUGAGUACGCAAUUGUUGAAUGUGACCACGGCUAGGGUUUGCAUACGUCUCGUUAAGAGUUGUCCAAAUCUCAGCUGUCGUCGUAGCUUUGGACAAAAGAGGCUGAACCCCAACAGAAAUAGUGCCUAAGAGACUCGAGUAAAUGAGUUGAUCCUGGCGUUUCCAGUGUUUGUAAUCUGGAUUCGAAGUGGUGACACCAUCAUUCGUAACCGUGGCAGUUGGUGUACCAAUAGAUCCGUCAAGAUAUCCGGCGAGAUCAUAGCCAUUGCAGAGAGCAAAGACUUGACGCCUCCACAUCAGAAAGUUUGUGGAAGUAAGCUUAGUGACGUUCGACAUAUUGACGUUGAGAAGAGUAGUUGCAUCAAUGGUUGCAACAACUUCUGAAGAAGACGACAUGGCCGAAAAUGAGGAAGCGUGGAGAAGAAGAGAGUAGAGAAGAGAAUGAAGAAGAAGAGAUGAGAGAGGCGGCCGAAAAAAAAUUUUAGGUCUUUAGGAUAUCAACUGCUCUGAUACCAUAUGAAAUGUCUGAGUGUUAUUCAUUAAAAUGGUUUACAACUUAUAUAUAUAUACAUGACUAGCUUAGGGUUAUUGUCUCUUAUAAUUACAUUUAAGUCCUCUUAUUUACAUUCUCCUUUACACGAGGUGGUAAAUUAGAAACUAAAAUUAGUUUUCAUAAUAUUUAGACGCAUGGAAACGGAAAUGGAUAAGCGGAAACAAAACGUUUCAGAAACGAGAAACGUGUUUUUUAUGAAAUUAAUAUAUGGAAACUUUUUAGAGAAAAAUUAAGUAUCAAACAUUAAAAUCAUAUACGAGAAAAAGUAUUUGAAAUAACACCCUAAUCAAAUAUAUAAAUACUAAACAUUUUAAAUAAAAGAUAAAUAUUAAAACACUCAAAUAAAAAAAAUUAGAUUAAUUUAAAUUAAUUAAGUUUUAAAUAUAUAAAAGUAACCAAUCUAUAUAUGAUAAACCAAAAUCUUUUCGUAAUAUAUGUUUAUUGAGUUUCUAAAUUAAAACUGUAAGCUUCCAUUAGGUUUCCAAAUUGGAAACGUGAGUUUUGGAAACGUUAGUUUCUAUUGUGUUUUCAAAUACAAAAAAUAUGAUUCAUGUUUCCGUGAUAGUUUCCCUGUUGCCAAGAGUUUCUGUUUCUGAAACGUUUCGAAAACGGGAAUCAGACUUCAAAAAGAGUUUCCAUGCAACUUAUGCAUUUCUCAAAAAAAAGCUUUGCUCAAGCUUUAAUUAAUAUCAAUAUUUAUAAAACUCAUAUAUUACAAGAUUAUGUUAAGAUGUAGAUCAAAUCAUGCAUUGAAAACCUUAAAUAUCAUCUCUCCUUUAUAUAAAACCGUCUUAACUGCGUUUAAAAAAUCAGUUAGUUUUUGUUAGAGGAAGCUGAUGAUCUGGCUUCUCCCUAAACUUGGAAUUUAGAAGCAUGCUAAAAUGAUUAUGCUAUUUCUGGAUGAUUGAUGGAUUAUUGUUAUUGGUUAUUGGAUUGUUUCUUUCGUUGUUCAUCCACCGGUUUUUGUUGGUUUAAUCUAUUCUCUGGUCUAUUUUGGUUAAUCCGAUUUAAUUGGUUUAAAUUAAUUUAGUUUGGUUUAGUUGGUUAGGAUGGUUUAAUCCGGUUUAAUUGCUUUAUAUUGAUUUAAUUCGGUUUAGUUGGUUUGGGUUGGUAAAUCUGGUUUAGUUGUUGCUAAAAAAAAGUGUCGGGUUUUUUUCAGUUUGGUAUCAGAGCUCUUACGGUUCUAGGGCUAGGUUAAAUGGGUGGUUGUGGUUUGGUGUGUGAAUUUCAGUUUUUGUAGAAUUUUUGUUUGAACUGUUGUAUGCAUUGUUGAUUGUGAGUAGUUAAUCAAUUAUGUGGGCAUGGAGUCCUAGAUCAUUCUCACGAGCCUUCAAUGAGAUUUCACGAUAAGUUAUAUGUGUUGUGAUUUGUUUUGCCUUGUGUGUUUAGCCUCUAUUGUGUUAGUUUAGAUGGCUAGAGUUGCUAGUGGUCUAGGUAAUGGUCGUGGUCCUGGUCGUGUGCGUUAUCGCGGUAGGGGUGGGGUAGUACCCCAUAUUGUUAGCAGACUGCAGGCGCAUCAUGAGGAGGGGCAGUAGGCUGAGGCUAGUGUGAGUGUCGUAGGGUCAUGUUUGACAGGAGGCGAUGCUAGUUUGGCUGGAAACCCGGUAAGGGGUGUUUCAGCAGGUGGAGUCCAGAGUCGAGAUGAUCGUCUCGUGGUUUUGCUAGCAUAGUUAGUGGAGUGGUUACCAGGUCUGGUGUCCGUGCAUGCUCCAGUGAGACCACCAAGGCUUGCGGGUGUGCAGUCAGGGGUUGCGGGAGUGCAGCCACUUGGUGUUGCUGUGUAGCCAGCUGUUGGGGCUGUGCAGCCAGAUGUUGCGGGUUUGCAGCUUAGGAUAAGUGCGGUGGUUGAGUAGUCGUAGUACAUGAGGAUGUUGGACCAGUGGAGUGCGUUACUUAGGGUUAUCGAUCCCUCUAUAACUGACAAGUGGAGAUUGAAGCUUGAGGGAUUCUUUCUUCUUUGAGAUGCCUAGAGGCAUACCGAGUGGAUAUAGCGAGUCACUAUCUAGCUGGAGAAGCUCACUGGUGGAUGAGUGAAGCUGCAGGAGAGAGCAUUGUCAAAUGCUGUGGGAAAACUUCUUGGGAGAGUUUAAAGCCACAUGUUUCCCGAAGGAGGCACUAGACAUGAUGGAGUCGCAGUUUUUGGCACUAGCCAAAAUUGACCGGUCAGUGCAGGAGUAUGAUGCUCGGUUCAGCAAGCUCCGAUUGUACUCAAGUCGGGUGGGUGAUGUAGAGCUGAUUUAGAUGCGUCGUUUCCUGAAGGGUCUGCAGCCAGACUUGAGAGUGCGCUGCAAGGUGAGGACCUAUGCCACAAUAGCCGGUAUCGAGGAUGACAUAAGGGGCCAAAUGGUGUUUGCUAGUCUGGCUAUCCAGCCGAAGAGGACUCUCUAAUAUAUGGUUCCGAGCAAGGACAGUAAGCCUGCGUCGAGCCAGAAGACAAAGCGGGACAACACUUCCAAAGGGAGCAAGUGUGGUCAUGGAUGCUACGGGUGUGGUAGCAUAGAUCAUAGAUUGACAAGUUGUCCCAAGAGAAUAGUGGAAGGUUGUUGGGGUUUCUUAGUGUGUAAGCUUGUGUAUGGACGUUAGACCAACAUUAUCGCAAGGAUUUAAGGACAAUCUAAGCUGUAUUAAAAUUUAAUUUUAAUUAAAAAAAACAUAAUUAUUGCUAAGAUACGUAUGUUCGAGAAGAUAAAUUUUGUAGGUUAAGAGACGCCUAUGUGGCACAGUAUGAUUGGCUAAAGAUAAAUAUAUAAUGAAAAAAGUGUAUUACUCAGUUUUUUCUUUCUUUUUCUCUCUCUCUCUCUCUCGCUGUGUGACACAAACGACGAACCGACAAUGAACUUCGAUUUCGUGUCAAAUCGGAGAAUCACCAACGAGAAAGAGCUCCGGCCGUCGAUACACCACAUUGUAGUUUAUGUUAUAAUUUCUAUCUUAUGUAUGUUUUCAAAUUCUAAAUUUGCAAUAAUUAAAAAAUUUCUAAAAUUAAAAAUUAAAAAUUUAUUUAAUUUUUAAAAAGUAAUUUUUUCUAAGAUACACAACUUAAGAUCCUACGAAUAAACACAUAAACACAUCUGAUGUCUUAAGCUCCAUUUUUUCAAAUUUAAUACUAAAUUAAUGCUAAGAUAUCCAAAUUAACAUUCUACCUAUAAUGUUGCUCUUAGUCGUGGGAGGUGUUAUCUUUGUUACAUCGGAUAUAGCAGAGCAGAGGAGGUUCUGCGUGUUUUCUAGCACGCAGCGCGAGGCUAUUUGGGUUGCUGGAGAUGGUAGAGCUGAAGACGCAGCUGGAGGAGUUGCUGAAUAAAUGAUUAUCCAGCGGAAUACUUCACUAUGGUGAGCAUUAGUGUUGUUUGUAAAGAAGUACUUGGGAGUUUGGUGACAAUUCUCCAGCAAUCGAUGUCAUUAUUAAAUUAUUUAUUUUCUUGUCACAAAUGAAAAAAAUCUUGCUAGCUAUAAACAUUUUUUUAUCUUGAGUUUCACAAUGGUCAAUACGUUUAAAAUUUGGUUUUGUCUUUUCUCAUAUAUAUUUAUCUCUCCUAAUAAAAUAAAUAUGUAUUUAUUUUAGUUUUGUAUCACUCAUAGAGACAUUACUCUAUUAGAUGAAUGUAACGUAUUGGAUUAUAUUAUAGUAUAAAAGAUGCAUAUAAGAUAGAGAAUUUUUGAAAAAUACCCUUUUUAGUGUACCCCUUUCUAAAAAUAUCCCCUUUUUCUAUCCAUUUUCAAAAAUACCCCUUUUUAAAUAUAAAAAAUUAUAAAGUUUUAUAUAGUUUAUAAGGUACUUCUAUAUAAUAACUACUACUGGGAGAUUCGAUACAAAUAUUUUAAAAUGUUUUCAAUAGUUUUAAAUCGUUUUUAUAAGUUUUUAAAAGGUUUUUAAAAGGGUUUAUAUGGUUUUUAUAAGGUUUUUAUAAAUUAUUUUUACGCUAUUUAUGAAAGGUAUAUAAAGUUUUAUGCAGAUAUAAAAGUAAUUUGUGUAUAUAUUUAUAAGCUUACGCACAUAUUUGGAUAAAUUUCAACAUUUUUAGUGGGUUUUUUGAUAAAGUUUGAAAAUGGGGUAUUUUUAAAAAAGGUAUAUAAAAAGGGGUAUUUUUGAAAUUCCCCCAAGAUAUACAACUAUGAUCAAUAUUUAGUAAUUGAAGAUUUUAAAAUAGUAGUUUUCUAAAUUUCUAAUUUUUAACUUCAAAUUAUUUUUAUAUUGUAUUUGUAGGAAUGUCUAACCGCCAGCAAAAUGAAAAUUCUUGUGCAAGCUUUGCCUACAAAAACAUCAGCACGGGUAUGUAUUUACACCUUAUUUUACCAAAUUUUAUCUUUUAAUUUAAGUAAAAUAAAUAUUGAGAAAUUUUUAUCCUUCCACCGUCAAGAGGUGGAGGUGGACGAUAGUCUGUGAUACCAGCCUCAAUUUUAAAUGAACUCUUAGUAGAGAAAGAAUAUUUAUUGAGUUUUACGAUCAAGCAAUUGCCAUGAAUAAUUACCGCUUCAAAGAUCCAGCACUCCUUUGGAAGGGAGUUUUUGGUUAAAAAUCAACAAGGAGUUCAAUCAAAAUAUAAACUAUCGGUUUUUCAAAGAAAAACUUGAUCAACUGAAAAGAAUGUACAAGAAGUACAAGCAACCUAUGUAAAAUUCUACGGGAAUUACAGUUGAUCCUGCUACAUUUGUCAUAUCUGAGCCUAAUUCUUGGUGGAAAGACCGUGAAUUUCUAAGUAUUUAAAAUAUCAUUCAUAGCCAAAAUAUGUUUAGUAAUUUUGGUAUACAGUAAAAUUUUAUACUAAAAUUUAAUAAACUUAUUAACAGGGAUGUAGAAUUAUAAGAACAUUUAAACAAAAUCCGCCUUACUGUUGGGAUAUGAUGCAACGUUGUUUCAUCUUACAUGAUGUACAAUCACAGUCUCACUACUCUGUGCACCAAAGACGAGAAAAGAUAAUGAAAUGAGGGCAUAAAUGAUGAUGAAACUUAAGUUCCUAAAUCCUAACACACAAGAAAAUGAAGGGUGUAUCGUGUUAAUAUCAGCGAUAAAACACGUCUCUCAAAUGAGUUCACCGAGGAUCAUUUACAUCAUGAUUCUCCACAUGCUCUUCCAUUUCAUACGAUUGCUUAAAGAAUUCAGCAACAAGAUGGAUUAAGACUUGGAAGUAGUUCACAAAGAGUGACACGAAGCUCACAAAUCUCUAUUAGAUGUGGUUUAAGAGGAAAUCGAAGAAAAUAGUAAUUUGAAUCAACUCUAACAGAUACAAGGAAUGAGUUCAGAGAGUUUAUGCGCCAAUUUUUUUCGACCAAGAUGAUUAAGAAGAAUUAGAUAAUGCUGUCAAUUUUUUGAAUCGUUGGAGCUUCGGAGUGACAUGGAUUUUUAUUGGGCAUGCAGUCAUGCAUUUAAAGAAGAAAGAUUUUGACGUAAAUAUUUUAUUGAUCGAGUUGAGAGAAUCUGUAAAUGCCCGACCGCCGUCUCUCUAGUGGGACCCAUGUUCACCACCAGCCCAUGAGCCCACAUCUCGUAAUGGGCCUCACGUCAUCUCACUAUGCCCAUGAGCCCAUCAAUAUCCGAUGGUCGGUUUGCAACGUCCAGGAGGCUUGAAAUCUUGUUUACCGAUCCUAAAAAUCACCACAUAAUCUGUCAUCUAUGUUUUGGCUUCACUCACACAAUUCCGACAACCACUUCCUGAAAGGUCAGUCAUCAUUUGACUACUCAAGCAUAAGCACGCUUAACUAUGGUGUUUUCUCAUGAACUUUGACCGAAAAGAUAAGUGCACUUUGGUGACAUAGGUAGCCAAAUCAAUUAAUUUAAAUCGCUCCGCAAACAGGGAUCUCACAAUUCCCCCCCCCCAUUAACAGGCCGCAACAUCCUCGUUUCGCACCAAGAUCAUCACCCCGUGAGAGUGUGAGCCCACCACUCCACACUUUUCAAGGUUCGGCUCUGAUACCACCUUGACCGCCAUCUCUCCAGUGGUCCCCAAGUUCACCACCAGCCCAUGUACUCACCUCUCUUAAUGGGCCUCACAUACUCUCACUAGCGCACUACAAGAAAAUAUGGAUUUUACGACUACAUUUGGCGACUACAUAUGUUUAGUCGUAAAUUAGUCGCCUUUUUAUGACUACAUAUAGUAGUCGAUAUUUUAGUCGUACUUUGACGACUAUUUAGUGACUGUAUUACAUUUCGGAACAGGUAGUCGCUAAAUUGUCGCUAAUUUAGCGACUAAUAUGCGACUCUUUGGAAAGGUCACUAAGAAGUCGCAUUUCAGUCGAUAUUUCAGAAAAUCUUAAUUGCUAAAAUUUAACCCCAAAAGUUUUAACCAAACUCCAAAACCUAAAUCACAAGAUCUGAAUAACUUUCCAUUUUUAAUCUAAGAAGUUAAUUAAUAAACCAUAAAACGAAAAGUCAGAACCAUCAUUAUUAUAUAUACAUAUAACCAAGCUUUAAUACUUAUAUGAAAAAAUAAUUUUCCACAUCUUAAACCAUUUAUAUAUAAUGCAACCAUUCAUAUAUAUUGCAUAUAUAGAAAUAAAAUCAUAAACCAUUCAACCAAAAUAUAACCAUUAUAUAUGUAUCAAACCAGUACGUAAAACUAUUUAGUAUCUACAGAUAAUUUCCAAAACAAAUUUACUUAUAAAUUUAAUUUAAUGUUUAAAAAAUAUUUUACUUUAGUCAGUUUGAAACCUAAAACUAAUUAUUUUUAAAAUCUAAAUCAAAUAUAAUAUUCUUUUGAAUCUUAAAACCCCAGUUCCCAAAUCCUAAAAUUUAAAUUUCAUUUAUUGAAUUAUGAGUUUUAAAUUGCAGAAUAUAUUAAAUUAUAAUAUUUUAAUGGAACUAAAUAUUCUUUUAACAUUAUUUACCAAAUAUAAAAUUCUUUAAAGAAUGAAGUUUUUUCAUUGGAUGGUAUGUAAACACAAGGAUUGCAAUCUGAACCAUUGAUUUAAUUAAUCCAACGGACAAAAUAUCUUUCCUCUUUUCUCCCUUUUCUCUUUGUCUCCUUUGACCGAUUAACUUUCUCUUCUUCUCCUUUGUCUUCCUACGCGGCCUUGCCUCAAUCAAUUUCAUCUUCAUCGUCUUCAUAUGUGUUGUUGUUAACAAAAUAUAAUUAUAUUUAUCUUUUACUAAAUUUUUUUUUUUCAUUACAUAAUAUUGAAAAUAUAUACGUCACAUUUUCCCUUUUUUUAAACAUUUACUUUUAAUAUUUUUAAUUUUUUUACUACUUAAACUGUUUUUUAUAUUAUUUCACCAUUCAAUAUAUAUUUUGAACCGCUUGAUCUGCACUUUUUCUACUUGAUCAGUCUAAUACGUUUGAUCCAUAAUUGAUCUGUCUGAACAGCUUGAUCUGCUUGAUCCGCCACUACCCACAAUGGAGGUUCCAUAUCCUUCAAAAAGCAUGAGAGAAAAAUGGUAAGUUUUCAAUUAAUUACUUCUAUUUUAAGAAAUUUUAUACUUUUACAUUUGAUAUGUUGUUUAUUUUUCUUUAAAUUUAGAUGCUCGCAAACAAAGGUGUUGCGCCGGAUUGGAUAGAUGUUAUGGAAACAACCCACACAAGCAAGAAAACCGGACAAAUUUAAGAUCCGGUUGUCGAAGAAUGCAUAGAAAGGAUUAAGCUACGGAAGAUGGAACGUCUAUCGCAACUCUCUCAAGAUGGCUCAUCAUCUUCAAUCGAUCUACCUCGUGAAGAAAUCAACCGUUUGUGUAUUGAGGUAUAUUUGUAUAUUUUUUAGUUUUACUUUAUUAUUUAUUUUAAACAAUUAAUUAUAAGUUUUUUGUUUGUUUAGGAAAUUCCUUUAACCAAAGGUCGGAGACGUGGAUUAGGAAGUCUUGUGUCACAAGACGGGAGUAUCUCUUCGGCAUUUCCCCGAGACAAUGAACUCAUUCAACAAGUUCAAGAUCUUAACCGAAUCGUGAAAGAAAAAGAUGAGGCGGUCGAAGAGUUGAAGCAACAAAAUCUCAAGAUUACGGAACAAUUCACCGAGACUCAAACGACACUCUCCCAACUUCAACUUUUCAUUUCUUCUCAAUUCCCGGGAAAAUUCCCGCCUCCCUAAAACUAUUUAGUUUUUUUUUCAAAACUAUUUUAAUUUUGUGACUAUUGUUGUUUAUUUGGAUAUUUUAAUUUUAGAUUUUAUUAAUUUUAUUAAUUGUUAAAAUUUAUAUUUUCAUAAUUAUAUAAUCAAAAUUAGAAUUUUGCUAAAAACUCCGUCGUCGUCGGAAUUCCCUCGGAAAUUCACGUCUUCGGUAAGUCCUUGGAAAUAAACUGUCGGAAAUCCCUCAGAUUCAUGUCUCUUGAAAAUCCCUCGGAAAUAAGAGUCCCUUGGAAAUUCCUCAGAAACGUCUCUUGGAAAUCCCUUGGUAAUUACUCUCUGGGAAAUCCCUCAGAAAUUGUUUCUCUUGGAAAUGCCUCGGAAGCAUAACGUCCUUGGAAAUCCCAUGGAAAAUUCACGUACUUAGAAAUCCCUCGGAAAUUUAUAUCCCUUGGAAAUCCCUCAGAAUUUAUCGACGAAUUUCCGAGGGAAAUUUAUUUCCGACGAGCGAUUUCCGAGGACUUUUUUUCCUCGGAAACCCGUCAUGCUGUUUCCGAGGGCUUACCGAUGAUUCUGUCCCUCAGAAAUGGAUUGUUUUUUUGUAGUGCGCUCGGACCAUACAAAGUAUUAGCUAAUGUAAGGGAAAAAAACCAACAUAAGUUUCUAUAAAUGUUAAUGGUAUAAGUUUUGUUUCCAGAGAAAAAUAAAUAGGUAGUCCAAUUUAGAAAAAAAUGGCAUUUUGUAUGUUUAUUUUUGUGUGGCUGAAGUCAUAUACCUUUUCUCUGAAUCACGGCUAUGCGUAAUGAUAUGUGGAAAUGCGUGUUGGCGAGAGAUGAAAGGAGGCACGUAAUCACGUAUAAUAUUUCACUAAGUGAAAUCACUAUGAAUAGAGCCAAAUAGUGAAUGAUUAGCUUUGAUAUAUACGUUAGUGCUUAUCGAAGACUAUAUGUCUUUUCAUGUCGACCAAGGAGUUUACUCUAGAGUCUUCUAGAUUUCAUAGUGUAUAGUGGGUUUUGACAUUUUUAGAAAUUUGUGAUUAGAGGACACGUGUGUUUACGGGCUUUUUUCUGUUUUUGCUAUAAAUAGAAUUGACCGCCAAAGUAUAUAUAUAAUCAAAAAGCUAGCUAGUACUGAUUGAGCUGUGUGUGUGUAUGUAUAAUAUGGGGAAGUUCGUGAGAAGGGGUUGGGUAGUGGCGUGUGUGAUGGUGUUACUGAUGUUGACUCAAGGUUUGGCGAGAGUAUGUAGUAGAGAUGGUCAUGGCAGUGGCGAAAACAGAGGUCAUCUACAUGACGCAUAUGACGGAGAUAGUGCUGGUGCUAGUAGAGGUGGAGAUGAUGGAGAGGACACUGGAGUUGGACGUGGAAUUAACGGAGAAGGUGGUACUGGUGGUGGCGGAGGUGGCACCGGCGGUAAUGGUGGUGAUGGAGGUGCAGGUGGAGGAAUUGGAGGUGGGGGUGGUGGGGAAGGAGGAGCUGGUGGUGGAGGAGGUGAAGGUGGCAGUGCUGGUGGUAAUGGAGGCAAUGGUGGUGGAGGAGGUAAUGGCGGUGAAGGUGGCCGUGGAGGUGGAAGAGGUGGCGGUGGAGGUGGAGACGGAGGUGGUGGUGGUGGUGGCGGUGGGGGAGGACGCCGUGGUGGAGAUGGUCGUGGCGGAGCUAAUGGUAGCGUAGGAGCCAGAGGAAGAACCGGUAGAAGUCGAGGUGGCAACAUUGGUGGAGGAAGACGUGGUGGUGGCACUGGAGGAGGGGCCGGUGGCGCUAUUGGAGGUGGUGCAGGUGGAGGAGUUGGUGGUAGCGGUUCCGUUAGUAACCGACGACACUAAAUUGGGAACUGCAGUGACCGUUGGCAUUGGCAAUAUAGCAAGCACUCACGUUGCAUGCAUGCAUGCUUAGCUUAUGCUAUCAUUGUUAUAUCUUUGUUCUAUAGUAUUAUAGUAUAAACUAUGAAUAAUGAAUAAAACGCGUAAAACUCCUCUUACAAAAUUUACGUCGUAUAUAUUUCAAUAUAUAAAGUUUAGUUUUUGGUGUAUUUUAUGAUAAGCUUACGAGUUAUGUGAUAAAGUAGUAUUUAUCGACUUAUCGUGUACAAGUAUUAUCGUAUGACUAGUAUCAAGUAAUGUAUACACUAAUAGUAUUUUCAUUCCACAUAUGAGAUGAGUAUCUUUAAAAAUAUUUUUAAAAUUGAUGUUACAAAACAUUAAUGUGAAUGGUUUUUAAACUGGUGUUUAACAUGCAUGUCGAAUUUCUGAAAUAUAUUGGAGAUAGUCUUAAUUAGUGAGGUGUUUCUAGUUUAAAAACCAUAGUUUACAACAGUUGUAUUAUUUUCUAUCUCUAAAAUAGAGUAAGUCUAUAAUAGAAGUGAAUUUAACUCCAAUGUAAUCCUCUUUUUUUCUCUUACCAGAAAUAUGCCAAACUGAAUCUUUUUUUAUUUUAAUAUUGAGACCUAUUAUUUAUAAAAAUUGCAAACUAACCCAUUUACUUCAACUUUUGCAAAACAAUAUUUGGUAUUAUUAAUAAUUAAAAAUACUAUUCUAUUCAUUUGGAUCAUAGAUAUAAGAAAAAGAUAAAAGUUUAGGGACUCUUUGCAAAUAAAAAAAAAGUAUAUACAAAAAUAUAGGAGUGAUUUACAUACAGUAAAACCUCUAUAAAUUAAUACUCGAUAAAUUAAUAAUCUCUAUAAAUUAAUACUCGAUAAAUUAAUAAUCUCUAUAAAUUAAUAAAUUUCUCCGGUCCCAAGUUGGGACUAGUGUAAUUUUAGACAUAUUUCGAUAAAAUAAUAAGAUAAUAUUUUUUUUGAAAAUCCUUUGUAAAUAUAUGGUCCCAUCAAUAUUAUAAAUUAAUAAUUAGGUAAAAUUUUCAAAAUACAUGUAUAUAUAGACACAUUAGUUUUUGUUAGAUUUUAUUUCUAAUAUUUUACUAUAUGAAAAAUAGUUAGCAUUCUCUUUUAAUACAUAAUAAUUAUUAUUUUAUUUGUAAUUGAAUAUAUAAAAUACUAAUUAUCAUGAUAAAAUCUUAUUUUUAAAUAUUGUUUUGAAAAUAGUUUCCAAAUUAGGAAUAUCUCUUUAUAAAUUAAUAAUUAUUAAUUUAUCGAUAAAUUAAUACCUCUAUAAAUUAAUAGAUUUCCAUGUUCCCAACAUUAUUAAUUUAUAGAGGUUUUACUGUAAUAAGUUAUUUUAUGUUUGCGAUAUAUAAGAUAAGUAAGUGGUCACAAUAUAAGCACUCCUAUGUUUGAGGGUGGCAUUGACAAUUUUGGGUACUACUUAUUACAUAUAACACACUUACCAAGGAGGUUGCCUAUUUUCAACCCGAACAAUUUCGAAAGUGUAUAUUCAUACCUCAACUUUGAUAGAGUGUUGAUUUCUACCUCAAAUAUAUAUAUUUUAAAAUAAACUACAUAAACUAUAACUUUUUUGUAGAAAACAACAUUGACCGAAAUAGGAAUGGUCAACUAUGCUGAGUCAGAUGCCACAUGUACAGAUUCUACUGAGUGAGAUGCCACAUAUACAGUUUUUUUUUAAACAAUUGCAAUUAAAUUUAAAACAUAUAUGCUAUUUUCGAUUGUAUAUUUUUAGUCCUAAUGCCGUAUUUUGAAUUGAGUUAUCCUUUUUUCGGACUUAUUUGCAUUAGGUAUGUGACUUUAAAUGGUUCUAAUUGAAAAUUUUAGGUAUUGAAAUCAACCAAACAAAAUUCGAAAUACUAUGUUAAGAUGGAAUAAAGAAAACAGACACAUUAAAUAAGAAUAUUAAAAUUAAAAGUCUAAAUAAUGGAUGUUCUAAAUUUAGUUACAAAAUUUUUUUAAAAAUAAAAAAUAUAUAUAUAUACAUUGUUGACAUGUGGCAUCUUACUCAGCAGAAUCUGUACACGUGGCAUCCGACUCAACAUAAUCUGUACACGUGGCAAUGACACAACAUAGUUCACCAAACCUUAUUUUGGUCAAUAUUGUUUUUUGGUAAAAAUUUGAUAGUUCAGGUAGUUUAUUCGAUAAGUUAAGGGUGUGUUGGAGAAUUAGUACAUUUUUAAAACAUAUUUAUAAAACUAGUACAAUCACUAUUUACAAUUAGAAAACUAGCACAUUAUCACUAUUUGAUACUAUUUCAUUGACAUUUAAACACUCAGAACAACAUAGUAUUUACAAGUCUGCCAUUGAAAUAACUAUGUAAUUUGUACCGCAUAUUUACUGUACAGACGUAAAAAAAUAUGUUUUUGUAUAAUAAUAAAAAUAAUACAUAAUAACAUCCGUACAGCGUAUUAGUAUACAAAUAUACAUAAUACUUUGUACGGAUAAAAAUGAGUAAUUUUUUACAUAUAUUCGUACAAUUAGUAAGUUGUACGGAUACGUCUGUACAUAUUGAUGUAUGGAUACGUCUGUACAUACGAACGUACACGUACUAAACUGUACAAAAAACAUUUGUACAUAUGCUAAACUAUACAAAUAAAUAUUUAUGUAUGAAAAAUUUUCAAAUUUACUACCAAAAUGCAUAUCAAAUUAUAGAGAAAAAAACAAAGAUUUUAUGUGUCAAAAAUAUUAUUGAUAUUGAUUUUACAAAAAUUUGUAUGUUAUUUAUAAAACUUUUGGGGUGAUAAAACUAAGAGAAAAUAAAAUGAAAAAUAAAAUAAAAAAUAACUAAAAUCAAGAGAAAAAAAUUGCCCUUCAUGUCAUUUUUGCAUCUCUUUUUCGUAUUUUAUAUUUUUUAUAUCUUACAUUGUGGGUUCAUGUGACUACUUUUACAAUUAUAAAUAGUGUAUGUACUACUUCCCUUAUUAGUUUUUGAAAAUGUACUAUAAUUCCUAUUAAUCCUAAAGUUAAAUCCUUUAACCAGCGAGAUCUCUUGUAGAUUGGUAAGUAAUAAAGUUAGUCAGCAAGUAAUUAUAUUUAGUUAGCUCUAUUAUGAUGUAUUUCUCUAGAUUCUUUUUUUUUGCUAAGAAAGUAAAUGUUUUAUUGAAAAUGAAAUAGUUUAGGCUUACAAUCAAUUAUCAUAACCUAUAAACAUGGUCCCAUGGUAAAAAAGAUAAAAACAUGGAAGCAUAAUUUCUAAUUUGAUUUUGGUCCAACCACUCAACUAAAGCAUUGAAACUUAAGGAGUUACAAGAAGCGAUGACUAUUUUGAUUGCUCUUCCUUAAUUUGCUGCGGGAGAUGAAGAGUGUUUGCAAGAAGAAGGAGCCUGAAUGCAAAAGUCUAUUAUCACUAGAAGCUUUGCAAUGGGCGUCCGCAAAUGGGCCGUCAACAGCAUAUAACAUAUAACUAGAAGCCUUUUGAUUCUUUCUCUCCCUCUUUUUUUCCUUUUUUCAUUUUCCAUAUUUCCCUUUUAUUAUUUUGUUGUCAAUUUAUGUAGUUACUAACAACUUAUUUUCUAUAUAUUUUUAUAUAAUAUAUUGUAUUUUUUUACAUUUUAAGAUGGAUUUUGCUAUAAUUUAUGUAUAUUAUUAUAUUAUACAUUUUCCAUUAUAUUUGUAUUUGAACAUUUGUUCAUUGUUUAAUAAAUGAUCAGUUGCAGUAUUGUUUAUGGUGUGGUGGUGUUGAUUGGAAAUCGGUUUAUGGAUGUGGAUUUCUUAAUCUUUUGAGUUUUGGUUGUGGUGCACAUGGUUAUUUAAGUUUCUCUUAUUCUCUAUGUUUUCACUCGCUAGAAACAUGUUUGUGAUUGAUGCAGUUAGAAACAUAUGGACUCACAACUUAUUUAGAAACUUAUUUCACUUAUUAUUCCAUUGCAUAUAGCUCAAAAAAUAUAAAACAAGCUUUUGAAUUAUUUUCAAAAAGAGAUUAUAUCCAAGACACUUCUAAUUGAUGUUUAUCAACGUUCGUGUUUUUUUCUUUGUUCAAAGAGGAAACUGGUGACCAUCAAAACAUAUCAAUCGGGAUAAAGUCUAAAAAUUCACCAUCUAUUACUUUUUUGGACGAUUAAUACAUGUACUUUUUAGUUGGACUAAAAAAACUUUGUUAAUUUAAUUUUGUUAUAUAAAAGUCGUUGUUUAUUUAACAUUUGGAAAAUUCCUACCCACGAUUUCAAACCAAAAAUAAAAUUUCAAUUCUACCAAUAUCUUUUGAAUUAACUAUUAAUGUUUAAGUAAUAUGGUAGUAAUUUUUACUUUUAACUAUUUAUAUUUAGGGUUUAGUGUUUAGGAUUUAGAAAUUAGUUUUGAAUGUUAAAAAAUAUAGAUCAGUCUAAGUUUUACCAUAUGGAUGUCUAUAUGUAGACAAGGUGUUUGGUGCCAUGACCACAAUCAUCAUUGGAAUUCCAUAGAGAUUGGAAUUAAUAAACCUCAUCCUUUUUGUUGAUUUUUUCUCCUUCUCUUUUUCUUCCAUUCCCAGUUUUUAUUUUGGACCACUGACAGGAAAAGACACUUUAUGUUUAAGAUAUAACAACUAAGGCAAAAUAUAAGCAGCUCCAACUUUUUAUAUUGUUUGUCCAAAAAAAGACUUAUUUGCCCCAAAAAAAGAAAUGAAAACUGUAUGAGUAAAUAGCAUCUACACCCACUUUCUCAUAAAAUAUUCACCAAUACACCCACUUUAUGCUGCCUCUAUACUUUUUACACUUGAAAUAACAAACAACCCAUUACAACUUCUACUCUCCCUCUUCUAAGUUAUAACUACUCACAUUCUUUUUCUUUUCUUUUAACAUUACAAUAAAAAAAUAUAUAUAUUUCUCAAUUUUCUUUGGGUGAAGUACGACACUAGCACGUGUAUAGUGGUUAAGUACCAAAAUGGAUGGGAGAGAAAAAAAUCGUUAAAUGGCAGGUUUGCCCUUAUGUUAGAGUUAUAGGAAUAAAGGUAAUUACGAAACAUGCCAUUAAAAAGAAAUGCCACGUUGGAGAGAGAAGGCGUUUUUCGGCACAGUUUUGGGGGGAAAAACUCCCGCCAUGUUAUAAGUCUACCAGGUGGUUAUGGUAGAGUUUCGGGUAUUGUAUAGAGUUGUGUGGUAGAGUAAAUGGAUUUUGGUAUAGUUGAUUAGUAGAGUCAUCCGUAGUGGUGGGAGAGUAAGAAGGUAGGUAGACUUAUUUGGUACAUUUAGCACACAUGGUGGUAGAGAUAUAAUUAAGGCAUAGAGUAAGGAAAUAGAUAGAGUUGUUACGUAGAGUAACCCUGCAAUGGUGGUAGACUUUGGAGGAAACUUCCUUAGAGUUAAUGGGGUUGAUAGAGUUGGAUGUUAGAUUUAUCAGUAGACACAUAAAGUUAUGAUGUUGACAAAGUUUUGCGAUAGACUUGACUUACGUUACGAUAGAGAUUUGACGUCCAAAACUGCUUUUGUGAGCACAACCCUUUGACGGUAGAGUUGUUGUGGUGAUGGUAGAGUUAUAAAGUAAAAAUAGAGUUUUCAUCUAGUUACGACAUAGUUAAUAUGACUAGAAUAGCAAAAGUAAGGUAGAGUUAUACUUGUGUGAGAGAUUAUUGGUGAAAAGUUACUCUAUCAUAAGUAACUCUAUCGCAACGUGGAUAGAUAUGUAUGGUAGAGUUAUACCUAUCUAGGGUUUUGUUAGGACGAAUCAUAACUCAAAAUGUCGUUUUUACCCUUACAAAAUUUUUAUAUUACCUCGAAAACCUAAUAGGUGACGACAGACUUACUAAGUUACUAUUAACUCUAGUAUAGUUGUGAUAGAGUUAUGGUGUUGCUUUAUGGCCAAGUAACUACACAACCCAUCAUGAAUAUGUGCUAAGUAUAAAUUUUGGAAAAUAAAGUGGCCAUGGAGGUUUUUGAGGAAUUUUUCUAUGAACUAGAGAAAAUAGAGUUUUAUAUAUGAGUCUCUGUAAAGACUAAUUGAAAGGAAUCCAAUGCAAGUGAUGGUUUGCCAAUCGAAUUAUUCAUGGAUGUAGCUUUGAGACUGCGAUCAUAUUGGGCAUGCGUUCCUUACUGUUUUUUUUUCAUUACGACAACACAAAGACCAUCCGCCAUACAUUUAAAGAAAAUCGAUUAGGACCUAUCAGAUUAAAUUUGAAUAAAAUCCCCUUCGAACAAGCUUAGAUGUUACUAUAUGACACAUUUAGCAAUUUUGAAAUAUGAAAAAAAUUAGAUUUCGUUAAAGGUUAGAUGUUUACAUUUGCAUUAUUAAUUUCCAUUUAAUUUGUGUUGAAUUAUUUAUGGAUGUAGCUUUGAGACUGCGAUCAUAGUGGGCAUGCAGUUCUCUAGUGUUUUAUAUUUCAUUACAACAACACACAUACACAUCUGCCAUACAGAUAAGGAAAAUCGUUUAGGACAUACCAAAUUAAAUUCAAAUAAAAUUACUAUGAAACCAGCUUAGAUGCUAUAUGACACAUUCAACAAUUUGAAGUAAAAAAAAAAUAGAUUGAUUUAUUCAACUGAUAAGUCACAUAUAUUUUCUUAUUUUACAAUCAAAACUAGAAUCUCCACUAUUGUGUUAACUUUCUCUAUUAACAGUUUAACACUAUGUUAUGUAUCAUCAAUGUCAAGCUUCCCAAGUUAUUCCACUAUUCGAUUUCAUUCCAAUGGUGGUAAGGUAUUUAUAUAUUUUUGGUAUGCAUUUGACUAUCUUUUUAAUAAAAUUAACUCUUUAAUUUUGUAUUGCCAAUGAUCAUAAAAAACCCCCAUAAUAGAAUGGCUAGUUUUAUUUGAAUGAGUAGAUAAAUACCACUUGCUACUGUUAAAUUUGUCUCUAAUUCAUAUCAAGUGACCUAAUUACAAGAACAACAACUUUUAGUAGGUUUUAUUUAAUAUAUAUGUAAGUUUUUUUGGUAAAAAGAAAAAUAUUAAUGGCAUUUCUGUAAUACAAAAAAAACCAUAUGGGUAUUUGUCAUUUUACAAAGUUUUGUGCUAUUUUAGUCGGUCCAAAUUUGCAUGGGUCAGAUUGGUUCGGAUCCACAAUUUAUGUGCUAGUUAAGUCUAUUAUCUCAUUUUCUUUCUCUCUUUUUCACGUUUUUUUCUCCAUUUUUGUAAUGUUAUAUUUUCUCUAUCUUUUUCUCCCUUUUUCAUAUUUUACAAGAGAUUCUCUCUUUCUCUCUAUUUUUCUCCCCCUUUCGGUAACGAUCACAUGAACGUAAUUUUUUAUAUAAGAAAUUUAGAAAAUAAUUUAUAUAUUGAAAAUUACAUGGAUGGUUUAUAGUUCAUAAUUUAUGUUUACAAUUUAGUAUUUAGGGCUAGGAUUUUAGGGUUUAGGACUUAGGCCUUAGGCUUUUUUUAGCUUGAACAAUUUGUACAGUAGUUGUCUAUGGUCUCAUGUCCAGUACACAUAUUCUAUAUGGAUAACAACUAGAUGCUUAUAAACUUGUGUAUUGAUAUGUAACGAUUACGUGAUUCACAUGACCAAAUAGACUACACUGCUUGGAUAGUCACCAAUGGUUAGAAACAUAAUUUGUUAUUAUCCUCACUCUAAAGACAACGACUUACACACUUUUGAAAAAAUUUCAAAAUAUCUCCAUAUGGACAAAUUUAAAUGGAUUCAUAAAUUAUCAUGGACAAUUUUAUUUCUCGAACAUAAUGCACAAUUUUAAGGUUUAGGGGUUAGGAUAUAGUGUAUGAUUGGUUUUGGUUUUAGAGUUAAAUUUAAUUGGAUAAAGGAUAAGUAGUAGAGGAAGACAAUAUAAUUUCAAUUUUGAAAAUGGUGAACAAAAUAUUAUGUGGUUUAAGUUGAAUGGUUUAGUGUUUUGGCGUUAAUGUUUAGAGUUUAUAAUUUAGUGGUUGGGUUCAGGAUUUGGUGUUUAAUAUUUAGGGUUUAUGAUUUAUUUUUAUAGCUUUUUUCAAUCAAUGUGGAUAUAGUUAGUUGUUCACAUAUGCACUGCCAAUUAUCAUUUUAAUUUGUUAGGCUGAAGAUAUAGAAUACAUAAUUAGACUGAGAGUAACGUUAUUGAUAGAUUCAAUUAUCAAGUAUGGAUAGAUUCAAUUUCGUUGAUAUCAUGUAAUAUACUCAAUGAAGAAUGUAUAAUAUAUUUGUUCACAUAUAUACUAUCCAUUGGCAUUUCUUAAUGAUAAACGUUAUUAUUUAGAUUUUAAAAGUCUUCACUGUUUAGGGUUUCGAGUUUAGAGUUCAGUGUUAUUGUUAUUGGAUAUAGGUUUAAACUUCUACGUCUUAGUUUAGGUUUUAGUGUUUAGGAUUUAGUAUUUAGUGGUUAGGUUUAGGAUUUUCUAGUUUUAUAUUUAAGGUUUAUUGUUUAGACUCUUCUUGUAAUCAAAACAACUAUGUAUCCAUGAAUGAUAUUAUAAUUGACUAUCCAUUUAUCAGUGAACAAAUGUUCAACUACAAAUAGAUAGUGUAUAAUACAAUAAUUCAUCUAAACUAUAGCAAUAUGCAUAUUAAAAUGUAUAAAAAAUAUAAUUAUAAUCUAUUGUAUAUAAAUAAAGUGAGUUACUAUUUAAAAUGACAACUUAUAGUCACAACAACAAAGAAAAAGGAGAAAAAGAGAGAAAUGGAGAGAAAAUUGAUUUCUUAUUUAUACAAAAAUGUCUUUCUUUCACGUUAUUUAUCUGAAUAAAUAUCAACUACUCAUCUCGAUCAUUAGUUACAAUACAAGGGCUCAGAACUUAUCAAAAAAAGUCAGUUUUUUUUUUAAAACCACACAAAGAAGGGAAAAAUCGUAUAAGCUAAUGAAUAAUUUGCAUCUACACCCACUUUCACACUUUCUUAUAGCACAUACACCCACUUUCAGCUAUUGGCAUAAUUUUAUGUGAUGAAAUGUCAGUAUAGUCCUUAUAAGAGGAAAAAGAAAAUAAUAAAACUAACUCUGCUUCACAUCACACAAAAACUCGAACAAAACGUAAUUGAGCCUCUUCUUCUUCUUCUUCUUCUUUCUUUCUUAAAAAGUAAUUGAGCCUCUUCUUCUUCUUCUUUUUUUCUUAAAAAGUAAUUGAGCCUCUUCUUCUUUCUUUCUUUUUUCUUUUGAACAAAGCGAGCCUCUUCACCCCAUCCUCUGUAAUCUUUGCCAUCUCGUCCUUGACCCAACAUCGAUUCCGGUUUAAAACUUUUUGUCUGAUCCAGAAAGAUGUGCACUAUGAGACUCAGAGAUCCAGAGUAUUGUCAUACGAAUUUCACGAAAUACUUCACCAAAACUGUAGGAUUCUUAUCUGGGGAAAUAUUCUCUGGUGCGUUUAGAGGGAGAAAUCCUUGUUACUUUAACACAUGUGUGAUGGUGAUUAUCUCAAAAAAUGGAGAAACGACGGUUACACAAACCAUUUAGAGAAAUGGAUGGGGGUUCAGAAGUUCUAGAUGAUUUACGACCUUCCACCGUUUUUCUUUUUUCACGGUCACAUCGUGGAUUUUUUUUGUUAUCCAUAAAGAGUUAUCCAUUUGGUUAAUUUUUUAAAAUACUUUGUGUGUUGUUGUUUUUCAAGUACUCGUGAAUUUUUUGUAAUUAAUUAAAGUUUUUUUAUAACUAAUAUGUUCGUAGUCAACACUAAGUGGACAUAUUAUUAUGGAUACAAGCUGCCAUUUCAAAAAGCAUUUAGUUGUGUCUAAAUUGGGUUAAUCUAAGUUGAGUUAAUAACCACAUGGUCAGAGUUUAGUGGAUAGACUUGGAUGAAAAUUACAAAAACAAGGAAAAAACCGAUUCUCUGAUCCAUGUAAAGUACUUGUCAAUAAAGUUCGACAUCAAUGUUGAAUAAUUUUUUGGUGUUAUUCAUGAUUAAUUCACCUAAACAAAAUAUCUUUGAUCAAUAAGCUUUUCAUAGGUUUUUUAAAUUACCAAACACAAGUAAGUAUCCAUAAACAGACUAUCCAUAUAUUAGCGAACAAAUGUUCAACUACAAAUGAAUAUUAUAAAAUAUAAAAAUUCAUUUAAAAUAUAUCAAAAUGGAUCUUAAAAUAUAGAAAAAAAUAAUUAUAACCUUCACAAAAGUAUACCAUCCCUCUAAAGUAGGUCUAUAUGUCAAUUUUCUUAACAAAAAUAUGCGUAUAUGUAAUUCACUCAAAAUGUAACUAAGUAGUUGGAAAAGAAUGAGUGGCAAGUCUGUUAAUAUAACAACUAUAUUUUUUCCAUAGUUGUUAAAGUUUUACAAAAAAAUAGAGAGUGUCUUUUUGUGUGAAUACUUUUGGAAAAGUGCAUUUUCGUUGUAUUAACUCUUUUAUUUUUCCUUAUGUCAACUUUACAUAAUUAUUAAGAAAAUAUUUUCUAUUUUUUGUGUACAAUACAUUGUAAUUGUAACUUUUCUAUAUUUUAUGUGAAAAAUUAUAUUUUCCAUAAAGACAUUAAAAAUGGACACCAUAAUAUUUGUGAUGGUGAUAAAAAUGUCUAAGAGAUUGUGGAUAGUUGAAAAUAUCUAUCUUCCUAUGCUCUUCACUGCACUAUUUUCUCUAAACGUGUUCACACCAUCUAUGUCCUUUAUUGUUUGUGAAGUAUAAACCGCAUAUUAGUGUUGUUAUUACAGUGUCUCAUUGAAAUGUAAUCCAAGGAAUAAAAACUGAAUAACAUGUCCCCGAAAGGUUAUUCACGUAGGUAACACAAUACCUCCCAAAACAAAUUAGGGUUUUUAGUAAAAUGGUAAAUCAAGAGUCACAGUUGUAUCGAAGUUUCCAUCUUAUAAAAAAUAUAUGUGCUGGGAAUGAUGGACCUACGCACAUACAUAUCCCGAUUAAAAAAAGGUUGAAAGGCCAACAACAACAUAAGGUUUGAUGAAUACUGAUCAUUUGUGUACAUAUGUUAAAACAUCGUGUUUUUUCAGUGAAGGUAGAUGUCCAUUAAUCGUCGACCAUUAUCAAGCAAAAAUUACAAAAAAAACAAAAAUCCAUUAUUAAGCAUUACAUUUUGAGAAGUAUUAUAUGGACAGAACCUCGAAGAAAAACUUAAAAAACAAAUAAACAAAAAUAAAGAAAGAAUGUAACUAAAAAGUUAGAUAGCAAUUACGUGAAUUUAGAAAAACAAAGCAAGGCUAUACAUGCCCAUUAUUUACCCAUAGUUGUGCAAGUUUGGGAAAACAAGAAAAAUGAUUUAAUUUGGAGAAAAUUGUACUAAGUGACAUGAACAGUAUCAAAAUUCAUGAGCAUUGCCAUAUUGUCGAUUCCGUUUUCCCGCUUGCCACAACGCCUAGUCGAAAUGACUUCUUUACCCUCGACGACUGAACUCGCUAAAGCCAAAGAGAACUGUUGAUGACACGACUUAAAGUCGCUUUUUCUCUUUGCGCCGUUUCGUGUUUAUAACCAAACAAUUAAUUUUAUCAACAGUUCCAUUAUUAUCCGAUGGACAAGCAAUUAACCCUCUCAAACUUUUUUUCGAGAAUAUUGAUUCCACCCCGUUCACCCCCUCAACCCCUUCCUAUGCCCAUUCCGAUCGACGGUGCGUCGAUUACCCCCUCGGCGGCGGACGAAUCCGUUAACAGAUUAGUAGCCGCUGCACCGGAAACCAUGGGAUCCCCCGACAAGCAACCCCUAGCAGACGGCGACGCCUCUGCUACCCCAAGAUCUCCUGCGCCGCCAGCCGAUGACCAUCGCGGAGAAGAACCUAGCGCAGACGGAGAACCUAGCGCAGACGGAGAACCUAGCGCAGACGGAGAACCUAGCGCAGACGGAGAACCUAGCGCAGACGGAGAAGCUACGGCAGACGGUGACGCAUGUGGUGCCCGAACAUCUCCUAUCUCGCCACCAGACGAAACCGCUAAUCCUUUGGUCAGCUUAGAGAUCCCCGGAGUAAAUGCUAGUUCCGGAGACUUAGACCCAUCGAAGAACGAGAAAGGCCCUAUCGCGCCCUCCGAUGAAACCGCCAGCGACGUCCCCCCUUCUCCCCGAGAGCAGUCUCCCGCCAGAGACCUUCGUACUUGCCUAACGAGGAGGUGAGUUUCGAUACUGUGGAAUUUAUUUUUUUAAUAUUUUUGUCCAUCUUCCAAUUUCUAAUUUUGGUCCACCACAGAUCUACACUGCGUUCUGGUGGACAGGACAAGAAUUAUGAUAUUGUCAACCGUCCCAACAAACGGUAUUGUCAUCUGUAGACUCAAUAUUUGUAUAUUGUCCUUCUUUGAGUUAGUCCAUUUCGCAUAUUAUUACACCUAUCAGUAGACCAUAUCGUUUGUUGUCUACUAUACUCAAUAUUUAGAUAUUGUCCUUCUUUGAGUUAGUCCAUUUCGCAUAUUAUUACACCUAUCAGUAGACCAUAUUGUUUGUUGUCUACUAUACUCAAUAUUUAUAUAUUGUCCUUCUUCGAGUUAGUCCAUUUCGCAUAUUAUUACACCUAUCAGUAGACCAGAUCAUUUCUUGUCCUUUAAGCAUAUUAUUAGUCCAUUUCACAUAUCAGUAGACCAGAUCAUUUCUUGUCCUUUAAGCAUAUUAUUAGUCCAUUUCACCUAGCAGUAGACCAGAUCAUUUCUUGUCCUUUAAGCAUAUUAUUAGUCCAUUUCACCUAUCAGUAGACCAGAUCAUUUCUUGUCCUUUAAGCAUAUUAUUAGUCCAUUUCACCUAUAAGUAGACCAGAUCGUUUGUUGUCUACUCAUUGUCACUUACAUCGUGUCUCUUAUACUCAUUAGGACCCGAGAAAUUGUACGUGGACUCAAAGCAGAUUCUCGGCCAGUGUACCUCCCCAAACCAAAUCCCUCACGGCCAGUGGACAUCUCGAGAGCUAAGAGGUAUUUUCAAUAUUCUUAGGUUAACUUUGUUUGUCGUCUUAGAAGCUAAUUGUCGCUUUUUGCUUUCAAAACAGCCACCCGCGCGCGGAAAAUGUUGGUGGACAACCCCAGCAGGACAGUGUCUCUUCCCUGCUCCCACAUCGUUUAUUUGCGACUAAUCGAUAUCCAGCGGGUGGACGUAUCAAUUCAUAUUCAAGGCCGGAGUAUCUCCUCGACAUUGUCGAUGUCUUGGAUGGUUCAUUGGAGUUUGAGUGGCUUAAGCAGUCAUCUUUCGGCCGUCUUCUCCAGCUACCUCUUCGUAGAAGUUCUUUGUCUGGUAAACUUGUCCAUCAAGUCCUUUGCCGUUCUCUGAUUACCAAGAAACGCCAUGAGUUGUGGUUCAUAUAUGGCGGGCAACCAAUUCGCUUCUCAAUGAGAGAGUUCGCAAUACUCACUGGUCUUAACUGUAAUCCCUACCCUUCCGAGGAUGAGAUUAAGAGGAUGCAAAACCCAUGUGGCAAGGAUUUACAUUACUGGACAUCUUUAUUUGGUCCACACAGCUCCAUGACGAUACGCGAGAUUGUCGAUUGGCUGAAGCGUGACAAAAAAUUCCCCAAAAACAAAAGAAUGGAUGGGCAGAAGCGAUUAAAGCUAGCACUCAUUGUUAUAGUUGAGGGUAUUCUCGUCUGCGAUUCGUCCAAUGUCAGAGCUUCUAGGAAGGUUGCACAGAUGGUUAAGGAUGUUGACACCUUUGAUAGCUUCCCGUGGGGACGGAUGUCAUUUGCGCGUACAUUGGCGACUAUAUCUUUUGGGUCAGCCAUCGACUCUGCCGAUAUCCUUGCUCAAAAACUCAUGCAAUCCCACACGGCCACACAUGGAUUCACCCUUGCAAUCCAAUUGCUAAUCCUUCAAACAGUCCCCCUGCUUCAGCGAUAUCUAAUAGAUGCUGAUGACAAGCAGACAUUCACCGUG